AGCUUGGAUGCACCAAAGGAGACAUUGCAACAAUGGUGAGGACACAGGAAAAGAAGCCAAGGAAGUAACACACACCUAGAUAUAUAUUACAUGUACCAUCUACUAAGGGUCCAAUUCCAAACUAUCAUCCAUGUAAUACUACUUCAGUCCAAAUUUAAAGACACAAGUCAUAGAAAACAUACACAAGGAUGGCCUCAUGUCACAUGCAUCAGAAGAGUCAAUUCCUAUUAGAGCAAAACAUCAGUCCAUGUCCUAACCUAGCAUAAGAACCUAGCCAUACAUAACUGUUGUGAUAAGCCAUAAAAGCUUGAGAAAAAGAAUAUUACAAUAUUUCCCCCUAUGUUCUAUCAACUCAUUUUCCACAAGUCAAAACAAAAUUUGAAAUAUCAAACUAUGAAACACCCACUCACACACACAUCGAGGGCAGACUUGAUAUUGACACCGACAAUAAUUUAAACAAGCGAAAGUGAUUGAAUGUAGGGUUAAUAGUGUUUUACCCCCCUGUAAUAUAGGUCAUUUCCGAUUUUACCCCCUGUAAAAUAUAUUUUUUGAAUUUCGUCCUUGUAAUUUGAUGAUUUUUGGUUUUGGACCUUCAUGAAUUUUGACAGUACAAAAUCGAAGAUAUGAUAGGGGGUAAACCGAAAUUUGCUCAAAUUAACAGGGGGGUAAACCGAAAUUUUCUCAAAUUACAAGGGGGUAAACCUAAAUUUGCUCAAAUUACAGGGAGUGAAAUUUUCCAUGAAGGUCCAAAACCAAAAAAUCUUCAAAUUACAAGGAUGAAAUUCAAAAAAAAUAUUUUACAGGGGGGAAAACCGGAAAUGACCUAUAUUACAGGGGGGUAAAACACUAUUAACCCUUGAAUGUAAUAACAUGUGUUGGUGUAAUGUCAAUGUUGGACACCGACACAUGUUAGACACCACACACACCUUCAAUUUGAAGUGUAGGUACUACAUAGGCAUCAAAAGCUACUAUCUACUUGGCUGAACAACACUUGAGAGUCAUCAUCAUCCAUGUUUUCACUGUCAACAUCAUCAAUUCUUUCAGUCCUGUUUGACGGUUCAUCUUUGCUAAUGAGUGCCGCAUAUGCUUCAUCGUUAUGGUAUCCUGGCUUCCUCAACAACUCAAUUAAAACCUUGGCGCUCUCCAUGUCAUCUUCAUCUUGACAAAGCUUAAGGAAUGCAGCCAAUUUUAUUGGCUUGGGUUUCCAACUCUUUGAAUCACUUGUCAUAAAAGCUUUUUCCAAGCAUGAAAGCGCCUCAGAAACCCUCUUUUCGGCAAUAUGACCCUCAGAAAGAAGCUCCCAUGUAGUCGAAUUUGGACAUCCACCACCUUCACUCAUAUGCUUAAAGAAACUAAAAACUUUAUCUGAUUUACCUUUCUUAAGAUACCAGCUUAUGAGAAGGUUUCCUAUUCUAGAAUCAUCAGAGGGCCUCACAGAAACCCAUUCCUCGUAAAGCUUUUCUGCCCCCUCAAUAUCGUCCAUUCUUACGAAAGAAGAAAUAAAAGCAUGGUAUCCCAAAUUAGGUAUACUUGGAAACAUUGAUUUAUAGUUAUUCCACACGCGGUAAACUUCGUCCUUGUUUCCAACACUUCCAUACAAACUCAGGAGAUAAUGAAAAGGUACUUUAUCUCGACCUAGUAUUCUACCCUCGGCCUUUUUUAAGCACUCUUGUGCUUUUUCAAACAGUUCCAUCUUAAUACAUUGCAGCCAUUGUACUAAAUGUACUCCAAUUAGGAAUAAUGGUAGGAUCCUUCGACAUCUAUUCAAAAACUUGUUCCAUCUUCUCUAUUGAUCCCUGAGAUCCACAAGAGGACAACCAGAUAUUAUAUGUAUAUAUAUCUAGCCGUAUGUUCUUUUCUUUCAUUUCUGAAACCAACAUAUCGACUUUAUCAUAAUCCUUAAGGUUCAUGUACAGAGUCAUCAUUAAAUUAAACGGUAGUGAAUGUAUUAAGUACCUUUUACUCCUCAUUACUUCGAGUAAAGAUUCUGCCUUUUCUCUUGAUCUAGAAUGAACGUAUGCAUUCAAGAGGGCACCGUAUGUUCUCUUGUCUUUUAAAUCAUUGGUUAGGUUCAGAAAAAAACCUUCUGCACUAGAAACUCCGUGAACUCUUGCGAUUAGAUCUAACUGAAUCGCAACAUCACUUGCAGAUAUUCUAAACCUCUCUGGUCUAUUGUUUAUCCAAUCAUAUACCUGCAAAACAUGUUCAUUAGUCAUUACUUUCAUAAAAUCGUUUGUGGCUGAUAAUAAGACAUUAUUUGAGGCGAGUAAGCAUUCCGUUUAAUAGAAUCAUAGGGGAAAUGGAAACAGUGAGUGAUCAGCCAUUCCAAAGGAAACAGUGAGUGAUGUCAUACUUUCAUACAUUCCAAAGGAAGCAUUCCUUUUAAUAGAAUCAUAGGGGAAAUGGACUUCUAGAUUAUUAAACUUUACUGACAGUUUGCAAACCAGGAAUCGACAAGUGGAUAGUAUAAGAAUGCUGUUACAGUUCAGUUUUUUUUUUUUUUUGACCAACAGUUUAGGUAAUUGAAUUCAUAAAAUCAAGUGAAUUAUAUAAAUAGUAAAGGAAGUGCAUUUUCCAGCAUUCGAAUGUGUCCUGUCUGUGGUUCUCAGGAAGAAGUUUUAAUUCAUAUGCUUAAGAGAUUUCUCCCAUGUCAAAAAGAUAUUUGGCAGCAAUUCUUGGAUUUUAUCCCUAUUAAUUAAUCCAAUUCCACUAUGCAUGGUAGAUCAAGGAUAAUCUUAAUAGCCAAGUUCUAUUGAUUGGAGGCAUGGAAUGGUCCACUUUGUUUGGAUUCUUAUUUUCUGCAAUUUGGUUUGAGAGGAAUCAGUUGGUGUUCAAUCAAGUUGAUUUAUGAUCCCAGAGGCUCUUUCCAUUAUGAUUCAAGUUAAAGUUUUGUUCGAUCGUCUUAAUAACUUUUUGCUUGAUGAAGAAAUAUACAAUGAUGAUGGCGAAAGAAACUUAAAGCAAUGUUCAGUUAAUUCUAUGGAAAUUCAAGAUGGAGACUUCAUUUGUGAUCAUAAAUCUGUGUCUCCAACUUUAAGAGAUGUUAAUAUAGAAAUCAGGUGGGGACAGAAAAUUGCAGUUUGUGGACCAGUUGGAGCUGGAAAAUCAUCUCUUUUGUAUGCAAUACUAGGAGAGAUUCCAAAGAUUUCAGGAACUGUAAGUUUCUAAUAGAACAUAUUUAAAUGAGUAAAUAUCCAAAAAGAGGGAUAAACUUGAAAGACAUUUUGCAAUUUCAGGGAUGAUUUUAUAGUAUUAAUAAUGUGAGGGAUGUUGUCAUUUAAAUUUUUAUCAUGCCAAAUUCAUAUGGAUAUACAUAUUAUUAGUAUCUAAAACUAAUAAAACAGAUUUAGAUUUUUAUCAUGCCAAAUUCAUAUGAAGAAACAUAGUAUUAGUAUCUUCAACUUUUUCACCCCAUGAUAUUUUGAUGUAAUGGAAAACAGGUUAAGGUAGGUGAAACUCUUGCCUAUGUUUCUCAAUCUUCUUGGAUACAAAGUGGAACAGUUCAAGAUGGCAAGACCAUGGACAAAACAAGAUAUGAGAAAGCAAUUAAAGCUUGUUCCUUACAUAAGGAUAUCAAUGAUUUUAGCCAUGGUGAUCUUACAGAAAUUGGUCAGAGAGGGAUCAAUAUAAGUGGAGGACAAAAGCAAAGGAUUCAACUAGCUAGAGCAGUCUAUAAUGAUGCAGAUAUCUAUCUCCUUGAUGAUCCUUUCAGUGCAGUUGAUGCUCAUACAGCAGCAAUACUUUUCAAUGUAAGCAAAUAUAACAUUUUAUCAUGUUAAGGAAAAAUACAUCCUGUGGUCCAAUAAAUUGUUGAAUUUUAUUAAUUCCUUUGUCCCACAUAAGUUAUUUAAGUCAUAUUGUGUAUGUAUUGGGCAACAAUUACAUUUGGGGCUAUACAGCCUAGUCUGGGCACUUCCCCCAAUUUAUCUACUCUAUCCUGCAGUAUUUGUCCACAAAUUGUUGGACCUAAUUUAGAAAUGAACAAGAGGUACAAUUAAACAUUUUAAAUGACUGCGUGAUGUACUUUGUCUUAGCGAUUUCGCUACUGUCCUCAUUUUGAUGAACUAACUGCUUUGAGAGCGAAAACAGUCAUUCUAGUUACUCAUCAAGUGGACUUUCUCUCAGAAGUUGAUACUAUCUUGGUAAAUUAUUUCAUUUUGAUGCUUAUUAUAUUGCAUUUGAACAUAGUUUAACAUGAUUCAGUGUAAUUAUAUGUGUUGGUGUCGGACACAUGUAAUUACACGCCUAAUCCGAGGAGUGUCUGUGCUUCAUAGCAUCCUAUAAUUCACACAAAGUAGUAGAAUCAUAUUCAUGAAUAACUCAAAAUGAACACAAUUGCAAUCCAACCAACGCAAUACAAACCCAAACAGCCAACACAGUACUCCAAUCCUAUCACAAAAACACAUUCCACCACUAACAUAGCACCAUUCAAUUGAGCCAAACAAACACCAAACUCCAAUUAAAUAUCUUUUUACCAUAUAGAAUAACAUAUAAUGAAGAAAAGGUUUAUAAUGAUUGGAUUUACCUGAAGAGCUCUGUCAUGUUUUCUGUACUUUCUCAACUCUUUAACAACUCUACAAAGUUCCCAUUUGGUGAGAUUCCUGCCUUCAUUCUCCCAUUGAUUCAACACAGAAGCAGAACCCAAUUCAGGAUUCUGCAUCAUUGAAAUUCUCUUGUAUAUAGCAUUCCAUUUCAAAUUGGGUUUUCUCUCAUAAUCAAGAGUACCAUAAUUGUGAAUCUUUGAAAUUGAACAAGUGACAGAAACUCUUCUUGCUCCUCCAAUUCCAAUUCCAAUUCCAGGGUCAGUGUAAAAGACAUUGACCCUUUGUUUGAAGGGAAGAGUAUGAGAAUAGUAGAGGGAAGAUGAAAGUGAAAGUGAAAGAGAAACAUUUUGGUUUUGUAAAGAAGAUUGAAUUUUUUUUUUUUUUUUGGUGACAAAGAAGAUUGAAUUUGAAGAGGCGUAAUAGUGGUCAUCAUUUUCUCAGUCAAAAUGUUUUGUUGCCGAUGUUGUUUGUUGAAGAUAAUAAUGAUGUUUGGAUUUGAGAUAGAUAUGAUAGGGUCCACUUUGGAUGCAGAUUCACUACAGUCUACAGUCAAAGCAAUACCCAUCGUUGGAUUUAUCACAUGGUAUAUUUUUCUGCCACGUACCCACUUUUGGUUUAAUUGACUUUAACCCUUUCUCCUAUUUUAAGUGAAAAAGACGCAUAUUUUUGAAGUUUUUGGAAUUUAAUAAACUUUUCUAUUAGUUUUUGGAACUUACAUAAUGGAAUAGACACUCCAAUAUUAUUUUAAAUAAAUAUAUUGGCUCGUAUUAAAUAUCUUAAAAAGUAUCAACUAAUUAAGCUUAAGUAAUCAAUAAAAAGUAUCGACUAGCCUUUCUAAGUAAUAUUAUUAUUGCUAAUUUAUGUUAUUUAAGUGAUAUAUUGUUUUCUUUUUUAUUUACCUACGUCUUGAUAUUUUGGAAUGAGAGAUAGAAAAUUAGAGAGAGAUAUAGUGAAAAAAUGAGAGAGAUUACUCUACUUUUUGAGGUAAUUACGAGCAUAUUUACUUCAAUAUUUUCAAAAGGUGGUCCAUAUGAUUUUUUUUUGUUUUUAUGUAAUUUGUAAGAAAUGACUAUUUCAUAGUAAUUUUGAUAAGAAAAACUUAUAGUAUAUUUGUUUCUACAAACAUAUUUUUAUUUUAUGAUAUUAAAAUAACGGAUAGAGAUCUUAAAAUAGACUAUUGUCAUAUGAACUACUCAAAUUGAUCAUAAUUCAUUUAAUAUAAUAUAAAAUAUUUAUAUGAAACAUCGUGUGGCUAUAAUUAAAUCAUUUAUUUUUCACUGAACUUAUGUUCAAGGUAAAAUGGGAUGAACUGCAAUGCAAUCGUUCCAAACUUUGUCAUUCCUCUUCAAAAUUUCAGUUUUGUUUUUGGCAUAUGCUGGCCAUUGGAGUGCAUUUCUUGUCAAGUCAUAAUGGCAUGAUUUUCCAACAUCAUUCACAAGGCUAUGACAACAAUAAUCACUAAUAAUCUGAUUUCCAACAAAUACACCAGAGAAUAUUUGUUUACCACAUUCUGCAGGCUUUAAUUUGCUUGCACAAUUAGUUAAAUACUUCUCAUACGGCGACAAUGGCUUUGGGGCAGAAGCAACAUCAUUAAAAGGACCUCCAGAAGGUGGCUGAGAAAUUUCAGAACACAAUGAGGUUGUGAAAAGCAAAGUAAAACCGAUCAUAAUAGUCACAACAUCGUAAAAGCCAUUGAAUGAUACCAUGCCUAUUUAGAGAAUGAUAAUUUAAUCAAAGUCUUGAAGAUGAUUUGCUUAGUUGAAUUGGUUAUCAACAUAUUCUUAUUUAUAAUAUAUGUGACACUAUAUUAACGUAAAAAUGUAUUUAGUAUGUUAUUGUAACUCUCAUAAAAUACUAAGAAAGGUAAGUUUUCAAGUUCUAGAGAAACCGAGAUUUUUUAUUGUUUUUUUAACUUCUCAUACAACUUUACAUAUUAAAAUAAUCUAAUUUUGUAACUUGCAAAAGUUAAAGUUACAUUUUAAAACGAUACUUAAAUUUAUAAAAUAAAUCAGAUUAUUUUUUAUUUCGAAGAAAUCUCACUUUUACCUGCGCAUUUGCUAUCCUAUUUUGACUUAUCUCUAGUAAGUAGUUAUUUCGAUGUCGUAUUUUUUAUAAAAAAAAAAAAAAAAAAAAAAAAAAAACUAUUUAAUCAAGUCGGUCCACGAUAUCAUGGGUUUCUUUUGGACUAAGAUUAAAUUCGGAUAAUGAUGGGUUAAAUUAGUUCUAAAAGGUUUAAAAUAAAAGUUUACGUGCCAAUUGAAUUUGAUAUACAAAGAAUGAGUUAAACAAAGAUAGAUAAUCAACUAUGUUAGGACAAAGAGAUUGUGUUCAUAUUUUUUAUAACUAAUCAUUACCUUGAGGUCAAUCAUUUUCCCACAAAACAAUGAUUAGAAACAAAUACAUAAAGCAUGUAUAUAGUACUAUCAUCUCCAUACGCCCUCAUUCAAAUCCACACGAUAGGGAAAGAGACAUGAGCAAAUAGUGGUUGGCGAGGUGAUUAUAUUUUCUACUAUUCUUACAUUAGGCACCCAACUAAUUCACAUAUAGAAAUAUAAUACCUUUUUAUGUAUUGUGUCUUCUAAAUCAACUGUAUAAUAGCUAUUUUUCAUUAAAAAUUUAUACUUUAGGAUAAUGUUCUUGAAGCUCUUCAUUAUUUUUUCAUGCUUUAAUUUGUUAUUUUAGUUUUGACUUAUUUAAAGUUAUUUUAAACCACGUAAAUGAAAUAGUUUUUUUGAAAUAUAAAAUAAGAAUGUAUAUUUAUUUUGACAUGAAUUUCUACUAUUUUUUUUACUGAAAUUAUCGUUUUUAAUAUAAUUUUUUUCACGACUAGUAUGUGUUUGCUGAUUGUAAGAAUUAGGGAAGGAAACUCACUUAAUCGAACAUAUAUAUUAGCUUACUUAUUUGUAUCGGUAGAGGAUGGAGGUAUCUCGGGGUGCCAACCUAGUUGGGAUGUCGACGACGCCUCUUGAUGCUGUAUACACUCUCCUAGUUUAUCAAAAAAAAAAAAAAAAUGUUGUCUUCUUUGCUUGUGCUAGCCUUUAAAAAACUUCACUUGUGCCUUGGCAACUAAGAAACAGAUGGAACAAUAUGCAAGUCAUGUUGAGGGAUAUGCGUUGUAUUAUGACUCAUAUCUAUCGAGAAGGGAAUAAGUUGCAGACUGUCUAGCUAACCAUGGCCGUACUUUGCAAGAUUUACGUGUUUGGAAUGCUACUCCUGAUUUCAUUAAUGAUUGUUAUGUUAGAAAUUUACUAGGGAUGCCUUCUUUUAGGUAUAUCUCUUUUUGAUGGUGUUUUUUGUGCUGUCCCCUCCAUCUUGUAUUUUCCCAUUCUCUUUUAUCAAUAUAUUUUGGGUUGGUUAGCACCUUAGCUACCACCCUUUCUACAAAAAAAAAAAAAAAAAAACGCUUUACUUUUAUUACUUGUUUUAAAAUGCAUGGUUUAAUCUUUUUUUGUUGAAGUAUUUGGAAUUUAAUAAACUUUUUUAUUAGUUUUUGGGACUUACAUAAUGGAAUAGACACUCCAGUAUUAGUUUCAAUAAAUAUAUUAGCUCGAAUUAAAUAUCCUAAUAAGUAUCAACUAAGCUUAAGUAAUCAAUAGAAAGUAUCGACUGGCCUUUCUUAGUAAUAUUAUUAUUGCGGAUUUGUGUUAUUUUAGUGAUAUAUUGUUUUCUUUUUUAUUUACCUACGUCUUGAUAUUUUGGAAUGAGAUAGAAAAUUAGAGAGAUAGAGUGAAAAAUGAGAGAGAUUAGUCUACUUUUUGAGGUAANCACUUUUACCUGCGCAUUUGCUAUCCUAUUUUGACUUAUCUCUAGUAAAAGAUUAUUUCGAUGUCGUAUUUUUUUUUCUUUAAACAAAAACUAUUUAAUCAAGUCUGUCCACGAUAUCAUGGGUUUCUUUUGGACUAAGAUUAAAUUCGGAUAAUGAUGGAUUAAAUUAGUUCUAAAAGGUUUAAAAUAAAUGUUUACGUGCCAAUUGAAUAUGAUAUAUAGAGAAUGAGUUAAACCAAAGAUAGAUAAUCAACUUUGUUAGGACAAAGAUAUUGUGUUCAUAUUUUUAAGAACUAAUCAUUACCUUGUGCUAAAUUAUUUUCCCACAAAACAAUGAUUAGAAACAAAUACAUAAAGCAUGUAUAUAGUACUAUCAUCUCCAUACGCCCUCAUUCAAAUCCAAACGAUAGGGAAAGAGACAUGAGCAAAUAGUGGUUGGCGAGGUGAUCAUAUUUUCUACUAUUCUUACAUUAGGCACCCAACUAAUUCACAUAUAGAAAUAUGAUACCUUUUUAUGUAUUGUGUCUUCUAAAUCAACUGUAUAAAAGCUAUUUUUCAUUAAAAAUUUAAACUUUAGGAUAAUGUUCUUGAAGCUCUUCAUUAUUUUUUCAUGCUUUAAUUUGUUUUUUUAUUUUUGACUUAUUUAACGUUAUUUUAAACCACGUAAAUGAAAUAGUUUUUCCGAAAUAUAAAAUAAGAAUGUACAUUUUUAUAUGAAUUCCUACUAUUUUUUUACUUAAAUUAUCGUUUUUUAAUAUGAUUUUUUUCACGACUAGUACGUGUUUGCUGAUUGUAAGAAUUAGGGAAGGAAACUCACUUAAUCGAACAUAUAUAUUAGCUUACUUAUUUAGUUGUCAACCUGAACUUUUAUUACUUGUUUUAAAAUGCAUGGUUUAAUCUUUUUUUUUUGUUGUUGAUGUUUUUGGACUUUAAUAAUUUUUCUAUUAGUUUUUGGGACUUACGUAAUGGAAUAGACACUCCAGUAUUAAUUUAAAGAAAUAUAUUGGCUCGUAUUAAAUAUCCUAAAAAGUAUCAACUAAGCUUAAGUCAUCAAUAGAAAGUAUCGAUUAGCGUUUCAUAAUAAUAUUAUUAUUGUUGAUUUGUGUUAUUUUAGUGAUAUAUUGUUUUCUUUUUUAUUUACCUACGUCUUGAUAUUUUGGAAUGAGAGAUAGAGUGAAAAAUGAGAGAGAUUAGUCUACUUUUCGAGGUAAUUACGAGCAUAUUUACUUUAAUAUUUCCAAAAGGUGGUCCAUACGAUUUUUUUUUUUUUUAUGUAAUUUGUAAGAAAUGACUAUUUCAUAGUAAUUUUGAUAAGAAAAACUUAUUGUAUAUUUGUUUGUACAAAAAUAUUUUUAUUUUAUGAUAUUAAAAUAACGGGUAGAGAUCAUAAAAUAGAUCAUUGUGAUAUGAAAUACUCAAGUUGAUCAAAAUUCAUUUAAUAUAAUAUAAAAUAUUCAUAUGAUACAUCGUGUGGCUAUAAUUAAAUAAUUUAUUUUUCACUGAAUUUAUGUUCAAGGUAAAAUGGGACGAACUGCAAUGCAAUCGUUCCAAACUUUGUCAUUCCUCUUCAAAAUUUCAGUUUUGUUUUUGGCAUAUGCUGGCCAUUGNNNNNNNNNNNNNNNNNNNNNNNNNNNNNNNNNNNNNNNNNNNNNNNNNNNNNNNNNNNNNNNNNNNNNNNNNNNNNNNNNNNNNNNNNNNNNNNNNNNNUUUUUUAUUGUUUUUUUAACUUCUCAUACAACUUUACAUAUUAAAAUAAUCUAAUUUUGUAACUUGCAAAAGUUAAUGUUACAUUUUAAAACGAUAGUUAAAUUUAUAAAAUAAAUCAGAUUAUUUUUUAUUUCGAAGAAAUCUCAAUUUUACCUGCGCAUUUGCUAUCCUAUUUUGACUUAUCUUUAGUUAGAAAUUAUAUCGAUGUCAUACUUUUAUUUAAAAAAAUAAACUAUUUAAUCAAGUCGGUCCACGAUAUCAUGGGUUUCUUUUGGACUAAGAUUAAAUUCGGAUAAUGAUGGGUUAAAUUAAUUAUAAAAGGUUUAAAAUAAAAGUUUACGUGCCAAUUGAAUAUGAUAUACAGAGAAUGAGUUAAAUCAAGAUAGUUUUUUUAAUAUUUUUUCAUACUUUAUUUGUUUUUUAGUUUUGUCUAAGUUAUUUUAAACCGUGUAAAUGACAUAGUUUUUUCAGAAUAUAAAAUAAAAAUGCCCAUAAAAUUCUAGUAAUUUUCAUUAUUAGCUAGUCUUGCCAUCUAUUAUUUAAUUUUUUUGACAAAUUACCAUCUAUUAUUAUGUACCUCAUUGUAUUGAACAACUUAUUGUUAAUAAAAUGUUAUAAACAUACCUCGAUUUAAAAAAUAUCAUAGGACUUUACUUUAAAUAAAAAAAAAAAACAUUUAAAGACAAAUUUUGUGUUUGGAUAAUUUUUUUUUAGCACUUUCCACAUCCAUUCAUCGCCAACACAAAUUAUCGAAACUGCCACUGUGCUUAAACUUUUCCUUACACGAAUGGUUAACCAUUUAACGCGCUAAAAGGGUCGUUUGAGUGCGAAUACCGUUAUGAUUGGAACGUGUUUCCCACGCUCCGUAUCUGUGAGUGUAGAUAAAAAUCUUCUAAACAAUAUCCUUUCGCUCUCGUUAAUAACCGUUUUAAAAAAACACGCAACGAAAUUUCUAAAAACAGAAAUUGGAAGCUUCAUUUCAUUUUCCACUUUUUUUUCUUUCAGUUUUCGUCUCUUCGGUAAUUCGAUUCUCUCUUUCUCUCUCUAAUUUCUAUGCUUUCUGUUUUUUUUUUUUUUUCCUACUUAAAAUAUGAAAAAAAAAAGUUAAUGCGAAUAGUUAUUUGUUUUAAAGAAAUUCUUAUUAAUUAAAGUAACGUUAAUAGUCAUUUUGUCCGAGAGAAUUUGAACUUUGUACCUUGAGGUUAUAAGGCUAAACACUUACCACUGAGUUAGUAUCUGAAUGACCGUUUAACUAAUUGUGAUCAACGCUUGUUAGGAUUAGUUUGGUUUAGUUUAUUUAGUGACAUGAGCAUUUUUUUUUACAGUGUUUCGGAGAACUUAAAUAAAACAGCUUAUGAAAAUAAGCUGUUUACGAUAGUUUAAAACUACUUAUAGAUUAUACGAAAACAGUGUGACUUUACCAGUGAGUUGGUACUUGAAUGACGGUUGAACUAUUUGUGAUUAAUGCUUGUUAGGAUUAGUUUGUUUGAGAUUAUUUAAUGGCAUAAGCAUUUGUAACAGUGUUUCGGAUAGAUGAUGAAAACUGUUUGUUGAUUAUAUGAAAACAAUUUGACUCUAUUUUAUCAUGUGUUAUAUAAAUAGUUUGUUCAUAAGUGCUUAUAAGUUAAUUGUUUAUUCUAUAAGGUGGAAAAUAAGUUGUUUUUACAAUUAGGGGCUAAUUUAUGUACUCUUUAUCAUUUGUUUCAGGAAUGAUUUGAGAAAGGAUUCUGUAUGAGUUGUUUGGUUUGGAAGAAAAAAUGGAUAUAGGUUUUAGCUUACCGCAGUCAAAAGUAGCUUUCAACGGUCUCGAUUCUUGUUGUGCUUUUGUUUGUAAUUCGAGGAACGUUUUGAAAGCUCGUUGUGGAAGAGAGUUGAGAGUUUCGACUUUGAAGUUGAAUUUGUUGUGUAGGAGUAGUAAACUUUUUAGGGGAAAUAGGGGAGUUUGGCUUAAGUGUCAGGGAAAUGAUUCUUUUGCAUAUGAUAAUGGAAAUGGUAGGAAUGUUGAUAAUUUGAAAGGUUUGAAUGAAGAAUCGAAUUUGGGGUCGAUUUCUGGUGCGGAAUCAGGUGAACCUUUGGGAGAAGUUGGGGGUCAGGUGGAAGUAGAUGUGCAAAGUGUGGAUGAAUUGAAAGAAUUGUUGCAAAAGGCGUUGAAGGAAUUAGAAGCUGCUAGAGUUAAUAGUAUUGUGUUUGAGGAAAAGGUUAAAAAGAUAUCAGAAACCGCAAUAUCUUUGCAAGAUGAAGCAUCAAGAGCUUGGACUGAUGUUAAUUCUACACUUGAUAUUAUUCAGGAAAUUGUGAGUGAAGAAUUUAUUGUGAAAGAAGCGGUUCAAAACGCAACAAUGGCUCUUUCUUUAGCUGAGGCAAGGCUUCAAGUAGCCGUUGAAUCUUUGGAAGUUGUAAAUGAAGAUUAUAAUUCCGUGCGAGGUUCUAACGAGAGUGAUGGUGGCAAAGGUGUAGGGCAAGAGGAUAAAGAACGUGUGGUUGCUCGGGAAGAUAUCAAGGAUUGUCAGACAAAUUUAGCGUGUUGUGAGGCUGAGUUGAGGCGAUUGCAAAGUAGAAAAGAGGAGUUGCAGAAUGAAGUGAAUAAAUUGCAUGAAAUUGCUGAAAAAGCUCAGUUGACUGCUGUGAAAGCGGAAGAGGAUGUGAAUGACAUCAUGCAUUUAGCUGAGCAAGCUGUUGCCCUUGAACUUGAGGCUGCAAAGCGUGUUAACGAUGCAGAGAUUGCAUUUCAGAAAGCAAACAAGUCUUUCGUUAGCGUUAAUUCUGACACGACAGACACUCUACCAGUAGAAGAUGUUGUGGCCCUCCCCGAGGAGGAGAAAUUGGUUCAACAUUUUUCUGGGGAUGCUGCUGUUAAAGGAGAGCUCGAUUUAUCAAGUAAUGAUGAGUCUUUGCUUGCCGCGGAAUCACUAGAGACACAGUCCAAUAAAACCAGCCAAACCUUGGAAGAGACAACUGAAUCUGAUUAUCUAAGUGAUCUUGAUAAUGAACAGUUAAGCUUAGACUCUUCUAAAGAAGCUGAACUCGAAGUAGAGAAGUCGAAGAAUGUAGUUCAAACAAAAAAACAAGAAACACAAAAAGAAUCGACUAGGGAUAAUUCACCAUCUUCUCCCAAGUCAUCAUUGAAGAAGUCGUCCCGAUUUUUUCCUGCAUCAUUUUUCUCGUCUAGUACAGAUGAGUUUGAUUACUCACUAGCAUCAGCUUUCAAUGAUCUUGUGGAAUCUGCACAGAAGCAAUUACCAAAGCUGAUUGUUGGGUUAUUGUUAGUUGGAGCAGGGUGUGUAUGAUAUUUAUUUAUCUUGCUCCUUUUUCUUGCUGUUACCUUUUGUUAGACCAUCGUAGAAACAAUUUAUUUGGAAGUAUAUAUAAAUCAUAUGGCUGGCCUAGAAUAUGUAAUGCAUAUCAGAGUAAUAGAUCUGAAAUAUUCAGGUUAUAAUUUUUAGCUUUUAGUGCAACAUGAUGGAAAAGUAUGAAAUAUUCACUGCUUUGUUUAAAAACUGAUCAUGAAAUAAAAUUUUCUGCCAUGGGGAUGGGAAAGUUAUUCUGUCUUUUUUAAGUAUGACUAUUACGAUUUGUCAUUAUAGGCGAAAAGAUCAAUAUGAAGGUUUUGCUGUUUUACUAGAACCGGUGGACUUUUAUUUUCAGGCUCACCUUUUAUGCCAAUCGAGCAGAUAGGAGUUCUCAACUGCUUCGGCAGCCAGAAGUCGUUGCAACCACAGUUGAAGAAGUUUCCUCAAGUGCAAGGCCUCUAGUUAGACAACUUCAGGAACUCCCCAAUAGAAUUAAGAAAGUUAUUGCGUCGAUACCUGAACAAGAGGUCCGAUCUUUUUACUCAUUAUUUUGAUGCUCGAUUCAGUAUGUUUCAUCUGACACUGGAUUGUAUUUAUUGUAGGUGAGCGACGAGGAAGCUUCCCUCUUUGACAUGCUCUGGCUAUUACUUGCUAGUGUUAUAUUUGUCCCUCUAUUUCAAAAAAUUCCUGGAGGUAAAUUGGUUGCCGUGUUUUCUAAAUGAUGGUUUCAACAUAAUCUUUCAAAGUAUGACCAAUGUUUUACUUUAGUUUGAAUUUGGUUAGCUACAAACUUUAUAUAUUGCUCAUAUGAAGCUUUGGUGUAUUGAUUGUCUAACAUUCACGUAUUGUUUCACUGAUUCUGUGGUCCUUUAUCUGCAAAAAUCUGUAGGCAGUCCUGUUCUUGGUUACUUGGCUGCUGGAAUAUUGAUUGGGCCUUAUGGACUCUCAAUCAUUCGCAAUGUUCAUGGGACAAAAGCAAUCGCUGAAUUUGGAGUUGUUUUCCUGUUAUUUAAUAUUGGCCUGGAGGUGGAGCUCGACAUAUGAUCUUGUUGUACCAUAAAUUUGAUUAUCUCCUUAUUGAAAAGCAAACUGAAACUCUGAACUGUUUUUUUCUAGCUCUCUGUGGAAAGACUUAGUUCAAUGAAGAAAUAUGUCUUUGGAGUAGGCUCUGCUCAGGUGAUUGUGAAACUCCGUCUUUCACCUUUGUAGUAAGAAAAUAUAAAAAUUAUAUUGUAAUAUACUGAUUAUUUGAUUCUAAGAAGAAUUUAGACCAUCAGUUGGAUUUUAUCUCCGCAUCUCCUUACAUAUCAUGAUUUGUUCAUUAUUUAGUUAAGCUUAAGAGUCUAAUAUUAAUAUAAAUACGGAUUAGUCAUUAGUGCUUUGUCUUAUGUAACAACAUCCAAUAUAUAAUUCACUGCAUAACAAUAUAAUUUUACUGUUAAGUAUUCCUUUUCCGCCCUCCACACCUAAACGGCUAAAUCCUAAAACCUCAAAACUUGUUAGUAUUGUUUACCUGAUGAUGUUCUAUUUACAUACUAGUAAUUUACAAGCCAACAAUUUUCACCAUGUUUGAAUAAAUGCAGGUUUUGUUGACUGCCGCAGUGAUUGGGUUGGUGGCUCAUUAUGUUUGUGGCCAAGCUGGCCCUGCUGCUAUUGUCAUUGGGAAUGGAUUGGCAUUAUCAUCAACUGCUGUUGUUCUGCAGGUACAUAUCCUGAGUAUUGUUUGCUUUUAAAUUCUUACUAUAGGGUAUACAUUCACACAGUCUAGUCAGUUUAAUCAAUCCAGCUUUAUGCCAUUGUUUAAUGUAUGUUAUGAGAUUGUGAUAUCUAGCUAUUUUAAAAACACAAAUGGAUUGUAAAAGGAUUUUGCUCUGGCAUGUAUCUGUUAACAAAUAUAAAUACAUUUAUGGUAGUCAUUAAUUGAUAAAUCUUGAAGUCUAUGUUCUAUAGCUAAUUUGCUAUAAUGCUAGUCCACCUUCAAAAAACUCCAUUGAUACGAGUUUAAAUAUUUAGGGUUGGAGUCAAGACUUUGUCCUUUCUAUAUUAUAAUUUUAUAAUUUUACUUUCAUGUAUUCUGAGUCCUCCAUGUUGCAAUAUUUCAAGUGAACUUGUUUUACAGGUGUUACAGGAGAGAGGUGAGAGCACAUCACGACAUGGACGAGCUACAUUUUCUGUAUUACUUUUUCAGGUUACUUCAUACCUUACCUAUCUAUCUAGAAAGUAGAAAAAUGAAGGAUUUCACGGUAAAAUACAGUAUUGUAUUAUAUAUUAUAUGUUAACACUUGUGACAUAUAGUUGACCAAGCUUUGUCUUAUGAGAGACAUCUUGGCUAAACUUUGUCUUUUUUAGUAUGUGAUUAAGUAUACUAUAGAUCCACAACUAGCGUCUUCUCUGUCUGUUUUUUUCCCUAUCUUGUUGAUUUCUAUAUUUUGACCGAAACUGACUAUUUCUUCUUUGUUUAUACACAGGAUUUGGCUGUCGUCGUCUUGCUAAUACUCAUACCUCUUAUCUCACCUAAUUCUUCCAAAGGAGGGGUAACACUUUCUAGCACCUUUUGUUUAAAAUACUUCAUCAGAUGUUUUCAUGAAGUUAAGAAAGUGGCUAGUUAAAGUUGUAUGAACUGCUGUGUAGCAUGAGAAAGUGUAUAACAAGGGUGUUCCAUGUUGUUCAGAGAACUUGCAUUUAAUUGGAUAAUUUAAUUUAAUUUUUUUACAUUUGAAUUAGAAGGGUCGGGACACAUUUCACUCUUUCUAGUUGAAGUUGGUUCAUGUUAAAUUCUUGACUGGAAGCCAUUAACUUUGCAUUCAGUUAUGACGAUCACCGUCAUUUCUAUGCACAUACUGUAGUUGCUGCUACCAUUAUCUUUCUGUAAAAUAUUAGUAUCUGUUUUCAGGUUGGCUUUCAAGCCAUUGCUGAAGCUCUUGGUCUGGCUGCCGUUAAGGCUGCAGUUUCCAUCACUGCCAUAAUUGCAGGUGGACGAUUGGUAAGUUGUAUUGACUAGAACUGAGGUGUGAGCAGUGUAAUUUCUAAUUAUUAAAAUGUAAUCUGAAUCUGGAAGGUGAUUUUUAAGAACAUCUUCUUUAAGGUCUAGCAUGAUAUAUAUUAUAAAUGAUCCUUUGUAGCACUCAAUAUGUUGACAUCUAAAAGUUGAUAAGGAUGAGUUUUAGUACAAAUUACCGACUGAAUGCUGCGGAUUGAUUUGUAUAUUUUAUAAUGAUUAGUAAUCUGGUGUCAUGAAAAUUCAGAUAUUGUAUUUAUUAUGGUGGAUGGAAGUUACCAACUCAGUUGCUUAGAGUGGUUGAGAUGAGUUUUGUACUGUUACACAUACACAUGUGGUCCUGGUUGAAGUUUGUAGACUUAGAGGGGUUAAUUAAUUGUAGCAGGCAUUUCGAAACAUAUACGUUUUUUCAGAGGAUGAUCUCUUUAUUUCUGCUCUUGCAUUCAUUCUAAAAGCAUCUUACGUUGUUACUUUGUCACAGACAUGACUUUUGGAAUGUGAUUUUCCACUCUUCUUUUGUCCAGCUCCUUCGACCUAUAUACAAGCAAAUUGCAGAAAAUCAGAAUGCAGAAAUAUUUUCAGCCAAUACACUCUUCGUUGUUCUUGGGACCAGCCUUCUCACAGCCAGGGUAGUUUUUGGAUCGCUGCUUUUCCUUUUUUCCUUUGAGUUAUUCAUGUGACCAUUGAAGUCAUAAUUUGUCUGUACUGUGCUAGCCUGACUCCGUUACUUUUUUUCAAAUGUAAAUUUUAUUUGAAACAGGCAGGCCUGUCCAUGGCUUUGGGAGCAUUUUUGGCUGGUUUACUACUGGCAGAAACCGAAUUUUCCUUACAGGUCGAAUCUGAUAUUGCUCCAUAUCGUGGCCUUCUAUUGGGCCUCUUCUUUAUGACGGUGGGUGCUUGAUGUUCGAAUUCAAAAGUUAAUCAAUCACAUGGUUUAUUUAUUCAUGGAUCAUCUAUUUUAUACUUUAUUAAACUUCUGUUCAAUUACUUACAUUGGAAUAACUCUUAUAUGAAUCUUGCCGUUUCUCAAAAAAAAGAAAAAACUAUAUAUAAAUUUUCAACAGAAAGGAAUGACUGACUUGAGGUUUGUAACUUUUCAGGUUGGAAUGUCAAUUGAUCCAAAACUUCUUCUUUCAAACUUUCCAGUCAUCAUAGGGACAUUGGGACUCUUGAUAUGUGGCAAGACACUCUUGGUUGCUUUGAUUGGCAAAAUUUUCGGUAUUUCAAUCAUAUCCGCCAUCAGAGUUGGGCUUCUUCUUGCUCCUGGAGGAGAAUUUGCAUUUGUGGCUUUUGGCGAAGCUGUUAAUCAGGUUUUUGUCCUUAAAAACUAUUUCUCAUGACAAGUUUGUCUGGUUUAAUAAAUAAGCAUCUGCCAUAUAUCUUCAUAUUCAUGUGAAACAAAUCCAUGCUCUUUGUGUUAGGAUCUAAGAAUAUGCUUCUUGGUGUUCUUUACUUGAGAUUAUUAUAGAGGUUUACGUCUAUGUCAUCUUUCCCCGAAAAUAGACUAAUAAGUGAAUACAUAAUUUGUUCUUACCGGACAUUUCUUGAUAAACUAAGGUUGUUUUUUCAAAUUGUGUUAUUGUUGUCUUAUACUUUUUGGAUUCUUUUUUAUCUUGGGAAAAAGGGUGGUUGAAAAAACCAGAAACAUAGAUCAAUUUUCUGAUUUCUGCUAAGAAUUUUCUUCCUCUUUGAAAUUUAAUACGCUUUAAAAAAAACUAAUAUCUUUCCUAAUUGACAUUUUUGUAGGGUAUAAUGUCUUCCCAGUUGUCCUCUUUGCUGUUCCUUGUUGUGGGAAUUUCAAUGGCCCUUACGCCAUGGCUAGGCGAAGGAGGCCAGCUGAUUGCUUCCCGUUUUGAGCAACAUGAUGUUCGAAGCUUACUACCUGUAGAAAGUGAGGUGAGAUUGCUUUCAUUAUUGGCUGACAUGGACUUAUAUUAAUUGCAAAUGGUUGUGAAAUUUACAGCAAUUACACCACCCACUUUUGGCUUUCCUGCUGGUGGACUAAACCCCGUCUUUUGAUCAGGAUUAACUUUUUCCAAUUAGUUAAACGUAUUUAUUAUUAAAUUUUUUAGUUUACUUUACUUUAGGAACAUAAUAAUUUAGCAUGUUAUUAUUUAUUUAGAUUUGACAAAAGAUUAGCGGUUGACAUUGGUUUGGUUUACCUCUUUUUCAGACAGACGAUCUGCGUGAUCAUAUCAUUAUUUGUGGAUUUGGGCGAGUUGGCCAGGUGAGUUGUUUCUUUUAUGUUAUAUUUAUUAGUUUCCAUAAUCAAUCUAAGCAUAAAAGUUUACCUUUUGUUAUUCUCAGAUCAUUGCACAACUUCUUUCUGAGCGACUUAUUCCUUUUGUCGCACUAGAUGUGCGAAGGUAACUUGAUCUAACUGAAACUAUUUUCUUUACUUAUAAAAUUGUUUAUGUUGUAAAAUAAAAUACCAUUGCUACAUUGAAUUAGCAUCUUGAUUAGCCGAGCUAUGCUGUUUGAUUAUGCAUUAAUUUCUGAUAUUCUUUCCAAAUACUUCAAUCUCCAUAAUUCAUUCAUUUCCCCCCAUCCAAACAUGAAAUAAAAUGCAUGAAGUACCAGUCUACCAUAUAUCAUGUCUGCAAUUUUGGAUGGGAAAUGGAAGUUAUUGUCCUAACUUGCCAUAAUAUUUUCUAAUGUUCUCAGUGAAAGAGUGGCAAUUGGGCGUUCAUUGGAUCUCCCAGUGUACUUCGGCGAUGCUGGUAGUCGAGAGGUAGUGCACAUGACUAAAAUAAUUAAGCUCGUAUAGGUGUUCAUUACUUGACAUGCUUUGUGUUGCGUGCUAAGGUUCUACACAAAGUCGGGGCUGGAAGGGCAAGUGCUGCAGCAAUAACUCUAGAUUCCCCUGGUGCAAACUAUAGAACGGUUUGGGCUCUGAGCAAACACUUCCCAAAUGUGAAGACUUUUGUUCGCGCUCAUGAUGUUACUCAUGGAUUGAAUUUAGAAAAAGCUGGAGCUACAGCGGUAAUAUUUUGAUACCUCUUCUAUCAUUUCUGUUAUCAUUGCCUUAUCGUGUAACUUUUACAUGGUCAUUGUCUAACACUUUUUUAUUCGAUUAUUGCAUAUCUAUUGAAAAAUUGGCUAUUAUUGGACUACUUAGUGUAGAUCUUGUCAUUCUUAUGCAUCUUGUUUUUCUGUUGCUUGCAUUUGCAGGUUGUCCCAGAGACCUUGGAACCAAGUCUUCAACUAGCCGCAGCAGUGCUUUCUGAGGUAAAUAUCAUAAUGUUAUUGGAGCAGAUAUAUUGACCUAAUGGAAAAACAUUUUAUGUCAAUAUUUUGUUACACCCUUCUCUUAUGAUGACAAACACCAGUAAAUGAUUAUGUUUGUCUAUCGUCGUGAUUGAAACUUUAGGUCACAAUGGCUCUUGCCAAAAAUCUGCUUGUUUUCUCCGCAUUGUAUGUAUUACUCAAGUUUCUGGCCAAAUUUUCUUAGAAAUUGUAUGAGCAUAUUUUUGCUCUUUAUUGCAUGGAAAAAUUAGCUUCAUAAUAGCAAUUUCGAAAGUGUACCAAAUUGAACAAAACCUUUAGUUGCUUCUGUUAAUCAAAUGAACAAAUCUGCACAAAAGGGUUUUUAUCAUAUGACUUUGCUAGUUGAUGAAAUGUUGAAGCAUUGAGAUAGACAAUCUGUUAUCUGAACAUUCCUCUCUUCAGGUUAAACUUCCUGCAUCGGAGAUUGCGGCAACAAUUAAUGAAUUCAGAUCCCGCCAUCUGGCCGAACUUACAGAAGUGCGUGUUUCUUAAAGUCAUCCAUGCACACAAGAUGAGAACACUUUGUCACUAUCAACUUUAUAUAUUUGAAUGAAUGUAUAUGACUUUUGGUCUUUUUAUUCAGCUAUCUGAAACAAGUGGAAGUUCUCUUGGUUAUGGAUAUAGUAGAAUGAUGAGCAAACCCAAAACACAAUCUCCCGAUUCAAUUGACGACUCCCAAGUCCCUGAAGGGUCAACAUGAAGAUUUUACGCGAUUUAUACAAAGCAGCAGAAGGCAAAAAGAAAAAUAAUAAUUUUGGGAAAUUGUAUAGAAGAUCAAUUGGUCGAAUUAUUUGUGAACAUUGUACAGAAAUAUAUCUGCAUCGAAGAUGCGAAAUCUGUAAUUGUUAUUUCUUUCACUUGUUGUAAAUUAUCAUUCAUAUUCUUUCUCAGAUUUCUGAUAAGGAUGAAUAUAACUGUUGUAUGUAACAAUCAUUGAUGUUGUUUCAUAUUGUUUGGCUUUUGAAAGAAUGUAUAAAAUGGCCUUGUACUUUCAGUAUCUACUAGUAGAUGAUUAUUUAUGGCAACUCACAGACCAUGUAGUAGAAUUAUAAACGUAGUUAAUUAUUACAAUACUCGUUGUGAGUUUAUCUCAGUUGGUAAAGACAAUAAAUUAUAAAAUAUGUAAAGUUUGGGGUUCGAACCCUGACCAUAAAAUAUGUUGUCUUAUUAAGGUGAUCUUUGACUUAUUGGUAAGCUCACGAGUUUUGUAUAAUGUUCUUUGGUGAACUAAUUUACCUCACAUACAGUAUUUAUGAAAAUAUAGAGCUAAUUUUGUAAUAAAAAUUUAUUUUAUAUAAUUGUAUAUAAACAAACUAAAUAAUUUAAAAAAAUUGUUUUUUCGUGAAGCAGCCUAGUGGCUAGAGCUCACACAAUUAAUUAUCGACAAGUGGAGCGUGCGGGGUUCGAACCCCCACCCUUACAUAUAAUAUGCAAUAUCCCUAUGUUAAGAUCACGGGGAUAAAAAAAAUGAUUUUUAUUCUAAACAAACUAAAUUAUUUUAUAAAAAAUUAGUAUUAUUAUUCCGAUAAACAAACAUAAAUUUUUUAUAAAGUUACUGACUAUUAAUUUAUGUAUUAUUAAAUACUAUUUUGAAGGAAUGUAUUAUUAAAUACUAAAAUCACUAUUAUUUAUUCACCAAAAAAAAUCACCUUUAUUUGAAUUUUAAUAUGUAACAAACCUUCAAAUUUUUCUUAAUCUCAAGAUUUGUUUUUUAACACAAUUUCUUUUUUUAAAGCUAAAAAAAAAAAAAAAAAGAUAUUAAAUUAGUUUACAACACUUGGGCUCCAAAAUUCCCAAUUUCCCACUUAUAUAUAUAUACCCCUAUUUACUUUUUCAGUUUCACUCACAAUAAAUAAUCUUCAGCCCUAAAAUUUUCACGGCAAUCUCAAAAAUCCCCUUUCCCAAAUCAUCGAAGAACGAAAAUGGCGACUCUGAUCAACCAACCAACGAAGCUACGGUGGGGAGAAUUGGAAGAAGACGACGACGGCAACGAUCUCGAUUUCCUGUUACCACCGCGUCAGGUAAUCGGACCAGACGAAAACGGAAUCAAGAAAGUGAUUGAAUACAAAUUUGAUGAAGAUAAUAAUAGAGUUAAGAUCACAACAGUUACUCGCACAAGGAAACUGGCUAGCGCGCGUGUUAGUAAACGCGCUGUUGAACGACGUGAAUGGUCGAAAUUUGGUGAUGCUGUGAAUGAAGAUGUUGGUAGUCGGCUUACUGCUGUUUCCACUGAAGAAAUUGUUCUUGAACGUCCUAAGCCUAUUGGUAUCUUUCUCCCACUCUUGUUUUUUUUAUUUUGUUUGUUUUACCUUUUUGUUGAUUCUGUGUUUUUCAUAUUUUGUGAUGAUAUCUUAAACCAUAUUAAGGUGGAAAGUUCUUUACAUUGAGUCGUGUUAUGAAAAUUGUUUCUCGUAAAAUAGUUUUAUUGGGUAGUUUCUUGUGAAUUGAAAACAUUAGUUUAUCUCAAACCCCCAAAUCACUACAUGUGGAUGAUCCAUGGGAACAGAGGGAGUGAAUGAAUUGUAACCUAAAAAUGAUUGCAAUAGCAAUUGCUUGAGACUGAUAAACUUCAGACUCUGAAUGAGCGAUGAGAGUUGUUGGAACCCCCGAAAUUGUAAGGGUCACACAUGUUGAUUUUGGUGAACAUGCGGAUAAAUCUCUUAAUUUGAUUGUUACCGAGUCGGACUUGGAUAAAAUUGAUGAUAGUGUUGAUAACUACUCAUAAAAAAGGUUACAGAUAUGAAUAGUUGUUGAUGGUGUAAAACUUUUUAAACCAAAUAUACAUCAAAAUUAAACUUGAAGUUGUCACCAAAGCUAAAAUGGUACCAUUGCUAGUCCUUGUAAAUAUUUGUCAGACAUCUUGUUGUUGUUGAGCGUCUUUUAAGUACACCUUGUGCUUAAAAGGCGUCUCGGUUGUUAUUAAUAUAUUCCAUUAUAGUUUCUUAAAAAAAAAUAAAAAAUGGUACCACAUGUUAAAACAUUAAAUAACUAGGCUUUUCAUUUGAGGCUGUUGAUUCUCGAUAUUUUAGACAAACACAUGCAAAUUAUGCUUAUGUGGCCAAGGUGUAAUUGUGGUUUUGUUUAUAUAGCAUUGAUACUUUAGAUUAAAGGUGUGUCUGACACAUUGUCCAAUACUAUGACACCAACACAUUUUUGUUAUAUUCGUCAAUUAAAUUAUUGCUCAUAUUUACAUGUUAGUGUCAAUAUCGUGAUUGGUAUUUGUGUCUGGUUCAUUGCUUCAUAGGGUUUUGUCAUAAAAAAUUAUGGUUAAAGGUUUAAGUGCAUGUUGGUAUCAUGGUGGGUUGCCAGAAUCACAGUGGCUCACUACACUACACUGUUGCGUUGAAAAAAUAGUGGCUCACUGUGCUAACUCUAUAUCUUGCAUUUGUUAACAGGUUCCACAACUAUUGAGACAAAGCCUGGUGACCCAGAUGCUGUUCUCAUGGUAUGCAGGAAUUGUGGGAAGAAGGGUGACCAUUGGACUGCAAGGUGUCCAAUUAGGAAUCUCUCACAGCCGGCUGACGAAUUUGUUGAUAAGCCUCCAGCAGCAGCACCUGUUUCAACUAACAAUGCAUAUGUACCUCCUAGCUUGAGAGCUGGUGCAGAUAGGACUGGAGGGUCAGACAUGAGGCGGAGGAAUGAUGAGAAUUCUGUGCGGGUAACCAAUCUCUCGGAGGACACGAGGGAGCCUGAUUUGCAUGAGCUUUUUGGCACUUUUGGUUCUGUGAGCAGAGUAUAUGUUGCUAUAGAUAAAAACACUGGCACGAGUAGGGGGUUUGGCUUUGUCAACUUUGUCAACAGGGAAGAUGCUCAGAGAGCUAUUAACAAACUGAAUGGCUAUGGCUACGACAAUCUCAUCCUGAAGGUUGAAUGGGCCACCCCAAGAACAACCUAAACCUAAACUUGGAAUCCAAUUUUGAAGGUCUACUAGUACCUAGUUAUUUGAAUCCUGGACCAUCUUUUUCCUUUGACAUGUUUUAUUAUUAUUUAAAAGCGAAUGUUAGCUCAAGAUCACUUAUUGGUUAUUUAUAAUCCUUAUUAUACUAUGAGGGUUGUUUUACCUUGUCCAGAGGGUGUCAAUUGUGUUUAUUCAAAAGUAUUGUUUUUCUCUUACCAGCUUACUUUAUUGUUUCAAUCAAAUGAAAAUUGUUAUUUGUCACUUUGCUUGCAUUGUUGUUUUCUACCAUAUUUUAUUUUAGUUGAGAGCAAUUUUUAAAACCCUGCACUGAUUUCUUAAAAGCCACGCAGCUCCGGAUUUGCUAAUCCAGCCGGAGAAAGUGUUUUUUUCUCGUGCCCAGAUGGUAACCCUAGACAAAUUAUGAGAUGAUGUGAUGUUUGUUUCCUUGUUAUCAUCAGAGAUGUAGAAUGUUGAUCCUCGUCUAGGUUUAAGCCCAAAUCAUAUCCAAUGUUGUGUUACACAACCAGCUUGUUUUUUGCUGUUCCAAUAUUCAGUGGCACUGUUAUUGUUUUUUCAUUCAUUUUCUUUAAUGAUUAAUACUACCUUUGAGUGAGGUUCCGUUCUUUUUUUCAUGUUUUUAGCAAAAAUGCUGCGGCUAAAUCUUAAUUUUUUUCUUCUCACAUACUCAAUCCAUUCAUCUGUUUCGAGUGUUUGGCAAGGAGAUGACCAUCCACUUGCAAAUAAUGCGUUUAAUAUUGUGUUGAGGUGAAGAAAAACCAGAGGCAAAAAAUAUUACUGUAAUUCGAAUGGUGUUUUUUUUUUUUUUUUUUUGAGGGGACAUUGUGUUAUUAACAGCAGAAGAACAAUAUAUGAAUUUUAGAGUAUAGGCGAUAAUUCUAUCUAAAUUGAAAAUAAUAUGAGAAUGCACCAAAGAACUUGACAUCACAACAAGUUCUACGGUUAUGAAAAUUGAUUUUAAAUGAAUUAAUUUUUUGUUAAAAGUAGGUUGAAUGUGAAGCAAUUGAAUAUAAGUGUAAAAGUCAUAUUUGAGGUCCAAAGCUACAAAUUUAAGUUUGGGGGAUAAACAAACAUGUUAAAAAUCAAUUCUCCACCUAUAGAAUCAAUUUUGUCCCAUCUAAAUGAAAUCAAACAUUAUUCAUCGGAUUUAAGAAUCAUUCAUUAACAUGGAGAGCAACCACUUUCAUGGCUUAGACUACGGUAGGAGACAGUCUCCUACCGUAGGUGACUACAUUUUUUUUUUUUUUUUUGGUUUCUAAAAUGCUUUUUAGCCAUUGGAUUUAGAAAGAAGUUUUUAAUGGCAUAGAUCUUUAGACAUGUUGACCCACUAACAAUGUAUAUUACUCCCUCCGUCCCAUAUUAAACGAUCUAGUUGACUUCGACACACGUACCAAUGCAUAUAUUUUAUUUUUGAUAUCUUCAAUUCUCUAUUAAAAAAAAAUUAUGAAAACUUAAUAUUUUAAAAAUAUUCAUUGAGACGAUUCCAACAACAUCUUACAGGAUAUUAUUUAUCUUUGUGAAUUAGUAGAAAAAUAUGGUUAAGGUAUAUUAAGUAUCGACUAGCCUUUCUUAGUAAUAUUAUUAUUGUUGAUUUGUGUUAUUUUAGUGAUAUAUUGUUUUCUUUUUUAUUUAUCUUCGUCUUGAUAUUUUGGAAUGAGAGAUAGAAAAUUAGAGAGAGAUAUAGUGAAAAAUGAGAGAGAUUAGUCUACUUUUUGAGGUAAUUACGAGCAUAUUUACUUUAAUAUUUCCAAAAGGUGGUCCAUAUGAUUUUUUUUUUUGUUUUUAUGUAAUUUGUAAGAAAUGACUAUUUCAUAGUAAUUUUGAUAAGAAAAACUUAUACUAUAUUUGUUUGUACAAAUAUAUUUUUAUUUUAUGAUAUUAAAAUAACGGGUAGAGAUCUUAAAAUAGAUCAUUGUGAUAUGAAAUACUCAAGUUGAUCAAAAUUCAUUUAUUAUAAUAUAAAAUAUUCAUAUGAUACAUCGUGUGGCUAUAAUUAAAUCAUUUAUUUUUCACUGAAUUUAUGUUCAAGGUAAAAUGGGACGAACUGCAAUGCAAUCGUUCCAAACUUUGUCAUUCCUCUUCAAAAUUUCAGUUUUGUUUUUGGCAUAUGCUGGCCAUUGAAGUGCAUUUCUUGUCAAGUCAUAAUGACAUGAUUUUCCAACAUCAUUCACAAGGCUAUGACAACAAUAAUCACUAAUAAUCUGAUUUCCAACAAAUACACCAGAGAAUAUUUGUUAACCACAUUCUGCAGGCUUUAAUUUGCUUGCACAAUUAGUUAAAUACUUCUCAUACGGCGACAAUGGCUUUGGGGCAGAAGCAACAUCAUUAGAAGGACCUCCAGAAGGUGGCUGAGAAAUUUGAAAACAAAAUGAGGUUGUGAAAAGCAAAGUAAAACUGAUCAUAAUAGUUACAACAUCGUAAAAGCCAUUGAAUGAUGUCAUGCCUAUUUAGAGAAUGAUACUUUAAUCAAAGUCUUGAAGAUGAUUUGCUUAGUUGUAUUGGUUAUCAACAUAUUCUUAUUUAUAAUAUAUGUGACUCUAUAUUAACGUAAAAAUGUAUUUAGUAUGUUGUUCUAACUCUCAUAAAAUACUAAGAAAGGUAAGUUUUCAAGUUCUAGAGAAACCGAGAUUUUUUAUUGUUUUUUUAACUUCUCAAACAACUUUACAUAUUAAAAUAAUCUAAUUUUGUAACUUGCAAAAGUUAAUGUUACAUUUUAAAACGAUACUUAAAUUUAUACAAUAAAUCAGAUUAUUUUUUAUUUCGAAGAAAUCUCAUUUAUUGAGGGACGGAGGGAGUAUAAUGUUUAAUUUUUGUCUUAAAUAAAGUAAUGAGUAAAUAGUCAAUUUCCCCCCUGAAAUUGUAAGUUUCAUCAAUUAUCCCCCUGAAAUUAACAAAAUUUCAAUUACCCCCCAAAAAUUUCACAAUGUUAGUCAAUUUACCCCCUCCGUCAAAUUUUUCUGUUAGUGAACAUGACGUUUUGCAAAUAUCCCCCUGAAAUUUUGCACUUAUAUGCAAAAUGCCCCCCAAACUUAAAAAUUUAUAUUAUUUUUUUCUUAAAAACAAACAAUUAAUAGUUAAAUAUUAAAGUUAACUAUUAAUUUUGUAGUUUGGAAAAACCACAUACAUAUAUACAUCAAAUUAUUUUUAAAGUUACAUGUGAUUAAUAUAUUACUGAUGACCUGCAACAACAGGUAACUAAUACUGGCUUGACCUACAAAUGCAAGUUAUAAGACCAACAUAAAAAAUAAAAUAAAAAAUAAAAAAUAAAAAAAAACUUAUAAAUGCAUGUCCUACCAUACAUGACCCAUAAGGGUUGCCUACCUCAAACGGCGCCCCACUUUCAUGGUCAAAAGUGGUACUAAACUGAAAUGAAUAGGUAUAAGAAGAUGCAACUACUCCUGACUUCUCAGAUGAUUGGAGCAGGUGAUGUUCUAUAUGUGAGGAACCUAUAGAAAACAUGAGAGGAGCCUGAAUUUUUCAGUCAGUGAUGUUAUCUUUUACUUGUUAAAUGAGUACAUGGAGAUAGGCAUGUUUGAUUUCGCAGGUGAAUGAUAACAACCUACACGUCAUAGUGUAAACAUGAUCAUUUCUAGCAUUUGUCACUUCUUGCAAGCAAAUGACAUUUUUUUUAAAUACUUUUCGCUUCAAAUUUCAAGAGCGAACAAUUGAAGUCAUGUGCACGCAUGCAUAUAUACGCAUGGAUAAGAUCCUAAUUCUGAACACAUUUUUGUAUAGUUCUUCAAUUGAAUGCCCUUCCAUAGAUUAUUAUAGAUUUGGGAAAUUUUCAUUAAUACAAAUAAAUUUGACUCAACAUAAAACAAUUUAAACACAGUACCGCUCAAAAUCCCCAGAUCUAAAGACCAAUUUCUAUUUUAACCAAAAUAUCCCAACCUAACAUAUUUCAGGCAAAAUCAAGAAAUCUUAAUCAUGCAUUCUAGCUGCAAUAGAUCUUUAGGCCAAAUCAAUUAGCCAUUCUAGCCACAUCUAUUAUCCAUUUGAAAGAUCUAUUCGUGCUCCAAAUUGAUCUAUAGCAGUCCUGCUUUGUUGUUUUGUACUCCUAAGAAUCAAAACCUGGAUCAUACCACAACGUAUCAGAUUGGAGGACAUAAAAAGAUAAACCAGAUGUUGAACAAAACCGUAAACCAGAUGUUGAAAGCUAUGCGUACUACCAUGUGAUGAUUUAUUUUAAUUAUCCUUAAUGAUGAUGAUUAUGAUAUUAAAGCUUCAUAUGAUGAAAAAUUACAAAGUCAUGAUUAUGCUACCUUGGGUCGUUCCAUAGAACUUCCAUAAUAUCCUACUCCAAAAGACAAGGAAGUGUAUGCAGCCGCAAUUUCUACCGCUGUUAACCUUGAUUUUCCUUGACCCUAGAGAAAACAAGAUUAAGUAAUAUUCCCAAAACUAUUGACUGGAAAAGUUGAAGAGACUCACUACUAUAGAUGUAUCUGACUGCACAACCAAGAUCCCUGCGCUGCUAUCAGUACCGCAUCUACUGCUAUCCUCAGAAACAGAUCGUAGAACUUUGGUGCAGGCGGAGGCAGCACCAGACUGUGAGCUGAAGAAAAAUGAAUAUCAGAAAAUCUGGUGCAUGCAGUGUUGCUAUAAAAUGAAAAGCUAAUUAAAAAAAUUGAAACUUCAAUCAACUAUACAAGAAAGCUAAAAAUACAAAUUUCAAUUAUGUAAUCCAACACUGCACAACAAGUACAUUUAAAAUUUUAAGAUUAAAAUGAUGCAUUUUUAAUUCUUUGAAUUUCUCAACCAAGUAAGUAAAAUACUUGGCAACUGCAUAGUUCAUCAAUAUGAUAUUAAACAAGUGUAAAAUACAAUGAAAAGCAUAACAUAUAUGUUUGAUAUGUAAACUUCAAUGAAAAGCAUCCUUUUAUCACAUGUCUUCAGCGUCAAACAUAGAAAAGAUAGCACAGAUGGAUUUUAGACGCUCAACAUACUGCCUUAUUUCUCUGCUGGAGUGCCCUUAAAACACCAGCUCAUUCUUUAUGAUGAAAGAAAAGGUCCCUAGUGUGACAUAUCUCAUCACAUCAAUGAAUCACCAUAACACUUUCCUUUAAAUAUAAAAAUAGUAAAUCAAAAAGGGCAUGGUACAACUGAAACAAAAUCAAACCCUAUAUGUUCCCGAAGGUGUAGCCUAGUGGUAUGGGUUAAGCACUGAAGAAGUAUUAAAGAAGUUCGGGGUUCGAUCCAUGCUGCUAACAAAUUCCCCCUCCCUCUAACAAACUAACCACUAGCAUUUCACUAAAAAAAACUAAAAACAAAUCCUAUAUACUGCGGAAAAAAAAACAUCUCCCUAUUUCUUAUAAAAAUAUAAUCAUUUAUAAGUGAGACGGUCAUACAGUGAGAUUGAAACAAUGCAUUCCCUAGCUGCAAAUCCUUUCAUUAGGUUCUCUCCUGCACCAGACACACAACAGCCAGCCAUGAAUGGAGCACCAAAGGGACCUUUUGAUGACGCCCAACAACCUGAACCAUACAUUGCUGCUAGCCCUACUCGUCCACUAACCUGUUGAAUAUUUUGUAUUAUAUAUAAUUACGAGAAUCACUUUCAAUUCUAAUCUGCAAACUGGAGCACUAAAAAAAAUCAAACCAAGAAAAUCAUUAAUCACCUUUAGAGCAAUACCACCACUAGAGGCUCCAGAUGCUACAUUCCCCUCAUUGUCUACACAAAUAACCCCAACGGUAUCCAUUACUUGAUCUUCCAAAGCAUAAUCUGCAUCAUAAGGGUCAUGGCUUUGGCAUGUUAAAGUUCUUAUGGGGUGGCAUACUGAUGUAACAGUUUAUUGGAAAUAAUGCUGAUGAAAAUCUUUGUUUUCUCUUCUCAUAAAUUACAAUGAUAAAAUUUGUUCGCCAAUUAGCUUUGUUCAUAUAGGCACUAGCAUUGAAGCAUGAGAGGAAAAAUACACUUGGGUGCCAAAUGCAUUUAUGCCAUUGACAAAGGCCAAUUUUACAGUUCAAGGUAGCUAAAAGUGUAAAUGCAUUUAGGAUUAAGUGUUGCUGCAUCAAAUUCCAGUUGUGCUCAAUCAUAUGACUCUGCAAGGUAUAGACUGUGAUUCUAGUUUGAUGAUUGAAAACAAGUGUGAUUCUAGUUGGAAGCACAAAGAAGGGUUACUUCUGUUGGAAGUUUGCUAUUAAAUACCUGGCAUUUCAGUACUUUGACAUGGAGAAGAAUUGCCAUUUGAAAGAGAGUUCACUGUCUUCGAUCUAGCAGCUUCAAACAUAGAUUUGUACUUGAUCCAUUGUGUUUUUGCCCUUUCUGUGAUCAGCCACUGUUAUGAGAUACACUCAAAAUUCUGAAAUGAUAUGACUUAAUAAUAAGCUCCUAUGCAGAAUUUAAAUCAUGAUUGAAAAUAAGACCUCAUUGGCCUCUGCUAUACUUGGUGGCAAACCAAUAUCCUUAGAUUUCGCCCAUUCACGAGCCCCUUCCCCCACCAGGAAGCUGCAGAGAUAUCACAAAUUCCCAUAUCAAUACAGAUUUGUCACAUGAGGUGAAAUAGAGAAGGCAUUCUUAAACAUUAAUUAUGGUGGUAAGUGUUGUGGUAACAAAAAUAUUUUGGCUACAAAAACAGAAAGGUUGAGAAGUCAUUACAUUGGAGGAAUUCGACCUAGCAAUGGAGAUCCCAUCGUUUGCUCUUUGGCCAAUAAAGCAGCAAUUUGUAUAGCAUUUCGCACACCUGGUCUAAAAUUAAUGGAAUAAAUACAUAAAAAAACAUGACAGAAAAUUUGAGAUAUGAAAGUAAAUUCCAAAGUGAGUAAUAGCCAUGCACAAGAUUUUAGAUUUCCCUGAUAAGUAAAAAUUUAUAAACUACUCAGCUAAGCACGUGAAAAACGAGAUACAUCAUAUUUUUCGUGCAAAUGGACAAAGUGUGAAUGUGAAAAAGAAUGAGAUAUAAUGGUAUCGAUAUACGCUUUCAUUUUCCAGCUACUAACUCAACCAAUUUGUACCAUUAUCAAAUUAGCAUAUAAAAGCUCUAGAUACUAGAUCAGGUACUAUAUGUAAUGUCAACUUAGGGUAAAGUACCUGGCACAGCUCCAACAGCACCAAACACUCCAGAUUUUCCAUCCAUUAUACUGGCAUCACACUCUACACUACCAUUUUCUGUCAAAUUAGACCCCCUGCCAGCAUUUGUGCUCGGAUCAUCCUUCAACAAAAGAAGCUCACGUUAAACUAUUAUUACAGGACAGGGCAAUCAGAGUACACCAAAAUGUGAGCUCGGAUCAAAGAUCAUGAAAAUUUUCAAUGUAUUAUAUUUGCACUCUAAUUUUUCCAAGCAAAAAUAUAUCUUUUGCCAUUUUUCCUUUCCUUUCAUGAAAUGUUAUAAAAUAAUGGAAAUUUAUUAAAAAAAAGAAUGAAUUCUUAUGAUUGGUAAUUUUUUGUGUGACCUCUUUACAAAGUGUGCUAAAGGAACAAACACAACACAUUGAUGUGCUGAAGAGACAAUUAAUGAUGAUUUUAAUUUUAGAAAUGGUUUUUCAAAACUCCAAAAGGGCUAAAAACUAUUUUUUUUUUUUUUUUGGUACAAGGGCUAAAAACUAUUUAAUUGAUGUAAGGAGAGUAUUAGAUUUAUAAAGUAUAAGGUGAUAUAACUAUUUGUUACAUCCAGAGGAAGAGUGGAGGAAUAUGGCUGAAAUUGUCAAGUUUGUUUAUGUUAUGAUUAUCUUUGUUUCCCCAUUUCUUUUUUCAAUGAACCUUGACGGUAAGCCAUUUUUUAUCCUUUUCAAAUUUUCUUCUUUACUAAGUAAACAAUAUUCCAUCCCAUUUAGUUAACACUCUUUUAUUCUCUUCUUCCAUUACAGCGGAAAAUAUAUGUGAUGGAGAUUAUGAUUGUAAUCCAAAUGAAUGGUGGUGCCCACCUAAUUAUGUACUGAAGUGUAUAAAUUACCAAUGUUCAUGUAUUGGAUUCACACCGGCAAUAUAUGCGUUGGAUUAACACAGGCAAUAUAUUUUGUGCCCAUAUGAGUUUGUAUUUACUAUUUAGUUCUAAACCCCAAGAGAAUACACAAACGCCCUGCGAGAAUAUUAUGAUAUGUCAUUUAGUUAUCGUGUUGGAACGCAAUAAUUUGAAGAAAAAAAAGUUCUUUCUACUUUCAAGAACCUUGUAGCUAUGGCUUGUACUCUAAUAUGAUGGUAACAAAAUAAAAUAUGGUAGCCAAGAACAUUAUUUUGUUUGUCUUCUUCUCUGUUAAUUCUAGACAUAACGCCAUGGCCUUCAAUUCAGGCAUAACACAUUUUCUUUCUAAACCUACCGCCUAUCAGAAUAUUUUAACUGCCACAUUGAAAAAUAUUUUUUAUUUUACUUCUAAACUUAUACUUUUAUAUUUAGUCAUAAUAUUGUUACACUUCAUUUUAUAUUUCUCUUGCAUUUUAAUUUUUUUAACAACUUCGGAAGGUUUGUAAGAUUUUAAAAGUUAUGUAACGACAAUAAUAAUAACAGUAGUAGUAGUAGUAAUAAUAUUAAUAUUAAUCAUAAUAAUAAAAAUAUACAAGAAGCAAACAUUUUUGGGGCCUAUUUGGAUAAACUGCUUAUUUGCAGCUUAUAGAACAAACACUUAUGUAUAAGCUCACAUAAGCUAUUUCUAUAGCAAAGAACAAAAUAAAGUUAAUUUUUUGUAUAUGCUAUAAGUUGUUUUUAUAAGCUAUAAUAGAGAACUUAUGAAAAUACGUUAAAAAAAGCUUUUGAAAAUUAUGUAAGUUGUUUUCAUAAAUCUUCCCGAACAAAGUCUCCGAAUGACUAUGAGUGAGACAUUAUUAGAGUGAAUUGAUAUACCUCCAAGAGUUGAAUGGCGGCGACAACAGCAUCUAAGGAGAGACCUGAACCGUGUUGAAGGACGGAAGCGGCGGCAAGGCAAGCGCGGUUCAUGGCGGAUCUGAGAGGUUUGUGAUUGGAAGGAGAGUGGUAACCUGCGCCUACAUGAACAGCAACAAAGAAUCUCUUUUUCUCACUGCUGCUGCCGGUGACGGUGGCAGCGGUAAUACCAUCCUCCUCCAUUGCAAUUGAGGAGUAGCAGCAGUUCAAUUCAAUUGAGAAGAAGGUGUAAGUGGAGGGUCGUAUUGGAAUUGGAGUAUGAUGAUAUAUGCGUAUUUUCGUUCUUUAUUUAUUUAGUUUUUGUUUAAAGGAAUAGUACAACUUAUUUCUAAAAUAAAAGUCCAAUUUAAAACUAAUACACUAAUUUAGUACAUACAUUAAAUUUAAAGGACUCAAAGAUGGAUUUAACCACAUAUGUAAAGAGAUGAGUAAUACUAACAACACUCAUUUUAACAUAUUUUUUCUUACGCUUAAUCUCUUAUUGAAUGAAAUAUAUGUGAUCACGUUACUUUGAAAAUGAAUUUAACGUCGCUUCCUCUCUAUUUGUUGGUACAUGUGGAAGUGGCGUAACUUGGCCAUCUUAAGUAUUCAUCUUUUUACAUUGACAUUUUAGGAUAUGAUAUUGCUAUGAUCGAAGAUGAAGGCCGGCAGGGCUGUUCCUACAAAAAUGGAGGCUCGGCUCUCAAAUAAAAAUAGGCCUCUAGUCAAAAUAAAAACACAUAUUUUUUAAAAGAGCAAAAAAAAUUAUAUGUUUUUUAUUUUAUUUUUUGAGAGAAUAAUUAUAAUGUUUGUUGUUAGAGCUUAUUGAAAGAAGAGGAGAUAAUAUUUAUGAUAUAUAAAUCUCAAAUCCAUAAAAAUUAGGCAAAAAAAGGCCCUGUUAUGCUGGGGGGAAAAUUAAAUGAUAAAAAAACAAAAAUCAGCCCUAAUGGGAGUUAAACGAGUACACAAGUUCAACAUCUCCGCAUUUUACCACUAGGGCCAUGGCUUCCAUGUUGUAAACUUUUCAAUGCUAUUGGUAUAUAUUAAAAUCUUCGGUGCAUUUAUAUAUAUAUAUAAUUGGGCCCCAAAAUUAGGGAGGUUUAGCUCAAUAGAGUUGUUUGCACCUCCUCAGAGACGGCCAUGAAGGCCGAAUGGAUGAGGUAUGAUUGUUCUUCUUCGGAGCAAGGAUAUAUACCCGAAAAGACACUCGAACACUAAGUCAGUGAGGUUUCAACGAGUUUUGAGAUUUUUCUCCAAAUGAGAUUUUUUUUCCGAUGGUUUGUUAAGUGUGUCAUGUUGGCUCAAGACUCAAACUCAUAUUGAGCAACUCUUGAAUGGACACAAGAAUUUAAACCCUCUAUUUGAUCACACACACAUAAAAAGAAAAAGAAAUAAAUAAUUUAAUAAUCAUUAAUUUUCAAAUGAUUAUAACAUGUCUACUUUUUUUUUUGUGUGACCAAAUAGAGGGUCUAAAUUCUUAUGUCCAUCCAAAAUUAUUCACUCACAUUGGCCAACCGCCAGAAUUAUCCCCAAAUUUUAAAUGAAAAGUUUAUCUAAAAUAUCCACAAAGUGACAAUACUGAGAAGUUUGUCUAAAAUAAAACUUAAAACAUCUACAUAUAGUGUGUCCUUAAAGUACCUUCCAUGAAAAAUUAAUUUAAACAUAAAUACAAUUAGAUGUCUGAUGACCAACCAAAACACAACAAUGCCAAAAAGAAAAGGAUCUGUUCUCAUAAAAAAACACAAAAAAUACAAACAAUAGCAUUGUACUAAAAUAUGCUUGUAUCAAUCACUUAUUUUCUAGCAUCACAAUGAACUCUUGAUCAAUAUGGUUUAUCUUCAUAUCUGGAGAAAAAGAGGCCAGAAGGAUUAUCCUUAGGUAACAAUGCCAACCUCACAAUUGGUUCAGCACCUUCAUAAUGUGUAAGAGUACCUCGGAAGGAUUAUCUUCAUAUUUGGAUCGGUUCGGUUCAGAUUUUUUUAGAAUACUCAUCCAAACCGAACCAAACCGAACCGCAUGUAAUUUUUAUUUUGGAUCGAUUGACAUUUUACCUCAAAACCAAUCCAAACCGCACCGCGAACACCCUAAUCAUAUGGAUAGAAUAGUUUAAUUUGUACGUUGAAUUAAAUAUUAUGAAAAAUUAUGCACUUUAAAAUACACUUUACCCUGCAUACAUCAUUGCUCAUAAUGUUUGUCUUCUUCAUUUUGUGUUGUUUAAUAUCUUGCAUCAUUGCAAAGCGUCAUACUUGUUGGGCUUAAACCUUAUAGAAGUCUUAUGAAAUCAUAUUUCUUGACAUGUCUGACUGGUUUAUUUUUUUUAUUUUUUUUUAUGUAGUAUUUAUAGUCAUUUGAUUGUCCUUAUGAAUUUUUUUUAAUAACAGUAGUAUUUAUGGUCAUUUUUUUCACUCAUAAGAAAAAAAGUAGUAUUUAUAUGGUCAUUUUAUAAUUAUUAUCUCAUGAGAUUUGACCUUUGUCAUUUGAGGUUACAAAAUCAAACUCCCACCCUUAAGAUGACACUUCAUUGACUUUAAGUAUAGAUUGUAUGAAAAAGUUUUAAACGAGUUUCACUUAUAUUUUAUUUUGAUUUUUAUGUUAUAAUAUUGUCAGUGAAUUAGUCGAAUUGAUAAGUAUUCAAGUCAAAUCCUACUACCACAGUUUAAAUCCUAUAUUAAUGAGAGAACCUCGUUGAUGAGUAAUUUGUAAGUAGUUAUGUCAGUUUUCCUUGAACUUUGAGAUUUUUCACAAUCAUGGGAAACUUUACAACUCAAUUCGCUUAAACUUCGUAAUGUUCCCCUAAAUAUCGACGUUAGCUUAAUCAUUCAAUUAAUUUGUAUUUCAUUUUUCAAUGACAUUUUUUUUUAGUUUUAUUUUAGACAAAUUUUUAUUAAAAUCGUUUGGAAGAAUCAAAUUAUUUUUCUGAUUAACAAACAAAAUUAAAUGAGAUUACUUAACUUGAAAAUUUUAAACCAACUGAGCUAUAAUAAAAGUUUUCUAAAAGAAUAAUUGCCUACAUAGAUUAAUAUUGAAUAUGCAUUUUAAAGGGAAUAAAGAAAUGUGAUGCUCUUUACAACAACAAAAAAACAAAAGAAAUAUGAUGUUUUUUUUAAGGGAAAAAAUGUAAUGUUGAUGAUAAGUAUAAAACACGACUUCUCAAAAAAAAAAAAAAAAAAAAAGUACUAACAAUAGAAGUAAUUAUAUAUAUAUAUAUAUCACAUCUUGUUUUCUAACAGCAAUUAAUCCUUGAUCAAAAUGGCUUCUCUUCACUUCUAACAAAAAAGUGACCAGACGGACUACCAUCAUGUAGCAAUGCCAAAUUCACAAUUGAUUCAGCACCUUCAUCAGGUGUUAGAUAACCUGUAUUGUAAUUUAUAUCUGUUUUCACAAAGCCAGGACAAACAACAUUGAUGCAUAUUGAUGGAUACUUAAUAGCAACAACACUUGUAUAGGCAAUUAGAGAAGCUUUUGAGAUAAUGUAUGUAGACAUAUCAUUAUUAAUAGGCCAACCAUUGUUUUCUAGUGAACCCUCAUUAAAAUCGUUUAGAAAUUUAUUCAAAACUUCAUCAAUCUUUUCUUCUAUAAGGUUUUCAACAUCACUAAAUACUUCCUUAGGCCAUCCAUUUGGAAGAUUCUGCAAAUAAAAUUACAUGAAAAUGAGCAUCAUCUCCAAUAGCCUAAUAUAUCAAAAGGAAGAGUGAAUAUAUAAAUUGGUUCUCGAAAUUAUGAGCACCUAUCAAAAUAGUCUUCGAAUAUUACAAAUUGGUCAAAUGGAUCCUUCGUUAACUUUGUCUUAUUAGAGGUUAUGAUGUACUCCCUCUUGUAAAAUCUAUAAGCAACUAUUCUUUUUUCAGAUUCAUUAAACAACUUAUAUAUCAUACAUCAGUUGCUUAAUGAAUCUGAAAAAGAAAUAGUGGCUUAUAAAUGUUACUGGAGUGAGUAACAUGUUAAAUUAACACGUGGCCUUGUACAUAGAUGCCACAUAAAGGUCAUGUCACCAAAAACUUCUAUGACACGUUAAAUUCAUGUAUAUUUUUUUUCUUCAAAUUCAUUAAACAACUAUCAUUUAACAACUGAUGUAUGAUAGUUGUUUAAUGAACUUGAAAAAAGAAAUAAUAGCUUAUAAAUAUUAUUGGAGGGAGUAACAUGUUAAAUUAACACGCGACCUUGUACGCAGUUGCAACAUAAAGGUCAUGUCACCAAAAACUUCUACGCCAAAUUAAUUUCCAUCUUAUACUUCAUAUUUUAUUGCCACGUGAGCUCUAUGUAAGAGGCCAUGUUCAUUUAACGUAUCACGCGAUAGGAUUAGGGUCUGACAAUAGAUAGAAUUUAGUAGAGGGACAUUUUGACUGAUGUGUUACAUUUGUAGUUUCUAGAAAUGUAUUUGUCAAUACUUAAAAGUCAAAUAUAUUUUGAUUAAUGCUCACAAUUUGAAGAUUAAUUUGCCUAAUUAUUCUCAAAGUCAAACAACAUAUAUACUUCAGAUCAAAUCAAUGAAACAUUUAUCUCAGAAAAUUUUCAUUAGUUUAAGUUUCCAAAUUAGCUUCCAAAGUAGUGCCACAUACCUCCAACUUUCCCAUGGAUGAGGAAACAUUGACAACUUUUGGUGAGCUUGAAAGCUGGAGAAGGGGAAUAAAUGCUUCAGUUAAGUCCUUGGCUCCAUAAUAGUUUGUUUUAAUACCUAAUUCAGUUUGUUCAUAUGUUUGAGUUAUUAUUUUACUCCAAUCAAUCUGGCCACCAUUUUCCUGCAACCAGAAACAAGAAAACUUUAUUUCUUAAAAUCGAAUUGAUGAAGGAAGACACAAAUUUCAAGGCUUGGCUAGAAAUUGUUAAAAAAUAUAUUGAAUACAAAUAAUUUUAGGGAAUGCUAACUUUAACACAAAUAAUUUUAGGGAAUGCUAACUUUUAACACCCUAAUUCCCACAUUUUAUUUUUAUAAUAAAAAUACAUUUACAAUAAAGAAACACAUAAGGGUGUCACACGUCUUCUAUAAAAAAACUUCAAAAGUACUUCAUUCAAAUUAAAAACAUAACAAUGGAAUAGUUUUCAAAAACUUUAAAGUACAUGUUGCAUCACAAUUUCAACACCAAAACUAAAUUCAAAAGAAUUCUAAAAUAGAGUCUAAAAUGAAAAGAAUCCUCAAUCCCUAGUGUCACUGAUCAGAGCUUUGACUCAAUAAAUACUCCUAAAAGCGAUAAACAAAAAAGAGAAAGCUCCAAUGCCAUCCUCCGAAACUCGGUGCUACUUACUUUUGACCACAUCAAGUAUCUUAUUCUCAAUAAUCAUAUCACAUAAAUACAAAUACAAAGCUACUACCACAUUUAUCACGGUUAAGAAUAUUACUAGUAAUUAACAUAUAAAAAGUACUUUGCUCAAAAAAAAAAACAUAUAAAAAGUACUGAUGUCUUCUUAAUUGGUUUCCACCACAAGAAUCUCACAAUUCAAAACAUGUAAAAAAGAAUAUAAAAAUCGUUUGAUAUAAAAAAAAUAUAAUUCAAAUAAAUCGAUUUUCAGGAACAUAUUUGUUACUAGUCAAAACAACUGGUUUAUAGCAUUCACAAAACAAACUUAAUUAAUUCAAAAUGUAUUGUUUGAUUACAGUGAUCCAAAAUCAAAUUAGCAUGAAUACAUAAGUUUUAUAUUAUUAAUCAUCGAUUUCAUAUAGAUUUCAGGCAAAUAUUUAUUAUCCGAAGGCAAUCACGUCGUGUUUAGUAACAAAAUAAACCUAAUUCAAUUUUGAUAUAGCACCGUAAAAAAUAAUAAUAAUAAUUACAGCAACAUGAAAAGCAUCCUUUUAGCACCGUAACCCUUCGUUACUAGUUUUAAUCUUUUCUGAUAGUUUCUCUCAAAAAAAACGUUAACUUAUUUACCAAUUUAGUCCUUUAUGUUUUGCUCUGUUCCUAAUUUUAGUCCUUUCUAUUCACGUUUUUUUGAGAGAAACUAACAUAAAGGACUAAAACUAGUGACAAAUCAAAACAUAGAGGACCAAAUUGAUACAAAUUAUAGUUAAGGAACCAAAUUGAGACAAUCAAUUAAGUUAAGGACCAGGUGAUUGAAUAAGCCUAAAAUUAAUAAAAUACGACCAAAUCGAAAACGAAAAUAAAGAUAAGGACCAAAUUAAAAGGUUUAAUAAUGAAGGGACCGACGGAUAUAUCAAGCUUAUUAACAAAAGUACAUCUAUUAAGUAAAACUGCCUCAGCUUUUGGAGAAAAGUAAUCAUACUUCAAUAUUAGCAGCAACAAGAGCCUCACCGUCCACUUCUGCUCCAGUAAUUCCAGCAUUAUUUACCUAAACAAAGUGUGUUUCAAAUAUUUGUAGUCAUCAAUCAAUAACCUAUAAUUUUUCAUUUGUAAAAAAUUUCAUGUGACUUGUAUCAAUGAUUUAUGAGACUCAUGGAUAUAGCUCAUCUUAAAUUAUCAACAAAGUCAAUUUUAAUUGAGAAUCUCCAAUUAAUUAGUUCAUUCUUAUAGUCAAACUCAAUUAUGAUCGAGAACCUCCUAACAUAUCAAAAUCAAUUUGAAGUCUUCAUAAUCACUUUUGAUUCUCUCAAAAUUGGAUCUAAACAUGCACUUCACUUUUUAAGUAUAUGUUUGGUUUUGCAUUGACAAAAACUGACUCUAAAUUUGAUUCUAGUUAGAUGUGAGUUGAUUGUAAAAUAAUUUAUGUUUAGAUACAUUAUGAUUAUGUAAAAGUGAGUUAAACAAUAAUUUCAAACCUAAGAUUUAUUGUAGAGUCAAAAGAUGCAAAUUCUAGUUUGAAGUUAAAAUCAAUUCAUAAGACAAUAAAUUAUUUAUACUCGAAUAGAUCCAAACAUGUCAAAAGCAAAGAUAAAUUUGAACUUACCAAGAUAUCUAGUUUUCCAAAUUGAUUCUUGAUAAAAUCUACAAAUGAUCUUAUACUCGCAGCAUCUAUGACAUCAAGUUGAUGAAAAACAACAAGACCAGGCAGAGAAAGAUGUUUCAGCUUCUCAACAGCUUCAAGACCUCUCUUUUCAUCUCUUGCAGUAAGCACCACAGUGAUCCCUUUAGAAGCCAAUUGAUUGCAUACUGCAAAUCCUAUUCCUUUGUUUGCUCCUGUAACAACUGCAUACCUAGAAACAAAAUUAACAAGGUGGUAUUAUGAGUCAUUGUCACUAAGCUUGUGGUUGAUCGUAUAUAUAUGUAAGGUAUAUUGAAGGAAAAAAAGGGUAAGGAAAAUUAGAUUAUACGUUGUUGUUGCCUCUGCCAUUGAUAUGGUAAGAGUGAGGUGCUAGCAAAUAUGAGUUGACCAAAAUGAAGAUUAUAAAUUAAUAUUGGUUUGUGGUACGUUAUGUUUAUAAUUUUGUAUCAAUUCCUUCAAAAAAAUAAAAAAUAAUUUUGUAUCAAUUGUCUUUAAAUAUUGGUUCCAACAACUAUGUUACCGGCCAAAGAAAUAAUUUUUUAUUUAUGAUAAAAAGAGUAAGUGAAUUGAAGCCGGACCUCAAAGUUAAAGAAUGUUUAUAGAGUUACACAUACAAAUCAACUAUCAAAAGAGAUGAGAGUGUUAACUUCUUAUCAACCGAGUCAAAAAUAUUUGACAUAAUUUUCUUUUUUGGUUUUUCGCAAUACAUGAAUUAUAUAAGCAUUGGUAUAUGUGUGCCCAAUGAUGAUGGAGUUUUUGUUCUAUCCAAAACCAUGAAUUUCUCUCUUUGGGUUAUGUUCCUGUUGGAGAAGCUUUAGGUUUGUACAAUGUCGACUUUGUGAUGGAUUUUAAAACAAUCAAUGACGUUGUUCACUUCAAUAGAUCUUAUAUUUUAGAAUUUGGUCAUAUCCUAUCAGGGUUCUAGAGACCCUUUCAUUCACAGUUCGCAAACUCUCGGUUGGAGUUCAACAGGCGAUAAACAAAUGCAGUAGCUCAUGUUUUAGUUGGAGAAGCCGUGUUAUCAACUAGUCUCACUAUUUAUUUUCAUAUCCCGCAUUGUACUACUGAUAUUAUUAUUAAUAAAAUGCUAUAAACAUCUCUUCUUUCAAUAAAAAAAAUAGGGAGUAAAUUUUUUCCCUUGUGGUAAUAUAUUUCAUUUUGCCUUGUUAAAAAAAAAAAAGUAUUUUAGUGCCCUAUUCUCAAAUGUAUGUAUAGGAGAUAUCGCUAGGGAUGGGUAGCGCACUUGGUUAAGUUAAGAUAUUAAAAAGUUAAGAAGCUAAAGGUAUAGGGUUUGAAUCCUAAAAAGGGAGAAAAUACUAACAUAUCAAUUAACAUACUACAAAGACUUGAAUUCGGAUCCCACAAUUGAUGAGAGAAUCUCAUUGAUGAGUAAUAUGUAAGUAACUAACCUCACGGUCCUAAUGAGCCGCUAAAAUACAACUCGCUUAAAAGUUAUGAUUUGACAUGUUUUAAAACUCGAGGAACCAUGUUGAUGGGAACAGAUGAGACUGGAUUUCCAUCGAGUCUGACUCAGCUACUCUUGUGCAAGCUCUAUUGUCUCGGAGCCAUGGUGAUUCGGAUUUCUAUGCUAUUGUUUCUAGUAUUAUUUAUCAGUUAUCUUUACAUUCUAACUUCGAGGUGAAGUUUGUUAGGAGACAAGCGAACAUGGUUGCUCAUACUUUAGCUAGGGCAACCUGUUCUUGGGCUAAUCACCAUAUUUUUUAUUCUUAUCCUACUUGUAUUGAACAUUUGUUGGUUAAUAAUAAUAGUUAACUUUAUUUUGGUAAAAAAAAUAAAAAAUAAACUCGAGGGACCAAAAAUGUGUAUUUUAAAUUGGGAGGACCAACAAUAGUAUAGAUGACAUCUACUAAUAUGGUGUGACACCAGGGGUACAUCUUUAACUAUUUGGUUAGGGUUCAAUUCCUGGUCGAACUUUAUUCUCUUUAGUGAAACACAAGUAGAAAAAAAUCAAUACAAAGUAAUUGUUUUCAGCCCAUAAUUAUCCUGCAUGUAUCUUUCACAAUUUGUUUUUUGACAACAACCAAUCUUUGAUCAAAAUGGUUUCUCUUCAUUUCUAACAAAAAAGUGACCAGAACUACCAUCAGAUAGCAAUGCCAACCUCAGAAUUGAUUCAGCACCUUCAUCAGGUGUUAGAUAACCUGUAUUGUAAAUAAUAUCUGUUUUCACAAAGCCAGGACAAACAACAUUGAUGCAUAUUGAUGGAUACUUUCUAGCCACAACCCUUGUAUAGGCAUUUAGAGCAACUUUUGAGAUAAUGUAAGUAGACAAAUUAUUAUCAGGCCAACCUUUGUUUUCUAGUGACCCCUCUUUAAAAUCCUUUAGAAAUUGAUUCAAAACUUCAUCAAUCUUUUCUUCUGUAAGUUCUUCAACAUCACUCAAUACUUCCUUAGGCCAUCCAUUUGGAAGUUUCUGCAAAUAAAAUUGCAUGAAAAUGAGCAUCAUCUACAAUAGCCUAAUAUAUCAAAAUAAGAGUGAAUUUAUAAAUUGAUUCUCAAAAUUAUUAGAACCGGUCAUAUAUAGUCUCUGAAUUUUACAAAUUGGUCAAAAGGAUCCUUUCGUUGAAUUGGUACUGUUAGAAGUUAUGAUGUAGUCCUUCUUGUCAUGCAUAUAAGCAACUAUUUCUUUUUUAAAUUCAUAAAAUAACUUAUAUAUAUUUAUAUAUGAUAUAUCAAUUAUUUAAUAAAUUUAAAAAAUAAUAAUGACUUAUACAUAUUACCAGAAGGAGUAACAUGUUAUAUUAACGUGUGGCCUUAGUGUGCAGAUGCCACAUAAAUGUCAUGUUACCAAAAACCUUCUAUGGCACAUUAAAUUCAUUAAUAUUAUAUCAUCUCUAGAGCUACCACCUCGGGAGCCACAAAUAAACUUGCAUCUUAUAUUUCAUAUUUUAUUGCCACUUGAGAUCUAUGUAAGAGGCCACAUGUUCAAUUAAGGUAUCACCUCAUAGGCUCAAACAAUAUAUAAAAGUUAGUAGAGGGACAUUUUGACACAUGUGCAGUUCUGUUUCUGAGAUUUUGAUGGUAUGAGGCAAAAGCACAACUUGGACGCUAUGAGCAUUUAUAAAUGCAAAGUCAAUAAUAAUUAUGUACGCAACAAUAUGUUAUAUCAUAUCUUUCUUCAACAAAAAAAAAAAGAUGUGAAGUUUUUCAAUAAUUUUAAUGAAAAACUUAUUUCUACACAUGCAACAAUCAUCGACAUAGAUCCCCGUGAGCUUUGCUUAGUUGGUAGAGAUAUUACAUUUUAUAUGCAGGGGCCGGGGUUUGAACCCCGAACACUCCACUUCUCCACAAUUAAAUAUAGGCACUAGACUAUUUGACAAAAAAAAAAAAUCAUCGACAUAGUUAAGAGAAUUUGAUAAGCAAUUGAAGCAUUUGACAAACUCAUGAAUUUCAAAUGUUGACAUCAACACAUUUAACAAAGAUAUUUGUAAUACUUUUAAUACAUAAAAAAUCAUUUGCGUCAACAUUCGACAAAUACUUAUGAAAAAACGCAGCCUCAUAAUUUGUUUAAGAUUUUUUUUAAUUCAUCAUUUCCAAUGAUUUUAAGGUUCUUGCAGCAAAUAAAAGUUCAACAAUACUUUUAAAUACUUCAAACUGCUCAAAACUAAUUUUCAAUAAAACUAUUGUCAUAUCAACAACCAUAAAAGCAAUGAUUGACUCUAAAUGAUUCCUCGGUGAUUGUAUUUGCUUAUCAUUAUCAUUAUCACCAUAUUGUCUUUUUCUAAAGCUGCAACACUUUGUCGAAAGUGUCGGCUCUACACUCAUAUCAAAUGCAAGGCUUUUGGCUACGAUCAUACUAGGUUUUAUUUCUAUAUUUUUCAAAGUAUAAGAUUAUACCUUACACUUUUUUUUUUUUUUUUUUUAAAUAUUGGGGCCCAUAUUUUAGAAUUAUUUUUUGGGAUAUAGGAUUGUUGUCCUCUUCACCCUGCCUUAGAUAUAGUCCUGCUAAUGUGUUACAUUUCUAGUUUUUAAAAAUGUAUUUGCUAAUUCUUAACGGAAAAGCUUCAUAUUUUAAUUUUCGAUAUAUUGAAUGUAUAAGUUUUUAUAAAAACUUACUAUCUAAAGUUCUUAAGGAGUGCCUUAGAACAGUCAUUGACAUUUCUUUUAAAAGUUAAAUACUAUUUUGACUAUGCUCACAAUUUGAGGAUUAAUUUGCCUAUUUAUUCUCAAAGUUAAACAACAUAUAUACCUCAAAUCAAAUCAAUGAAAUAUUUAACUUAGAAAAUUUUCAUUAGUUUAAGUGUUUCUAAAUAAUCUUCCAAAGCAGUGCCACAUACCUCCAACUUUCCCAUGGAUGCGGAAACAUUGACAACUUUUGGUGAGCUUGAAAGCUGGAGAAAUGGAAUAAGGGCUUCUGUCAAGUCCUUUGCUCCAUAGUAGUUUGUUUUAAUACCUAAUUCAGUUUGUUCAUAGGUUUGAGUUAUUAUUUUACUCCAAUCAAUCUGGCCACCAUUUUCCUGUAACCAGAAACAAGAAAACUUUAUUUCUUAUGAUUGAAUUGUGAAGGAAGACACAAAUUUCAAGGUAUGACUUGAAAUUGUUAAUAAAUUUGACUAAUAUUAACAAUCUGUUUCUUCAUACAAGAGGAAAUAAUUUUCAGUUAAUUUUCAUAUGUUUGGCAUAUAUUGACUACAAGUAAUCAUUCUUUAUAUGCUUAAUUGCAGUUUUGGCCUCCUAAAUAUCACAAUCUUGCGAUUUUUAUCCCUUAUAAAAAAAAUAUCAAAUCAGCCCAUAUAUUUACCCCAUUUUGCACUUUCGGUCCCCCAGACCAAUUUUGACCAAAUCAAUGUAUACGUGACACCCACAUCACUUAAAAUGAGGUGCCACGUGUGACUUUAUAUUUUCUUAGGGGGUCAAAAUCGUAAGAUGGUGAUAUUUAGAGACCAAAACUGUAAUUAAGUCUAAUAAAUAAAAUGAUCUGGGUGCCACGUAAGCAUUGACCUAAUUAAAAUUGGUCUGAGGGGCCUUACUUGGGGUAAACUUAGGAGUUAAUUUGUUAUUAUUUAUUAUAGGAGGACAAAAUCAUAAAACUGUAAUACUUAAGGGUCAAAACUGUAACUAAACUAUCUUUAUAUUAAUUUAACAGUCGCAAUUGGAUCACAAUUCUUGACAUGGCGAGGAAUCACAAUCAAAUGCAAUGCAGUUGAUGCAGCUUCAACCAUGAUUGCAAUGACAUCAAAAGCCAUGAUGCUGCAGUCCAUGGAUCACGAUCACUAACCUUUUUCUAUAACUUUAUAACUACACAAAAUUUCAUAUUCGGAUUGCGACAAAUCAAAUAAAGCUCAUCUCAAAGUAAAACCAUUUUUGCUUGGACUACAAACACAAUCAACCAAAACCUAAAUGAAAUUGUAUUAACAAAAGUUAUAAUAAUAACAAUUUAAAAAAAAAAAAAAAUUAAAUUAGUUCAAUUGGUGGAACAGACACCCAAAUCCAAACCAAUACCACCAAAUCAACCGAAGUUGGUUUUAAUUAUUAUUCUGAAAUUAAUGGACAUGUUAAGUACAUUUAUUAAGUAAAACAGCCUCAGCUUUUGGGGGAAAGUAAUCAUACCACAAUUUUAGCAGCAGCAAGAGCUUCACCGUCUACUUGUGCUCCAGGAAUCCCAGCAUUGUUUACCUAAACAAAGUGUUUCAAAUAUUUGUAGUCAUUCAAGAUGAACUAGAAACUAUCUCGCAUAUAUAAUAAUAACCUAUAAUUUUUCAUUUGUAAAAUAUUUUGUGUGACUGUAUCAAUGAAACUCAUGGAUAUAGCUCAUCUUAAGUGUUCAACAAAGUAAAUAUUUUUCAACCUUAAAAGAAAUUUUUUUUGAAAAAAUGACUUCAAUUUUUCAGAAACAAAGUCAAGUCAAUUCUAAUUGAGAACCUCGAAUUAGUUCAAUCUUAGAGACAAACUCAAUUAUAAUCGAGAACCUCCUAGCAUCAAAAUAAGUUUGAAGUCUUCAGAAUCACUUUUGACUCUCAAAAUUGAAUCUAAACAUGCCCUUCACUUUUUUAGCGUGUGUUUGGUUUUGGGGUGACAAAUAUUGUCUCUAAAUUUGAUUCUAGCUAGAUGUGUCUUGAAUAUAGCGUAAUUUAUGUUUAGAUACAUUAUGUGUAAAGGUGAAUUAAAUAAUAAAUUCAAACCUAAAAUAUAUUGUAGAGUCAAAAGAUGUAGAUUCUAGUUUGAAGUUAAAAUCAAUUCACAGGACAAAAUAAAUUAUAUCUUUUUGAAUAUGUCCAAACAUGUCAAAAUCAAUUCUACACCACAAACUCAAUUUUACCUCUCUAAAAACGGAAUGAAACAUACAAUAAAUUGAAUCACUAUUUUAGAUCAUGUGCAAAUUCAAAAUUCAGAUAUAUUUUGUGUACUUCUCUAGAAACACAUAAGAAACAUGAAAAUGACAAAAGACAAGAUAAAUUUGAACUUUCUUACCAAGAUAUCUAGUUUACCAAAUUGAUUCUUGAUAAAAUCUACAAAUGAUCUUAUACUUGCAUGAUCUAUGACAUCAAGUUGUUGGAAAACAACAAGACCAGGCAAAGAAAGCUGUUUCAAUUUCUCAACAGCUUCAAGACCUCUCUUUUCAUCUCUUGCAGUAAGCACCACAGUGAUCCCUUUAGAAGCCAAUUGAUUGCAUACUGCAAAUCCUAUUCCUUUGUUUGCUCCUGUAACAACUGCAUAUCUAGAAACAAGAUUAACAAGGUUGUAUUAUGUGUCAUUGUCAUGAAGCUUUUGGUUAACUGUGUGUGUCUAUAUAUAUAUAUAUAUAUUGAAGGUGUGUUUAAAAAAAAAAAAAUGUAAGGUAUAUUGAAGAAACAAAAGGGUAAGAAAAAUUAGAUUCUACAUUGUUGUUGCUUCUGCCAUUGAUAUGGUAAGAGUGAGGUGCUAGCAAAUAUGUGUUGACCAAAAUGAAGAUUAUAAAUUAAAAUGGGUUUGUAGUUAUAUGUUUAUAACUUUCUAUUAAUUAUCUUUAAAUAUUAGUUCCAACAACUAUUUUACCAGCCAAAGAAAAUAUUCUUUAUUUUAUGAUAAAAAGAGUAAGUGAAUCCCCGUGAGCUUAGCUCAGUUGGUAGGGAUAUUGCAUAUUAUAUGCAGGAGCUGGGGUUCGAACCCCGGACACUCCACUUCUCCACAAUUAAAUUGUGUGAGCUCUAACCACUAGGCUACUUGACCAAAAAAAAAAAAAAAAGAGUAAGUGAAUUGAAAGCCGGACCUCAAAGUUAAAGAGUCUUUAUAGAGGUACACUUACAAAUCAGCUAUCAUAGAGGUGAGAGAGUUAACUUGUUACCAACUGAGUCAAAAAUAAUCGACAUAAUUUUUCGUUUUUCGUAUAAGCAAUAAAUUUUUGUUUUAAUAAUGUUUUUUUUUUUAUGAAGUUUUGUGGGAAUUACGUUUUAAUAGGAAUCUUUUUAUUGCGCUAGCGCGUGUAGAUUAUCAACGAAAUAUUAUAGAAAUUUUGCGUGUAAAUUGCAAACGAUAUUUUAUAUAACUCUUUUAUAUAAAUUAAAAUGAUAAGUAUAGAUAUUUGUGACUUUCAAAUGUAUCAAACUCAACAAAUCAUAUUUAUCUUUUUCAAUGACAACAAUAAUAUAACAAAUAUAAUAAAAAAUUCUUAUAUUUUUUAAUCACAACAACAAUAUAACAUUAUUAUAGAAAAAUUUAUGUAAGAGUAUAAUUGAAAUAACAAAAAAGUUUGCCCAAAAUCCAGAUUUAGUGUAGUAGUUAUUAUUUAUUUCCUCAAUAAUAAUUUAUAUGAUUUUGGAUUAGUAAUGCCACAUGUAUAAACUGCAACUGUUCAAGCGCAAUAUUGAUGAUUCCUUUUCGCAAUCUAUGAAUUUUAUAAGCAUUGGUAUAUGUGUGUCUGAUGAUGAUGAAGUUUUUCUUCUAGCCAAAACCAUAAAUUUAUCUCCUUGAGUUCUGCUCCAGUUGGCGAAGCUUUAGGUUUGUUUAAUGAUGUAGAAUGAUUAAGUGCAUGAAGAUGGAUAUUGUCAACUUUGUUGUGGAUUCUAAAACAAUCAACGACAUUUUUUACUCCAACAAACCUUAUGUUUCAAAAUUUGGUCAUAUCAUAUCAUGGUGCCAGAGACUUUCACAUUUUUUUUAGAGAGUGAUAAAUUAAUACUUAUGAUUAAUAUAUUUUUAAGUUUAAGAAUAUUAUAACAACAUAUAUUAAAAAAAAAUCAAUACAAAGUAAUUGUUUUCAGCCAAUAAUUAUCUAUCUUUCACAUUGUUUUCUUACAACAAAUAUUAAUCCUUGCUCAAAAUGGUUUCUCCUCAUUUCUAACAAAAAAGUGACCAGAACUACCAUCAGAUAGCAAUGCCAACCUCAGAAUUGAUUCAGCACCUUCAUCAGGUGUUAGAUAACCUGUAUUGUAAUUUAUAUCUGUUUUCACAAAGCCAGGACAAACAGCAUUGAUGCAUAUUGAUGGAUACUUCUUGGCUGCAACUCUUGUAUAGGCACUUAGAGAAGCUUUUGAGAUAAUGUAUGUAGACAUGCUAUUAAUAGGCCAACCUUUAUUUUCUACUAGUGAUCCCUCUUUAAAAUCCUUUAGAAAUUGAUUCAAAACUUCAUCAAUCUUUUCUUCUGUAAGGUUUUCAAUAUCACUCAGUACCUCCUUAGGCCAUCCAUUAGGAAGUUUCUGCAAAUAAAAUUGCAUGAAAAUGAGUAUUAUCCUCCAAUUGCAUAAUAGUUCAAAGUGAAAUAACAUAUAGCACUUUAAAUCCAAUGAAUGAAGCAUUAAUACAUUUUAAGUAGUUUCGAGUUCAAACCCUCGGCUCGGUUAGUGAGCUAAAGGACAACAAAGAAUUUUUAAAAAGGUUGUCGAGAGUUCAAACCCUGAAAAUUUACAUAACCACUAACUUACUAACAUUUGUCUAUAAAAAAAAAAACUAACGAACAAUUUGAUUUAGAUAUUUUCAUUAGAUAAGUUUCUAAAUAAGUUUCCCUAAAAAAAAAUCUAAAUAAGUUACCAAAGAAAGUAGCAGAAGUUAUUAGUAUCAUAUACCUCCAACUUUCCCAUGGAUGAGGAAACAUUGACAACUUUUGGUGAGCUUGAAAGCUGGAGAAGGGGAAUAAGUGCUUCAGUUAAGUCCUUGGCUCCAUAAUAGUUUGUUUUAAUACCUAAUUCAGUUUCUUCAUAUGUUUGAGUUAUUAUUUUACUCCAAUCAAUCUGGCCACCAUUUUCCUACAACCAAAAACAAGAAAACUUUAUUUCUUAAGCAUGACUUGCAAUUGUUAAUAAAUUUAACUAAUGUUAACAAUCUCUAUAUCGAAUGAAGUAAUAACCAAGGUUUUAAGUCGCUUUAACAGUCGCGGUAGGAUCACAAUGGUUGAUGUUGCGGAGAAUCACAAUCAUUUUGAACUUAAUGGAUUAGCAUGUUUAAGUAAAUCUCAUUAAUUUAAGUUAAACUGCCUCGGCUUUCCGGGGAAAGAAAUCAUACCGCAGUAUUAGCAGCAGCCAGAGCCUCACCGUCGACUUGUGCUCCAGGAAUUCCAGCAUUGUUUACCUAAGAAAAGUUUGGAGUUUCAAAUAUUUGUGAUCAUUCAAGAUGAAUUGAAAACUAUUUCACACACAGACAGAACCAUAUAAUAAUAGCUUAUAAUUUUUCAACUGUAAAAUAUUUUAUUUGACAAGGUAUAUCAAUGAAACUCAAUGGAUAUAGCUCAUCUAAAAUUAUCAGUAAAGUAAACAAUUUCAACCUUUAAUGAAAAAAAAAUGCACUCGAAUAUCAACGGUUGAUUCUGUUGUUACUUGUUAUGAUUUGUGUUUGCAAACGUUCACUGAAAAGUGAGUCAAGCUACAAGCCUACAAAUACUAAGUUUUACAUUAAAAUCAAUUUUAAAGACAAAAUUAAUUCUAAUGAUGAACUUCAAACAUACCACCAAAAACAAUUUUAAAAAUCUUUAUAAUCACUUUUGCCUCUCAAAAUUGAAUCCAAACAAGCACUAAAUUAAAUCACUCAUAUUAGAUCAACCAAAUCCAAAAUUCAGAUAUACUCUCUAUCUACUUAUACAAACUUUGAUAUAAAUUUGAAUUCUCUUACCAAAAGAUCUAGAUUACCAAAUUGAUUCUUGAUAAAAUCUACAAAUGAUCUUAUACUUGCAUGAUCUAUGACAUCAAGUUGAUGAAAAACAACAAGACCAGGCAAAGAAAGCUGUUUCAAUUUCUCAACAGCUUCAAGACCUCUCUUUUCAUCUCUUGCAGUAAGCACCACAGUGAUCCCUUUAGAAGCCAAUUGCUUGCAUACUGCAAAUCCUAUUCCUUUGUUUGCUCCUGUAACAACUGCAUAUCUAGAAACAAGAUUAUUAUGAGUUAUUAUGAUUAAGCUUAUGUUAAUUUAAUGGCAUAUAUAUGUAGGGUAUUUUGAAGAAUAAAAGGAUUUACCUUUUUGUUGCUUCUGCCAUUGAUAUGAAUAAAGAAAAGUGCUAGCAAGUAUGAGUGGACUAAAAUAAAAUAAAAAUGGGGUUGUGGUUGUGUUUAUAUAUAAUAAUAACUUUAUACUAUCAAGAGUUUCAAGUAAAAGUUGAUACUUGAUAGUAGAGUAGUGAUAUUUGAAAAACCAUUUCAUACAAUUUUUGGUAACAACUUCCUUUUUCUCUCUUUUGAUUGGUUAAAAAUAAUGGAGAGAGAAAAAGGAAGAGAGAGAAUAAGAGGAUAAUGUGAGUAUGAGAGAGAAAGUUGUCAAAAAGUUGUCACAAAGUGGACGUACAUAUAUCAUUUCUCUUGAUAGUAAAUGCAAUGUCAAAGUUAAUGUUCUAAUCAUUGUUGUCAAAAUUCUGACUUAAAUCCUAAAAUUCAGGAUUUUGCAACUUUCUUCACUUUCAACGACUCAAAUCUAUAGUAGAAUCCUAAAAUAGGAAAAAUUCAUCGAUUUUGAUUGCGAUUUUACGAUUUCUUAUAAACUAAGUAAUUUAUGACUAUAUACCAUUUAUAACAUAUAUUUAGUAUUAUUAUUUUUUGGUAAAAUCCAUCGAUUUUGAAUGCGAUUUUACAAUUUUCUAUAUCGAUUCUAUAAAAGUUCUUAGGUAAAAUCCUUCGAUUUUGAUUGCGAUUUUACGAGUUCCGAUUUUACUAUUCCCUUUUGACCUGAAGUAAAAUCCCGAUUUUGACAACCUUGGUUCCAAUAAUGUUUCUUUUUGUUUUCAACUUAUCAUGAACAUCAAUUGUUGUUGGACCACUCUUUGGUUGAAACAAAAACAAGUUGUCACAUUUUAUAAGUUUCUCUCCAUUGUUUUUUUAGAGGAAAAAAUUCAUCGAUCUCAUUGCAUUAGAUAAAGUGUCAAUACAAAGCGGUACUUCAAUAAACAAUUGAGAGCUAGUUUUAAUGGUAAUGUAUGUGCUUAUUCAGCGAUCCCAUUUGCUUGUCCUUUAAUAAAGUCAACCUUAGUUAGAGUCGUUAAAAGAUGUGAUGAACAACCGUCUACAGUGAUGAAUGAUGUUGUCAAACUCAUUGUUAUUACUGUUAUUAACAUUAAAUACAUCGACAACAAUCUUUGAAUCAAGAGAAAAAUUCGUGUUAACAAAACCAAAAUCAGUCACCCAUUACAAGCUUGACAAAGUCCUGACGCUUCAUCGACAUCCACUGAACACAAUGGGGAGAAUCAGGGGGUUUUUGCUAGCACAAACACAAAGCACUUUUCGGCAUCGCGAAUACACAUACUACUUAUUAUUGAUAGAAGAGAAUGAUGCAUCAACGUUACAUUUAAAUCUAUCAGAUGCACAUUGUUGUCAUCGUGCACAAUGUAUAUUGCUCAACCCUAGUAUAUUCGUAGUAGUUGUUGUUCUGAACAAUUCUUGUGCAAGUUUCUAGUGUUCUAACAUAUGCAAAACAUGUUUGAAUACUUGGUGGUCGUUUCGUCUACUUUUUUCCUUAAUUUCACAUUCCGACUAGGCAUGGCAACAAAAUCCAUGUCCACGGAUACCCGCCCAAACCAACCCCGUUUUGACUGGGUUUGAGGGGAUAUAGUUACCCACCCCGAAUCCAUACCCAAACCCUACCCAAAUAUAAGAAAAUUACCUUUUUACCCCUUUAUUACCCCUCUUAUAUAAAUAGAAACUCAAACCCUAAAAACCAUUUCACCACAUGUGUCUGUCAGACGAUGGCACUCACUCGAGUUAUCCCUCUUCUUCUUGGACAUCUCACACCAUUAUCACCAUCAUCUUCUGGUGUUUUUCUUAAUGAUUUAUGCUUAAUUUUUUUUGGAUUUUAUUUUAUUUUUUGUUAUGUUCGAUUCGGUUUGUUAUGUUCCGUUUGUUAUCUCUCUCUGUUUGUUUGUUUAUUAUUUUAUUUUUUGUUAUGUUCGAUUCGGUUUGUUAUGUUCCGUUUGUUAUCUCUCUCUGUUUGUUUGUUUAUUAUUUUAUUUUUUGUUAUGUUCGAUUCGGUUUGUUAUGUUCCGUUUGUUAUCUCUCUCUGUUUGUUUGUUUAUUAUUUUAUUUUUUGUUAUGUUCGAUUCGGUUUGUUAUGUUCCGUUUGUUAUCUCUCUCUGUUUGUUUGUUUAUUAUUUUAUUUUUUGUUAUGUUCGAUUCGGUUUGUUAUGUUCCGUUUGUUAUCUCUCUCUGUUUGUUUGUUUAUUAUUUUAUUUUUUGUUAUGUUCGAUUCGGUUUGUUAUGUUCCGUUUGUUAUCUCUCUCUGUUUGUUUGUUUAUUAUUUUAUUUUUUGUUAUGUUCGAUUCGGUUUGUUAUGUUCCGUUUGUUAUCUCUCUCUGUUUGUUUGUUUAUUAUUUUAUUUUUUGUUAUGUUCGAUUCGGUUUGUUAUGUUCCGUUUGUUAUCUCUCUCUGUUUGUUUGUUUAUUAUUUUAUUUUUUGUUAUGUUCGAUUCGGUUUGUUAUGUUCCGUUUGUUAUCUCUCUCUGUUUGUUUGUUUAUUAUUUUAUUUUUUGUUAUGUUCGAUUCGGUUUGUUAUGUUCCGUUUGUUAUCUCUCUCUGUUUGUUUGUUUAUUAUUUUAUUUUUUGUUAUGUUCGAUUCGGUUUGUUAUGUUCCGUUUGUUAUCUCUCUCUGUUUGUUUGUUUAUUAUUUUAUUUUUUGUUAUGUUCGAUUCGGUUUGUUAUGUUCCGUUUGUUAUCUCUCUCUGUUUGUUUGUUUAUUAUUUUAUUUUUUGUUAUGUUCGAUUCGGUUUGUUAUGUUCCGUUUGUUAUCUCUCUCUGUUUGUUUGUUUAUUAUUUUAUUUUUUGUUAUGUUCGAUUCGGUUUGUUAUGUUCCGUUUGUUAUCUCUCUCUGUUUGUUUGUUUAUUAUUUUAUUUUUUGUUAUGUUCGAUUCGGUUUGUUAUGUUCCGUUUGUUAUCUCUCUCUGUUUGUUUGUUUAUUAUUUUAUUUUUUGUUAUGUUCGAUUCGGUUUGUUAUGUUCCGUUUGUUAUCUCUCUCUGUUUGUUUGUUUAUUAUUUUAUUUUUUGUUAUGUUCGAUUCGGUUUGUUAUGUUCCGUUUGUUAUCUCUCUCUGUUUGUUUGUUUAUUAUUUUAUUUUUUGUUAUGUUCGAUUCGGUUUGUUAUGUUCCGUUUGUUAUCUCUCUCUGUUUGUUUGUUUAUUAUUUUAUUUUUUGUUAUGUUCGAUUCGGUUUGUUAUGUUCCGUUUGUUAUCUCUCUCUGUUUGUUUGUUUAUUAUUUUAUUUUUUGUUAUGUUCGAUUCGGUUUGUUAUGUUCCGUUUGUUAUCUCUCUCUGUUUGUUUGUUUAUUAUUUUAUUUUUUGUUAUGUUCGAUUCGGUUUGUUAUGUUCCGUUUGUUAUCUCUCUCUGUUUGUUUGUUUAUUAUUUUAUUUUUUGUUAUGUUCGAUUCGGUUUGUUAUGUUCCGUUUGUUAUCUCUCUCUGUUUGUUUGUUUAUUAUUUUAUUUUUUGUUAUGUUCGAUUCGGUUUGUUAUGUUCCGUUUGUUAUCUCUCUCUGUUUGUUUGUUUAUUAUUUUAUUUUUUGUUAUGUUCGAUUCGGUUUGUUAUGUUCCGUUUGUUAUCUCUCUCUGUUUGUUUGUUUAUUAUUUUAUUUUUUGUUAUGUUCGAUUCGGUUUGUUAUGUUCCGUUUGUUAUCUCUCUCUGUUUGUUUGUUUAUUAUUUUAUUUUUUGUUAUGUUCGAUUCGGUUUGUUAUGUUCCGUUUGUUAUCUCUCUCUGUUUGUUUGUUUAUUAUUUUAUUUUUUGUUAUGUUCGAUUCGGUUUGUUAUGUUCCGUUUGUUAUCUCUCUCUGUUUGUUUGUUUAUUAUUUUAUUUUUUGUUAUGUUCGAUUCGGUUUGUUAUGUUCCGUUUGUUAUCUCUCUCUGUUUGUUUGUUUAUUAUUUUAUUUUUUGUUAUGUUCGAUUCGGUUUGUUAUGUUCCGUUUGUUAUCUCUCUCUGUUUGUUUGUUUAUUAUUUUAUUUUUUGUUAUGUUCGAUUCGGUUUGUUAUGUUCCGUUUGUUAUCUCUCUCUGUUUGUUUGUUUAUUAUUUUAUUUUUUGUUAUGUUCGAUUCGGUUUGUUAUGUUCCGUUUGUUAUCUCUCUCUGUUUGUUUGUUUAUUAUUUUAUUUUUUGUUAUGUUCGAUUCGGUUUGUUAUGUUCCGUUUGUUAUCUCUCUCUGUUUGUUUGUUUAUUAUUUUAUUUUUUGUUAUGUUCGAUUCGGUUUGUUAUGUUCCGUUUGUUAUCUCUCUCUGUUUGUUUGUUUAUUAUUUUAUUUUUUGUUAUGUUCGAUUCGGUUUGUUAUGUUCCGUUUGUUAUCUCUCUCUGUUUGUUUGUUUAUUAUUUUAUUUUUUGUUAUGUUCGAUUCGGUUUGUUAUGUUCCGUUUGUUAUCUCUCUCUGUUUGUUUGUUUAUUAUUUUAUUUUUUGUUAUGUUCGAUUCGGUUUGUUAUGUUCCGUUUGUUAUCUCUCUCUGUUUGUUUGUUUAUUAUUUUAUUUUUUGUUAUGUUCGAUUCGGUUUGUUAUGUUCCGUUUGUUAUCUCUCUCUGUUUGUUUGUUUAUUAUUUUAUUUUUUGUUAUGUUCGAUUCGGUUUGUUAUGUUCCGUUUGUUAUCUCUCUCUGUUUGUUUGUUUAUUAUUUUAUUUUUUGUUAUGUUCGAUUCGGUUUGUUAUGUUCCGUUUGUUAUCUCUCUCUGUUUGUUUGUUUAUUAUUUUAUUUUUUGUUAUGUUCGAUUCGGUUUGUUAUGUUCCGUUUGUUAUCUCUCUCUGUUUGUUUGUUUAUUAUUUUAUUUUUUGUUAUGUUCGAUUCGGUUUGUUAUGUUCCGUUUGUUAUCUCUCUCUGUUUGUUUGUUUAUUAUUUUAUUUUUUGUUAUGUUCGAUUCGGUUUGUUAUGUUCCGUUUGUUAUCUCUCUCUGUUUGUUUGUUUAUUAUUUUAUUUUUUGUUAUGUUCGAUUCGGUUUGUUAUGUUCCGUUUGUUAUCUCUCUCUGUUUGUUUGUUUAUUAUUUUAUUUUUUGUUAUGUUCGAUUCGGUUUGUUAUGUUCCGUUUGUUAUCUCUCUCUGUUUGUUUGUUUAUUAUUUUAUUUUUUGUUAUGUUCGAUUCGGUUUGUUAUGUUCCGUUUGUUAUCUCUCUCUGUUUGUUUGUUUAUUAUUUUAUUUUUUGUUAUGUUCGAUUCGGUUUGUUAUGUUCCGUUUGUUAUCUCUCUCUGUUUGUUUGUUUAUUAUUUUAUUUUUUGUUAUGUUCGAUUCGGUUUGUUAUGUUCCGUUUGUUAUCUCUCUCUGUUUGUUUGUUUAUUAUUUUAUUUUUUGUUAUGUUCGAUUCGGUUUGUUAUGUUCCGUUUGUUAUCUCUCUCUGUUUGUUUGUUUAUUAUUUUAUUUUUUGUUAUGUUCGAUUCGGUUUGUUAUGUUCCGUUUGUUAUCUCUCUCUGUUUGUUUGUUUAUUAUUUUAUUUUUUGUUAUGUUCGAUUCGGUUUGUUAUGUUCCGUUUGUUAUCUCUCUCUGUUUGUUUGUUUAUUAUUUUAUUUUUUGUUAUGUUCGAUUCGGUUUGUUAUGUUCCGUUUGUUAUCUCUCUCUGUUUGUUUGUUUAUUAUUUUAUUUUUUGUUAUGUUCGAUUCGGUUUGUUAUGUUCCGUUUGUUAUCUCUCUCUGUUUGUUUGUUUAUUAUUUUAUUUUUUGUUAUGUUCGAUUCGGUUUGUUAUGUUCCGUUUGUUAUCUCUCUCUGUUUGUUUGUUUAUUAUUUUAUUUUUUGUUAUGUUCGAUUCGGUUUGUUAUGUUCCGUUUGUUAUCUCUCUCUGUUUGUUUGUUUAUUAUUUUAUUUUUUGUUAUGUUCGAUUCGGUUUGUUAUGUUCCGUUUGUUAUCUCUCUCUGUUUGUUUGUUUAUUAUUUUAUUUUUUGUUAUGUUCGAUUCGGUUUGUUAUGUUCCGUUUGUUAUCUCUCUCUGUUUGUUUGUUUAUUAUUUUAUUUUUUGUUAUGUUCGAUUCGGUUUGUUAUGUUCCGUUUGUUAUCUCUCUCUGUUUGUUUGUUUAUUAUUUUAUUUUUUGUUAUGUUCGAUUCGGUUUGUUAUGUUCCGUUUGUUAUCUCUCUCUGUUUGUUUGUUUAUUAUUUUAUUUUUUGUUAUGUUCGAUUCGGUUUGUUAUGUUCCGUUUGUUAUCUCUCUCUGUUUGUUUGUUUAUUAUUUUAUUUUUUGUUAUGUUCGAUUCGGUUUGUUAUGUUCCGUUUGUUAUCUCUCUCUGUUUGUUUGUUUAUUAUUUUAUUUUUUGUUAUGUUCGAUUCGGUUUGUUAUGUUCCGUUUGUUAUCUCUCUCUGUUUGUUUGUUUAUUAUUUUAUUUUUUGUUAUGUUCGAUUCGGUUUGUUAUGUUCCGUUUGUUAUCUCUCUCUGUUUGUUUGUUUAUUAUUUUAUUUUUUGUUAUGUUCGAUUCGGUUUGUUAUGUUCCGUUUGUUAUCUCUCUCUGUUUGUUUGUUUAUUAUUUUAUUUUUUGUUAUGUUCGAUUCGGUUUGUUAUGUUCCGUUUGUUAUCUCUCUCUGUUUGUUUGUUUAUUAUUUUAUUUUUUGUUAUGUUCGAUUCGGUUUGUUAUGUUCCGUUUGUUAUCUCUCUCUGUUUGUUUGUUUAUUAUUUUAUUUUUUGUUAUGUUCGAUUCGGUUUGUUAUGUUCCGUUUGUUAUCUCUCUCUGUUUGUUUGUUUAUUAUUUUAUUUUUUGUUAUGUUCGAUUCGGUUUGUUAUGUUCCGUUUGUUAUCUCUCUCUGUUUGUUUGUUUAUUAUUUUAUUUUUUGUUAUGUUCGAUUCGGUUUGUUAUGUUCCGUUUGUUAUCUCUCUCUGUUUGUUUGUUUAUUAUUUUAUUUUUUGUUAUGUUCGAUUCGGUUUGUUAUGUUCCGUUUGUUAUCUCUCUCUGUUUGUUUGUUUAUUAUUUUAUUUUUUGUUAUGUUCGAUUCGGUUUGUUAUGUUCCGUUUGUUAUCUCUCUCUGUUUGUUUGUUUAUUAUUUUAUUUUUUGUUAUGUUCGAUUCGGUUUGUUAUGUUCCGUUUGUUAUCUCUCUCUGUUUGUUUGUUUAUUAUUUUAUUUUUUGUUAUGUUCGAUUCGGUUUGUUAUGUUCCGUUUGUUAUCUCUCUCUGUUUGUUUGUUUAUUAUUUUAUUUUUUGUUAUGUUCGAUUCGGUUUGUUAUGUUCCGUUUGUUAUCUCUCUCUGUUUGUUUGUUUAUUAUUUUAUUUUUUGUUAUGUUCGAUUCGGUUUGUUAUGUUCCGUUUGUUAUCUCUCUCUGUUUGUUUGUUUAUUAUUUUAUUUUUUGUUAUGUUCGAUUCGGUUUGUUAUGUUCCGUUUGUUAUCUCUCUCUGUUUGUUUGUUUAUUAUUUUAUUUUUUGUUAUGUUCGAUUCGGUUUGUUAUGUUCCGUUUGUUAUCUCUCUCUGUUUGUUUGUUUAUUAUUUUAUUUUUUGUUAUGUUCGAUUCGGUUUGUUAUGUUCCGUUUGUUAUCUCUCUCUGUUUGUUUGUUUAUUAUUUUAUUUUUUGUUAUGUUCGAUUCGGUUUGUUAUGUUCCGUUUGUUAUCUCUCUCUGUUUGUUUGUUUAUUAUUUUAUUUUUUGUUAUGUUCGAUUCGGUUUGUUAUGUUCCGUUUGUUAUCUCUCUCUGUUUGUUUGUUUAUUAUUUUAUUUUUUGUUAUGUUCGAUUCGGUUUGUUAUGUUCCGUUUGUUAUCUCUCUCUGUUUGUUUGUUUAUUAUUUUAUUUUUUGUUAUGUUCGAUUCGGUUUGUUAUGUUCCGUUUGUUAUCUCUCUCUGUUUGUUUGUUUAUUAUUUUAUUUUUUGUUAUGUUCGAUUCGGUUUGUUAUGUUCCGUUUGUUAUCUCUCUCUGUUUGUUUGUUUAUUAUUUUAUUUUUUGUUAUGUUCGAUUCGGUUUGUUAUGUUCCGUUUGUUAUCUCUCUCUGUUUGUUUGUUUAUUAUUUUAUUUUUUGUUAUGUUCGAUUCGGUUUGUUAUGUUCCGUUUGUUAUCUCUCUCUGUUUGUUUGUUUAUUAUUUUAUUUUUUGUUAUGUUCGAUUCGGUUUGUUAUGUUCCGUUUGUUAUCUCUCUCUGUUUGUUUGUUUAUUAUUUUAUUUUUUGUUAUGUUCGAUUCGGUUUGUUAUGUUCCGUUUGUUAUCUCUCUCUGUUUGUUUGUUUAUUAUUUUAUUUUUUGUUAUGUUCGAUUCGGUUUGUUAUGUUCCGUUUGUUAUCUCUCUCUGUUUGUUUGUUUAUUAUUUUAUUUUUUGUUAUGUUCGAUUCGGUUUGUUAUGUUCCGUUUGUUAUCUCUCUCUGUUUGUUUGUUUAUUAUUUUAUUUUUUGUUAUGUUCGAUUCGGUUUGUUAUGUUCCGUUUGUUAUCUCUCUCUGUUUGUUUGUUUAUUAUUUUAUUUUUUGUUAUGUUCGAUUCGGUUUGUUAUGUUCCGUUUGUUAUCUCUCUCUGUUUGUUUGUUUAUUAUUUUAUUUUUUGUUAUGUUCGAUUCGGUUUGUUAUGUUCCGUUUGUUAUCUCUCUCUGUUUGUUUGUUUAUUAUUUUAUUUUUUGUUAUGUUCGAUUCGGUUUGUUAUGUUCCGUUUGUUAUCUCUCUCUGUUUGUUUGUUUAUUAUUUUAUUUUUUGUUAUGUUCGAUUCGGUUUGUUAUGUUCCGUUUGUUAUCUCUCUCUGUUUGUUUGUUUAUUAUUUUAUUUUUUGUUAUGUUCGAUUCGGUUUGUUAUGUUCCGUUUGUUAUCUCUCUCUGUUUGUUUGUUUAUUAUUUUAUUUUUUGUUAUGUUCGAUUCGGUUUGUUAUGUUCCGUUUGUUAUCUCUCUCUGUUUGUUUGUUUAUUAUUUUAUUUUUUGUUAUGUUCGAUUCGGUUUGUUAUGUUCCGUUUGUUAUCUCUCUCUGUUUGUUUGUUUAUUAUUUUAUUUUUUGUUAUGUUCGAUUCGGUUUGUUAUGUUCCGUUUGUUAUCUCUCUCUGUUUGUUUGUUUAUUAUUUUAUUUUUUGUUAUGUUCGAUUCGGUUUGUUAUGUUCCGUUUGUUAUCUCUCUCUGUUUGUUUGUUUAUUAUUUUAUUUUUUGUUAUGUUCGAUUCGGUUUGUUAUGUUCCGUUUGUUAUCUCUCUCUGUUUGUUUGUUUAUUAUUUUAUUUUUUGUUAUGUUCGAUUCGGUUUGUUAUGUUCCGUUUGUUAUCUCUCUCUGUUUGUUUGUUUAUUAUUUUAUUUUUUGUUAUGUUCGAUUCGGUUUGUUAUGUUCCGUUUGUUAUCUCUCUCUGUUUGUUUGUUUAUUAUUUUAUUUUUUGUUAUGUUCGAUUCGGUUUGUUAUGUUCCGUUUGUUAUCUCUCUCUGUUUGUUUGUUUAUUAUUUUAUUUUUUGUUAUGUUCGAUUCGGUUUGUUAUGUUCCGUUUGUUAUCUCUCUCUGUUUGUUUGUUUAUUAUUUUAUUUUUUGUUAUGUUCGAUUCGGUUUGUUAUGUUCCGUUUGUUAUCUCUCUCUGUUUGUUUGUUUAUUAUUUUAUUUUUUGUUAUGUUCGAUUCGGUUUGUUAUGUUCCGUUUGUUAUCUCUCUCUGUUUGUUUGUUUAUUAUUUUAUUUUUUGUUAUGUUCGAUUCGGUUUGUUAUGUUCCGUUUGUUAUCUCUCUCUGUUUGUUUGUUUAUUAUUUUAUUUUUUGUUAUGUUCGAUUCGGUUUGUUAUGUUCCGUUUGUUAUCUCUCUCUGUUUGUUUGUUUAUUAUUUUAUUUUUUGUUAUGUUCGAUUCGGUUUGUUAUGUUCCGUUUGUUAUCUCUCUCUGUUUGUUUGUUUAUUAUUUUAUUUUUUGUUAUGUUCGAUUCGGUUUGUUAUGUUCCGUUUGUUAUCUCUCUCUGUUUGUUUGUUUAUUAUUUUAUUUUUUGUUAUGUUCGAUUCGGUUUGUUAUGUUCCGUUUGUUAUCUCUCUCUGUUUGUUUGUUUAUUAUUUUAUUUUUUGUUAUGUUCGAUUCGGUUUGUUAUGUUCCGUUUGUUAUCUCUCUCUGUUUGUUUGUUUAUUAUUUUAUUUUUUGUUAUGUUCGAUUCGGUUUGUUAUGUUCCGUUUGUUAUCUCUCUCUGUUUGUUUGUUUAUUAUUUUAUUUUUUGUUAUGUUCGAUUCGGUUUGUUAUGUUCCGUUUGUUAUCUCUCUCUGUUUGUUUGUUUAUUAUUUUAUUUUUUGUUAUGUUCGAUUCGGUUUGUUAUGUUCCGUUUGUUAUCUCUCUCUGUUUGUUUGUUUAUUAUUUUAUUUUUUGUUAUGUUCGAUUCGGUUUGUUAUGUUCCGUUUGUUAUCUCUCUCUGUUUGUUUGUUUAUUAUUUUAUUUUUUGUUAUGUUCGAUUCGGUUUGUUAUGUUCCGUUUGUUAUCUCUCUCUGUUUGUUUGUUUAUUAUUUUAUUUUUUGUUAUGUUCGAUUCGGUUUGUUAUGUUCCGUUUGUUAUCUCUCUCUGUUUGUUUGUUUAUUAUUUUAUUUUUUGUUAUGUUCGAUUCGGUUUGUUAUGUUCCGUUUGUUAUCUCUCUCUGUUUGUUUGUUUAUUAUUUUAUUUUUUGUUAUGUUCGAUUCGGUUUGUUAUGUUCCGUUUGUUAUCUCUCUCUGUUUGUUUGUUUAUUAUUUUAUUUUUUGUUAUGUUCGAUUCGGUUUGUUAUGUUCCGUUUGUUAUCUCUCUCUGUUUGUUUGUUUAUUAUUUUAUUUUUUGUUAUGUUCGAUUCGGUUUGUUAUGUUCCGUUUGUUAUCUCUCUCUGUUUGUUUGUUUAUUAUUUUAUUUUUUGUUAUGUUCGAUUCGGUUUGUUAUGUUCCGUUUGUUAUCUCUCUCUGUUUGUUUGUUUAUUAUUUUAUUUUUUGUUAUGUUCGAUUCGGUUUGUUAUGUUCCGUUUGUUAUCUCUCUCUGUUUGUUUGUUUAUUAUUUUAUUUUUUGUUAUGUUCGAUUCGGUUUGUUAUGUUCCGUUUGUUAUCUCUCUCUGUUUGUUUGUUUAUUAUUUUAUUUUUUGUUAUGUUCGAUUCGGUUUGUUAUGUUCCGUUUGUUAUCUCUCUCUGUUUGUUUGUUUAUUAUUUUAUUUUUUGUUAUGUUCGAUUCUGUUUGCGAAGACUAUCAAUAUUUUUGUUAAUUUUAAAGUUUGGUGGAAUCAAUGGAAUGAGAUUUGUAACACGUACAAACACACGAACAACAACACAAUUGUAUUAGUGUUUAUUGGUUAAUACGACUUUUUGUGACUAAUGUUAUGUGAUGGAAAUACCGGUGCAGAAGAGAUUUAUUUAAACAGUGCUGCUAUAUAUAAGAAAAAAUCAUCUAUCAAAAAAUAAAUAAAUAAAUAAAUAAAUAAAUAUAUAUAUAUAUAUAUAUAUAUAUAUAUNUUGCAUACUGCAAAUCCUAUUCCUUUGUUUGCUCCUGUAACAACUGCAUAUCUAGAAACAAGAUUAACAAGGUUGUAUUAUGUGUCAUUGUCAUGAAGCUUUUGGUUAACUGUGUGUGUCUAUAUAUAUAUAUAUAUAUUGAAGGUGUGUUUAAAAAAAAAAAAAUGUAAGGUAUAUUGAAGAAACAAAAGGGUAAGAAAAAUUAGAUUCUACAUUGUUGUUGCUUCUGCCAUUGAUAUGGUAAGAGUGAGGUGCUAGCAAAUAUGUGUUGACCAAAAUGAAGAUUAUAAAUUAAAAUGGGUUUGUAGUUAUAUGUUUAUAACUUUCUAUUAAUUAUCUUUAAAUAUUAGUUCCAACAACUAUUUUACCAGCCAAAGAAAAUAUUCUUUAUUUUAUGAUAAAAAGAGUAAGUGAAUCCCCGUGAGCUUAGCUCAGUUGGUAGGGAUAUUGCAUAUUAUAUGCAGGAGCUGGGGUUCGAACCCCGGACACUCCACUUCUCCACAAUUAAAUUGUGUGAGCUCUAACCACUAGGCUACUUGACCAAAAAAAAAAAAAAAAGAGUAAGUGAAUUGAAAGCCGGACCUCAAAGUUAAAGAGUCUUUAUAGAGGUACACUUACAAAUCAGCUAUCAUAGAGGUGAGAGAGUUAACUUGUUACCAACUGAGUCAAAAAUAAUCGACAUAAUUUUUCGUUUUUCGUAUAAGCAAUAAAUUUUUGUUUUAAUAAUGUUUUUUUUUUUAUGAAGUUUUGUGGGAAUUACGUUUUAAUAGGAAUCUUUUUAUUGCGCUAGCGCGUGUAGAUUAUCAACGAAAUAUUAUAGAAAUUUUGCGUGUAAAUUGCAAACGAUAUUUUAUAUAACUCUUUUAUAUAAAUUAAAAUGAUAAGUAUAGAUAUUUGUGACUUUCAAAUGUAUCAAACUCAACAAAUCAUAUUUAUCUUUUUCAAUGACAACAAUAAUAUAACAAAUAUAAUAAAAAAUUCUUAUAUUUUUUAAUCACAACAACAAUAUAACAUUAUUAUAGAAAAAUUUAUGUAAGAGUAUAAUUGAAAUAACAAAAAAGUUUGCCCAAAAUCCAGAUUUAGUGUAGUAGUUAUUAUUUAUUUCCUCAAUAAUAAUUUAUAUGAUUUUGGAUUAGUAAUGCCACAUGUAUAAACUGCAACUGUUCAAGCGCAAUAUUGAUGAUUCCUUUUCGCAAUCUAUGAAUUUUAUAAGCAUUGGUAUAUGUGUGUCUGAUGAUGAUGAAGUUUUUCUUCUAGCCAAAACCAUAAAUUUAUCUCCUUGAGUUCUGCUCCAGUUGGCGAAGCUUUAGGUUUGUUUAAUGAUGUAGAAUGAUUAAGUGCAUGAAGAUGGAUAUUGUCAACUUUGUUGUGGAUUCUAAAACAAUCAACGACAUUUUUUACUCCAACAAACCUUAUGUUUCAAAAUUUGGUCAUAUCAUAUCAUGGUGCCAGAGACUUUCACAUUUUUUUUAGAGAGUGAUAAAUUAAUACUUAUGAUUAAUAUAUUUUUAAGUUUAAGAAUAUUAUAACAACAUAUAUUAAAAAAAAAUCAAUACAAAGUAAUUGUUUUCAGCCAAUAAUUAUCUAUCUUUCACAUUGUUUUCUUACAACAAAUAUUAAUCCUUGCUCAAAAUGGUUUCUCCUCAUUUCUAACAAAAAAGUGACCAGAACUACCAUCAGAUAGCAAUGCCAACCUCAGAAUUGAUUCAGCACCUUCAUCAGGUGUUAGAUAACCUGUAUUGUAAUUUAUAUCUGUUUUCACAAAGCCAGGACAAACAGCAUUGAUGCAUAUUGAUGGAUACUUCUUGGCUGCAACUCUUGUAUAGGCACUUAGAGAAGCUUUUGAGAUAAUGUAUGUAGACAUGCUAUUAAUAGGCCAACCUUUAUUUUCUACUAGUGAUCCCUCUUUAAAAUCCUUUAGAAAUUGAUUCAAAACUUCAUCAAUCUUUUCUUCUGUAAGGUUUUCAAUAUCACUCAGUACCUCCUUAGGCCAUCCAUUAGGAAGUUUCUGCAAAUAAAAUUGCAUGAAAAUGAGUAUUAUCCUCCAAUUGCAUAAUAGUUCAAAGUGAAAUAACAUAUAGCACUUUAAAUCCAAUGAAUGAAGCAUUAAUACAUUUUAAGUAGUUUCGAGUUCAAACCCUCGGCUCGGUUAGUGAGCUAAAGGACAACAAAGAAUUUUUAAAAAGGUUGUCGAGAGUUCAAACCCUGAAAAUUUACAUAACCACUAACUUACUAACAUUUGUCUAUAAAAAAAAAAACUAACGAACAAUUUGAUUUAGAUAUUUUCAUUAGAUAAGUUUCUAAAUAAGUUUCCCUAAAAAAAAAUCUAAAUAAGUUACCAAAGAAAGUAGCAGAAGUUAUUAGUAUCAUAUACCUCCAACUUUCCCAUGGAUGAGGAAACAUUGACAACUUUUGGUGAGCUUGAAAGCUGGAGAAGGGGAAUAAGUGCUUCAGUUAAGUCCUUGGCUCCAUAAUAGUUUGUUUUAAUACCUAAUUCAGUUUCUUCAUAUGUUUGAGUUAUUAUUUUACUCCAAUCAAUCUGGCCACCAUUUUCCUACAACCAAAAACAAGAAAACUUUAUUUCUUAAGCAUGACUUGCAAUUGUUAAUAAAUUUAACUAAUGUUAACAAUCUCUAUAUCGAAUGAAGUAAUAACCAAGGUUUUAAGUCGCUUUAACAGUCGCGGUAGGAUCACAAUGGUUGAUGUUGCGGAGAAUCACAAUCAUUUUGAACUUAAUGGAUUAGCAUGUUUAAGUAAAUCUCAUUAAUUUAAGUUAAACUGCCUCGGCUUUCCGGGGAAAGAAAUCAUACCGCAGUAUUAGCAGCAGCCAGAGCCUCACCGUCGACUUGUGCUCCAGGAAUUCCAGCAUUGUUUACCUAAGAAAAGUUUGGAGUUUCAAAUAUUUGUGAUCAUUCAAGAUGAAUUGAAAACUAUUUCACACACAGACAGAACCAUAUAAUAAUAGCUUAUAAUUUUUCAACUGUAAAAUAUUUUAUUUGACAAGGUAUAUCAAUGAAACUCAAUGGAUAUAGCUCAUCUAAAAUUAUCAGUAAAGUAAACAAUUUCAACCUUUAAUGAAAAAAAAAUGCACUCGAAUAUCAACGGUUGAUUCUGUUGUUACUUGUUAUGAUUUGUGUUUGCAAACGUUCACUGAAAAGUGAGUCAAGCUACAAGCCUACAAAUACUAAGUUUUACAUUAAAAUCAAUUUUAAAGACAAAAUUAAUUCUAAUGAUGAACUUCAAACAUACCACCAAAAACAAUUUUAAAAAUCUUUAUAAUCACUUUUGCCUCUCAAAAUUGAAUCCAAACAAGCACUAAAUUAAAUCACUCAUAUUAGAUCAACCAAAUCCAAAAUUCAGAUAUACUCUCUAUCUACUUAUACAAACUUUGAUAUAAAUUUGAAUUCUCUUACCAAAAGAUCUAGAUUACCAAAUUGAUUCUUGAUAAAAUCUACAAAUGAUCUUAUACUUGCAUGAUCUAUGACAUCAAGUUGAUGAAAAACAACAAGACCAGGCAAAGAAAGCUGUUUCAAUUUCUCAACAGCUUCAAGACCUCUCUUUUCAUCUCUUGCAGUAAGCACCACAGUGAUCCCUUUAGAAGCCAAUUGCUUGCAUACUGCAAAUCCUAUUCCUUUGUUUGCUCCUGUAACAACUGCAUAUCUAGAAACAAGAUUANNNNNNNNNNNNNNNNNNNNNNNNNNNNNNNNNNNNNNNNNNNNNNNNNNNNNNNNNNNNNNNNNNNNNNNNNNNNNNNNNNNNNNNNNNNNNNNNNNNNNNNNNNNNNNNNNNNNNNNNNNNNNNNNNNNNNNNNNNNNNNNNNNNNNNNNNNNNNNNNNNNNNNNNNNNNNNNNNNNNNNNNNNNNNNNNNNNNNNNNNNNNNNNNNNNNNNNNNNNNNNNNNNNNNNNNNNNNNNNNNNNNNNNNNNNNNNNNNNNNNNNNNNNNNNNNNNNNNNNNNNNNNNNNNNNNNNNNNNNNNNNNNNNNNNNNNNNNNNNNNNNNNNNNNNNNNNNNNNNNNNNNNNNNNNNNNNNNNNNNNNNNNNNNNNNNNNNNNNNNNNNNNNNNNNNNNNNNNNNNNNNNNNNNNNNNNNNNNNNNNNNNNNNNNNNNNAAUUGAUUCAGCACCUUCAUCAGGUGUUAGAUAACCUGUAUUGUAAUUUAUAUCUGUUUUCACAAAGCCAGGACAAACAGCAUUGAUGCAUAUUGAUGGAUACUUCUUGGCUGCAACUCUUGUAUAGGCACUUAGAGAAGCUUUUGAGAUAAUGUAUGUAGACAUGCUAUUAAUAGGCCAACCUUUAUUUUCUACUAGUGAUCCCUCUUUAAAAUCCUUUAGAAAUUGAUUCAAAACUUCAUCAAUCUUUUCUUCUGUAAGGUUUUCAAUAUCACUCAGUACCUCCUUAGGCCAUCCAUUAGGAAGUUUCUGCAAAUAAAAUUGCAUGAAAAUGAGUAUUAUCCUCCAAUUGCAUAAUAGUUCAAAGUGAAAUAACAUAUAGCACUUUAAAUCCAAUGAAUGAAGCAUUAAUACAUUUUAAGUAGUUUCGAGUUCAAACCCUCGGCUCGGUUAGUGAGCUAAAGGACAACAAAGAAUUUUUAAAAAGGUUGUCGAGAGUUCAAACCCUGAAAAUUUACAUAACCACUAACUUACUAACAUUUGUCUAUAAAAAAAAAAACUAACGAACAAUUUGAUUUAGAUAUUUUCAUUAGAUAAGUUUCUAAAUAAGUUUCCCUAAAAAAAAAUCUAAAUAAGUUACCAAAGAAAGUAGCAGAAGUUAUUAGUAUCAUAUACCUCCAACUUUCCCAUGGAUGAGGAAACAUUGACAACUUUUGGUGAGCUUGAAAGCUGGAGAAGGGGAAUAAGUGCUUCAGUUAAGUCCUUGGCUCCAUAAUAGUUUGUUUUAAUACCUAAUUCAGUUUCUUCAUAUGUUUGAGUUAUUAUUUUACUCCAAUCAAUCUGGCCACCAUUUUCCUACAACCAAAAACAAGAAAACUUUAUUUCUUAAGCAUGACUUGCAAUUGUUAAUAAAUUUAACUAAUGUUAACAAUCUCUAUAUCGAAUGAAGUAAUAACCAAGGUUUUAAGUCGCUUUAACAGUCGCGGUAGGAUCACAAUGGUUGAUGUUGCGGAGAAUCACAAUCAUUUUGAACUUAAUGGAUUAGCAUGUUUAAGUAAAUCUCAUUAAUUUAAGUUAAACUGCCUCGGCUUUCCGGGGAAAGAAAUCAUACCGCAGUAUUAGCAGCAGCCAGAGCCUCACCGUCGACUUGUGCUCCAGGAAUUCCAGCAUUGUUUACCUAAGAAAAGUUUGGAGUUUCAAAUAUUUGUGAUCAUUCAAGAUGAAUUGAAAACUAUUUCACACACAGACAGAACCAUAUAAUAAUAGCUUAUAAUUUUUCAACUGUAAAAUAUUUUAUUUGACAAGGUAUAUCAAUGAAACUCAAUGGAUAUAGCUCAUCUAAAAUUAUCAGUAAAGUAAACAAUUUCAACCUUUAAUGAAAAAAAAAUGCACUCGAAUAUCAACGGUUGAUUCUGUUGUUACUUGUUAUGAUUUGUGUUUGCAAACGUUCACUGAAAAGUGAGUCAAGCUACAAGCCUACAAAUACUAAGUUUUACAUUAAAAUCAAUUUUAAAGACAAAAUUAAUUCUAAUGAUGAACUUCAAACAUACCACCAAAAACAAUUUUAAAAAUCUUUAUAAUCACUUUUGCCUCUCAAAAUUGAAUCCAAACAAGCACUAAAUUAAAUCACUCAUAUUAGAUCAACCAAAUCCAAAAUUCAGAUAUACUCUCUAUCUACUUAUACAAACUUUGAUAUAAAUUUGAAUUCUCUUACCAAAAGAUCUAGAUUACCAAAUUGAUUCUUGAUAAAAUCUACAAAUGAUCUUAUACUUGCAUGAUCUAUGACAUCAAGUUGAUGAAAAACAACAAGACCAGGCAAAGAAAGCUGUUUCAAUUUCUCAACAGCUUCAAGACCUCUCUUUUCAUCUCUUGCAGUAAGCACCACAGUGAUCCCUUUAGAAGCCAAUUGCUUGCAUACUGCAAAUCCUAUUCCUUUGUUUGCUCCUGUAACAACUGCAUAUCUAGAAACAAGAUUAUUAUGAGUUAUUAUGAUUAAGCUUAUGUUAAUUUAAUGGCAUAUAUAUGUAGGGUAUUUUGAAGAAUAAAAGGAUUUACCUUUUUGUUGCUUCUGCCAUUGAUAUGAAUAAAGAAAAGUGCUAGCAAGUAUGAGUGGACUAAAAUAAAAUAAAAAUGGGGUUGUGGUUGUGUUUAUAUAUAAUAAUAACUUUAUACUAUCAAGAGUUUCAAGUAAAAGUUGAUACUUGAUAGUAGAGUAGUGAUAUUUGAAAAACCAUUUCAUACAAUUUUUGGUAACAACUUCCUUUUUCUCUCUUUUGAUUGGUUAAAAAUAAUGGAGAGAGAAAAAGGAAGAGAGAGAAUAAGAGGAUAAUGUGAGUAUGAGAGAGAAAGUUGUCAAAAAGUUGUCACAAAGUGGACGUACAUAUAUCAUUUCUCUUGAUAGUAAAUGCAAUGUCAAAGUUAAUGUUCUAAUCAUUGUUGUCAAAAUUCUGACUUAAAUCCUAAAAUUCAGGAUUUUGCAACUUUCUUCACUUUCAACGACUCAAAUCUAUAGUAGAAUCCUAAAAUAGGAAAAAUUCAUCGAUUUUGAUUGCGAUUUUACGAUUUCUUAUAAACUAAGUAAUUUAUGACUAUAUACCAUUUAUAACAUAUAUUUAGUAUUAUUAUUUUUUGGUAAAAUCCAUCGAUUUUGAAUGCGAUUUUACAAUUUUCUAUAUCGAUUCUAUAAAAGUUCUUAGGUAAAAUCCUUCGAUUUUGAUUGCGAUUUUACGAGUUCCGAUUUUACUAUUCCCUUUUGACCUGAAGUAAAAUCCCGAUUUUGACAACCUUGGUUCCAAUAAUGUUUCUUUUUGUUUUCAACUUAUCAUGAACAUCAAUUGUUGUUGGACCACUCUUUGGUUGAAACAAAAACAAGUUGUCACAUUUUAUAAGUUUCUCUCCAUUGUUUUUUUAGAGGAAAAAAUUCAUCGAUCUCAUUGCAUUAGAUAAAGUGUCAAUACAAAGCGGUACUUCAAUAAACAAUUGAGAGCUAGUUUUAAUGGUAAUGUAUGUGCUUAUUCAGCGAUCCCAUUUGCUUGUCCUUUAAUAAAGUCAACCUUAGUUAGAGUCGUUAAAAGAUGUGAUGAACAACCGUCUACAGUGAUGAAUGAUGUUGUCAAACUCAUUGUUAUUACUGUUAUUAACAUUAAAUACAUCGACAACAAUCUUUGAAUCAAGAGAAAAAUUCGUGUUAACAAAACCAAAAUCAGUCACCCAUUACAAGCUUGACAAAGUCCUGACGCUUCAUCGACAUCCACUGAACACAAUGGGGAGAAUCAGGGGGUUUUUGCUAGCACAAACACAAAGCACUUUUCGGCAUCGCGAAUACACAUACUACUUAUUAUUGAUAGAAGAGAAUGAUGCAUCAACGUUACAUUUAAAUCUAUCAGAUGCACAUUGUUGUCAUCGUGCACAAUGUAUAUUGCUCAACCCUAGUAUAUUCGUAGUAGUUGUUGUUCUGAACAAUUCUUGUGCAAGUUUCUAGUGUUCUAACAUAUGCAAAACAUGUUUGAAUACUUGGUGGUCGUUUCGUCUACUUUUUUCCUUAAUUUCACAUUCCGACUAGGCAUGGCAACAAAAUCCAUGUCCACGGAUACCCGCCCAAACCAACCCCGUUUUGACUGGGUUUGAGGGGAUAUAGUUACCCACCCCGAAUCCAUACCCAAACCCUACCCAAAUAUAAGAAAAUUACCUUUUUACCCCUUUAUUACCCCUCUUAUAUAAAUAGAAACUCAAACCCUAAAAACCAUUUCACCACAUGUGUCUGUCAGACGAUGGCACUCACUCGAGUUAUCCCUCUUCUUCUUGGACAUCUCACACCAUUAUCACCAUCAUCUUCUGGUGUUUUUCUUAAUGAUUUAUGCUUAAUUUUUUUUGGAUUUUAUUUUAUUUUUUGUUAUGUUCGAUUCGGUUUGUUAUGUUCCGUUUGUUAUCUCUCUCUGUUUGUUUGUUUAUUAUUUUAUUUUUUGUUAUGUUCGAUUCUGUUUGCGAAGACUAUCAAUAUUUUUGUUAAUUUUAAAGUUUGGUGGAAUCAAUGGAAUGAGAUUUGUAACACGUACAAACACACGAACAACAACACAAUUGUAUUAGUGUUUAUUGGUUAAUACGACUUUUUGUGACUAAUGUUAUGUGAUGGAAAUACCGGUGCAGAAGAGAUUUAUUUAAACAGUGCUGCUAUAUAUAAGAAAAAAUCAUCUAUCAAAAAAUAAAUAAAUAAAUAAAUAAAUAAAUAUAUAUAUAUAUAUAUAUAUAUAUAUAUAUAGGCAAAUAAAAAAUGAAAAAAAAAUAUUAAAAAUAGUGCCAAGCAAGUUUCGAAGUGUGUUCUAGUGCACAGAAGCUCCGAAUUUUUUCCAAAAGUUCAUUUCUAUAGCUUCUCGUAGAAGCUCAAUCUAUUCAAUUUUGUACAUUGAACAAAAGCUACUUCUUAGGAUAAAUAGCUUUAUUAGAAAUGUGUUUGGCCCUACUUUCUCCUUAUAAGGAGAAGAGAAGCCCAAAAAAGCUUGGCCAAANNNNNNNNNNNNNNNNNNNNNNNNNNNNNNNNNNNNNNNNNNNNNNNNNNNNNNNNNNNNNNNNNNNNNNNNNNNNNNNNNNNNNNNNNNNNNNNNNNNNNNNNNNNNNNNNNNNNNNNNNNNNNNNNNNNNNNNNNNNNNNNNNNNNNNNNNNNNNNNNNNNNNNNNNNNNNNNNNNNNNNNNNNNNNNNNNNNNNNNNNNNNNNNNNNNNNNNNNNNNNNNNNNNNNNNNNNNNNNNNNNNNNNNNNNNNNNNNNNNNNNNNNNNNNNNNNNNNNNNNNNNNNNNNNNNNNNNNNNNNNNNNNNNNNNNNNNNNNNNNNNNNNNNNNNNNNNNNNNNNNNNNNNNNNNNNNNNNNNNNNNNNNNNNNNNNNNNNNNNNNNNNNNNNNNNNNNNNNNNAAAUAAAUAAAUAAAUAAAGUUUUAGAAGUUAGAACAUUCAUCUAUUUUAUCCCUCGUUUCAUCCAUUUUAUCACUCGCAUUAAAUUAGAAUUUCAUUGGGGACGGGGAUGGGGGUAAUACCCAAACCCAUUGGGGACGGGUACCGGGAUGAGAUUCAAUUUUUCAUCCCCGUUAAAUAUAGGUAGAGUAACGGGUACAUAUACAGAAGUACGGGGUGGGGAUGGGGAAGCCGAUACCCGUCCCCACCCCGUCCCAUUGCCAUGCCUAAUUCCGACGCUUCUACAUACUCAAAGCACGGUUGCAAAUAAUUAUAUCCAUUGAUUUAUUCCUUCUGUUCUCUCUAAUAGUAUAGUUUUGAAAAUAUAAAUAUAGACUUGAUAUUAAAUGAAUUUAAAUCUUUUUUGUACAUUUAAAACCAUUUAUAAAUUUUAAUAUUGGAAAAGAAAUGAAAAGCAUUCUAAAUCAAAUUUUGCUACUUCGUGAUUCUUAAAAUUUAUUCCCAAAUUAUUCAUUUUUGUUUUGUUACUCCUAAAUUUAUUCAUUUAGACAAAAGAAACACCGUUUUUUUUUUUCUCUUGAGAUUCACUUUCAUACGCGAAUAUAUAUUUUUUAUUCAGAUUAAUAAAUUUACAGAGUGUGGUUUUGAAGAAAAUUGUGGAAGGCAAAAGUUAUAUGAGUGGACCUUAUCAUUCCGUGACAUCAAAUUGUGAUUGGCAUAUGUUUCACCACGUUCGUUCCACCCAAUCCAUCAAGACAUCUAAUUAAAUUAAUAUUAAUUUUUUAAUGGAAUUGUUCCAUCAAAAUAAAAUGGUUUGAAAGAAAUUGGAGGUUUUGCAUUGAAAUAAGAACGACAGAGAAAAAUACCAUAGUAUUUUAUACCAUAGAAAAAUACUAUUUUUUUGUCAAGUAGCCUAGUGACUAGAAUGCACACAAUUUAAUUGUGGAGAGGUGGGAUGUCCGGGAUUCGAAUCCCAACACCUGCAUAUAAUAUACAAUAUCCCUUCCAACCGAAUUUAACUCAUGAGGAUAAAAGAAUACCAUUUUUUUUGUAGAUAAAAAAAUAACAAUUAUGUCUUUGUGAAUAUAGCUCAGUUGGCAGGAACAUGCAUUAUUAUAUGCAGGGGUUGAGGUUUGAACACAGAUACCCCACUUAUUCAUCUUGAAAAAGGUGAAUUCUAGCCACUAAACUAUUUGAAAUAAUAAUAAUAAUAAAUACCAAUUCUUAACAAAAAAGAAACAGAAAAAUACAAAUUCAAUUCGUCAAAAAAAAAAAAAAAAUACAAAUUCAAUAAUAUUUUGUGUGGUUUCCUUUCUCAUUAAUACUUUUUUUUUUUUUUUUGUAUUUAUCUUCUUUAAUAUUUUAAUCACUAGUUUUAUUUUAUUUACACAACUUAUCGCAAAGAAAAAUAAACACAACUUGAAAUUAAAUUAAUGGAAUGAUGGGUUAUGUAGUACUCGCUCAACGGUAGUCAUGGAUGAGUUAUGAAGAUUGAAGAGGUAGAAAUGACUUAUUGUUCACGUAGUCGUGAAAUUCUCCCAAACAUCUUUUAGAUUCAUUUUUUUUUUUUUUUUUUUUUAUAAUAAAAAUACUUUUCUCGAACUAUUAAAUGUAGAUUUUGUUUUUUCAUUUUGAAUUGGCUUAAUUACUCUUUUGGUCCCUCAACUUAUUUUUUGGUUUCGUUUUGGUUCCUUAACUAUUAAAAGUUUCGUUUCGGUUCCAUAACUUAUUUUUGGAUUUUCUUUUGGUCCCUUAACUAUUUAAAGUUUCGUUUUGGUCCCUUAACUUACUUUUUGGUUUCGUUUUGGUCCCUUAACUUAUUUUUUGGUCCCUUAACUCUAAUACAUUCAUCCUAACAUAAAUGACCAAAGUGGUUGACGGAGGAAGAGUUAAGGGAGCAAAACGAAACCAAAAAGUAAGUUAAAGGACCAAAACGAAGCUUUUAAUAGUUAAGGGACCAAAACGAAACCAAAAAAUAAGUUAAGGGACCAAAACGAAACUUUUAAUAGUUAAGGGACCAAAACCAAACCAAAAAAUAAGUUAAGGGACCAAAAAAGUAAUUAAGCCUUUUGAAUUAUACAAUCUAAACACAUCAUAUAUAUCAUUUCGAAUCUCUCACUACUUUCACUUAUGCACUUCAGUUUCACAAACUUAAAUAAAAUACCCAAAAUCCCUCAAACCAAAACUCACUCAAAACUAGUUAAAAACAAACAAAGUCUAAACAACUUUUUUUUUUUUAAGGAAAACUUAACUGAUCCUAAUCCUGAUUAAAAACAAACAUGUCCUAGAUAAGAGGAAAACAAAUAACUAACCUAAUUCCAAAAGAUAAAACUAACCCUAGGAAAUAGAAACAAACCCUAGAAAUAAACAAAAAUAAAGCGAAUUGUAAUAGAAACAAACCCUAGAAAUAAACAAAAAUAAGUCAAAUAUAAUAAUAAAAUUUCAAAACCUAACCUAAAAAGAAAAAAAAAAUAAAGCGAAUUGUUUCAUUGAAAAUAUCAAUAAUUCCCGACAACAUCGCCAAAAACUUGAUACAUAAUUUGCCAAGUGCACUGAAAAGAGAUAAAAUUUUAAUCAGAAAAAGAAGAGAGAAAAAAUGGUGAUAAAGAACUACAUUCAACCUAAAAAAACAAAAAAAAACUACAUUAAACUGCAGCAGCUUCUACCCAAAGAAGAAUGGCUCUUAUGAUUAUCCAACACGCAUCCAACUUUGAUUCCAUGAGUCUCAUUCAACACACCAACAUCUCCAUCCUCAAUCUUUUUAUAUAUACUUUCAGCAGUUUUUACAAAUGCCUCUUCAAUAUUUUCACUAGAUUUUGCCGAAACCUCCAUAAACAUCAAACCAUUCUCCUUCGCGAAUUUCUCAGCUUCUUCGGUACUCACAACACGUUUCUUUGCGAGAUCAGACUUAUUUCCGACCAAUGUAAUGAUCGUAUUGGAAUUUCCAUGUUCUCUUACUUCUUCUAACCAAGUAGCCAAGUGAUUAAAUGUUUCUCUCUUUGUUAUAUCAUAAACAAGCAAUGCCCCUGCUGCUCCUCUAUAAUAUGAUCUUGUUAUUGAUCUGAAAGUUUCUUGACCUGCUGUGUCCCAUAUGUGUAACUUGAUUCGAUUAUUCUUGAUGUUGAUAAAUUUGAUGCCGAAUUCGACACCUAUUGUUAUGUCAUGGAUGGGUUUAAAGCUGUUGUCUGUGAAUCGAAAUAGAAGACAUGAUUUUCCGACUCCUAUGUCACCGAUUAUUAUGAAUUUGAAUAGAUAUGAGUGAGACAUUUUUUCCUACGAGAAUUUUGUGAAAAUGCAAAGUGGGAACAAGGAAGGAAUGCAGAGAUUUUUUUUAUUUUUUUUUAAGUAGGAAGGAGUGUGAAGAUUCAAAGCGAGGAAUUGUGAUGAUUUAAAAAAGUGCAGCACCAAUAAAUCUAUAUAUAGGGAUACAAUAUAAUCCUAAUUGAACAGAGAAACUAAUUAUCAAGAUAAUCCCUAAUUAAGUGAUAACAACCUCUCUUAUGAAAUUAUUCAAAAUACUCGGAAGUGAUAUUAAUAAGUGAUAACAACCUAGCUUUCUGACCAAAAAUAUAAAAAAAAAACCUACCUUAUCAUUUAUUCAAAAUAUUUAUUUUACAACUUUUUUUUUUUGAAGGAAUUUAUUUUAUUUAUUUAUUUUACAACUAUAUAUCUGUAAUUUUCUAUAAUCUAUACUCUAUUUCUAUACUUACUAUAUAUUAAGAUAAUAUAUGAUAUUUUUGAGCUGUCUUUUUCACUUCUAAUAUACCCUUAAAUUUGCUACAAGAAUGUUAUAUUGUUGCUUUCAAAAAGAUAAGAAUUUAUAAUAUUAUAUUUUUUGACAAAAUAAGAAUUUAUAUUAUCUUUGCUAGAUUGAGUUUUUCAUUAAAAAAGAUAAGUAUAGUUUGUUAGAAUUUGAAAGUGCAAAAUAUCUAUACAAAGAUUAUAUUCAAAAUCAAAAUCAAAAUUUCACGAAAACUUUUGUUCAUAAUUUAUACGCAUUAGCAAUAAAAAGAACACACACACGUUUGAACGCUAGUUUAUAUAUAAAGGAAAUAUGAGAUUUUGAGUUGAAAUUUUCAUCAUUUCAAUCAUACUCUUAAACAAAUUUAAAUAUAAUAAUGUUAUCUUGUUAGUGUUAAAAGAUAAGAGUUUAUAUUAUAUUUGAUAUAUUGUUGUAAAAGAUAAAUAUGAUUUAAAAAACUUAAACUAUAAUAAAACUACGCUUUAAAAGAUAAAUUUGAUAUAUUUGAUAUAAUCUAUACUAUAUAUAUAAAGAAAACUACAUUUUUCAGCACUUUUGGGUUGAAUUUUUCUUUUCAGAAAUACCCUCAAUUUUUCAAUAGAAAUAACACAUGUAACAAAUAGAUAAGAAUAAAUUUAAAUAUUUUUUUUGAAGACAUGAAUAAAUUUAAAUAUUAAAACAAAUGUAACAAACAUGAUAUGAAUAUAUAUUUUUUUCUUUAUCAUUUUAAAAGUGUAACAAACUAGAUGAGUACAUUUAUACUUACCUUUUCAUCAUUCCAAUUAUACCCUUAAUUAAACAACUUUUUCUAUAGUAAAAUUGUUGUUGGUGUCAUUAAAUUUUUUUUUAGAUUUUUUUGUUAUAUUGUAUUAUUGUCGGUGUCGUUGAAAUAGUUAAUCAUGAUUAGUUUGAUUUUUUAUAAUUUGAAAGCAACAAACAUUUAUAUGUUUUUUUAGUUUUAAUCAAAAUAAAAAUUUCAUAAAAAUAACACUGUUCAUAAUUUUCAAACGUUAAUUAACACAAUAAAGAGAUCGGAAAGAAUAUUUUUAAGAAUAUAUAUAUAUUUUUUUAACUAAGAUAAGAAUAUGUAUUAUAUGUGAUAUAUUCUUGAUGUUUGUUGAAAAAGAUAAAUAUGAUUUAUUACAAUUUAAAAAACUCAAAAAUACUUUAAGCAAUGGUUCAUACCCAUGGUUGCAAUUGCUAUGAAAGACACGACUCUCACAUGGUGGCUCUGGUCAUAUAUUCAAAUAGGCAAAAAAGGAAAUAUAAAAGGUACAUAUUCAAAUCAAGGGAACCAUCAUUCUUCUACGGUAGGGAAUGACUCGGAGGCACUUAUUACGAUCAAACAAUAUGAUCUUACACCAUCAAAUUCAAGUGUUGAAAUUGCGCCUCUAAAAAGAAACCUUCAAAUUGCUACUUAAGUUAAACGUAGCCACAGAGACACGCGUCAAAAUGCUCCGGCACUGAAGCGAUGCAACUCUCAAGUUGUCACUUCAAUGACCCGUACUAAAUCUCAGAAGAGAAGAUAGAAAACAAUAAAGAAUGUCACAUCAAGUACAUUACUAUAGGGGCCCUUGCCCAUAGGUACGAUCACCACACUUACACUCACUAAUUAGUCACUUUGCGGUAGUGAUACAUAAACCACCUUAGGUGGCAUAUACCACUUGUACACCCACAUAUAAUUGUGACAUGUGUCCAUGUGGUCCCUACUCACACAAGAAACUCAUCUUUUGUGUCUCUCAAACACUCUCACAUGGAAGUGGUACAAUGUGUGUAUAGAGAAAAGGGUGUUCAUGAAACAUUAUCCGUCACGUUGCUAUCUGCUAGCAUCCUAUCUUACUUGGGUGUAUGAGUGUCUUUUUAAAAUUAUUCAUAAAUUGAAAGUGCUAUAAAAAAGUUAAAAAUUAAAUAACAAACUUUUUUUUUAACAAGCCAAAAUAAACUAUAUUAAUAAACCAAAAGUGGUCGACUUCGCACAAGGCGUGCUACAGGAAGACACACAAAGUUAAAUACAAGAUAUGAAAUCCAACACAGUGGCACCCGACAACUGGGAAAGCACAACGACAAAAUUACAUAAAUAGGCCCAAACAAAGAAGAGGGUAACGCCAUCAAUCAUGAUAGUUAAAUAACAAACUUUUUAAUUGUGUGAAAAAUUUCAAAAACCUGAAAUAAUUAAACUACAAUAUAUGAUCUUAUCAGCGGACAUAGAACAUGUAUAUCUUCAUAUCCAAUCCAAACCAAAAAAGAUCGACAGAAGAGAUAAAAUUUUAAUCAAAAUCCGAAGAGAAAAAAAAUGGUUAUAAUUAAAGAACUACAUUCAACCUAAAAAAAAAAAAUAUUAAAAAAUACAUUCAAGAACAUAGGUAAAUCUCUCAACAACAAAAAAAAGAACAAAGGUUAAAUGAAUAAUGUUGAAUAUUGUUGAGUUCAAUUGCAGCAGCUUCCACCCAAAGCAGACGGGCUCUUAUGAUUUUUUGUUUGAAUAGACAAAAAUAAAAUAUAUUAACAGUAAAAUAGAAGCUUUUCUAGCAAGACGUGUCAAAGAAGACAACUAAAGUUCACAACAAAGUCCUUACACAGAAAGAACAAAAAACUGAAUUAGCCAAUGCCCAGACAAGUAAAUGGACACGACAAACCAGCUAUGAACCCCUAACACAAAAUUGGCAUUGGCCGCCUUCAUCCACCAAUACGAAUGAAUAUUUACUUUAUCCAACAACUGAUCAACAUAGUUUUUUCCUUGUGGUUAAAUAGUCUAUUAUCACAUUCAUUCCACAAAACCCAAAUGCAUAAAAAUCAAAUGAUAUGCAUAAAAGAUCGCUUACCAAUUCACCUGUCGAGUGAGUAAAUUGAACAAAAUGAUCAGAAAUACUAUAAGGAUUGGCCGUGGAAACACAUAUCCAAUCACAAACUAAAUGUCAAAGAUCCCUAAAAAUUGUGCAAGAAAGGAAUAAAUGUUGAGUUGUUUCGACUUCUCCACACCCGAUUACACACAUAUGCGCGUCAUGAUUAAGAAUUCCAUGCGCCAUCAAAUUGUCAUUAGUCGGCAACCUUUUACGAAGAAGUCUCAAAGCUAGAAGGGCUCUUAUGAUUAUCUCUACCUUCUGGAAUUAAUUAAUAUUUUUUAUUAAUCAAUAAUUUGGAUUGAGGUCAUUGAAGUAAAGUGCCUGCACUUUUUUUUUAAGAAAAGUUUCAGGACAUUUAAAUAAUUACGAUUAAAUCUCUAAAUUUAGGGACUCAAUUAUGAAUAUUAUUUAAAAUUUCAAAGAGUUAAUAUAUAAAUUGUUGAAAACUUCACAUGAGACAUUAAUUAUAUGCAAGGUCUGGGGUUCGAACCUCGGACACCAUCAAAUGAUUAAUUUUUUUUUAGUUGCGGAAACUAUUGACAUUAUUCAUAAAUUGAAAGUGCUAUAAAAAAGUUAAAAAUUAAAUUACAAACUUUUUUAAUUCUGAAAACUAUUUCCUCAAAUAACUCAACUAUAAUAUAUGAUUCUUAUCAGCGGACAUAGAAAAUAGUGAUAAAGAAGUACAUUCAACCUCUAAAAAAAUAAAAAAUAAAAUAAAAAAACAACAUUCAAGAACUAGGUUAAAUGAAUAUGUCGAAUAUUGUUGAUUUCAGCUGCAGCAGCUUCUACCCAAAGCAUAAGAGCUCUCACGAUUAUCCCUACCUUCUGCAGCAACAUAUCCAACUUUGAUUCCAUGAGUCUCAUCCAACACAUCAGAAACCCUAACCUGGAUAUUUUUAUAUAUACUUUCAGCAGUUUUUACAAAUGCCUCUUCAAUAUUUUCUCUAGAUUUCGCCGAAACCUCCAUAAACAUCAAACCAUUCUCCUUUGCGAAUUUCUCACCUUCUUUGGUACUCACAACACGAUUACACGCAAGAUCGCUCUUGUUUCCGAUCAACAUAAUGAUCAUAUCUGAACUUGCAUGUUGUCUUGCAUCUUCUAACCAAGUAGCCAAGUGAUUAAAUGUUUCUCUCUUUGUUAUAUCAUAAACUAGUAAUGCACAUGCUGCCUUUCUGUAAUAUGACUUUGUUAUUGAUCUGAACCUUUCUUGACCUGCUGUGUCCCAUAUUUGUAACUUUACUGGAUUGUUGUUUAUGUUGAUUGUUUUGAAACCGAAUCCAACACCAAUUGUUGCGUUGUGGAAACGUUGAAAGCGGUUGUCCAUGAAUUGAAGUACAAGACAUGAUUUUCCGACUCCAGUGUCGCCGAUUAUUAUGUAUUUGAAGGCAUAGGAGUGAGACAUGUUUUUCUACGAUAUUUGUUGUGAAAAAGCAAAGAGGGAACAAGGAACGAAUGAAAGUAAGGAGUUGUGAUGGUUUAAAAAAGGGAAGCACCAAUAACCUCUAUUUAUAGGGUUACUAUCCUACUUGAAUAGAGAAACUAACCAUCAAGAUAAUCGCUGAGUGAUAACAAACCUAGUUAAUCUUCCUUAAAAAAAACAAACUAGCUAAUCUUAAAUUACAAAAAAAAAAAAAAAACUUCUAUUCUUCUAUUGGUUCCUUUCUCAUGUCUCGGAUCAAGAUCUCAAUACCCUUUCCCUUAUAAACUCACAGCCGUAGAUUUCCACUCCUAUCAACGGUUCCUAUUUUGACAUCUUCUCAAAUUUUCCCCAAAAAUCUUCAAUAUAUAUUAUUAUUAUAUUUGAAAAUUCAGCUAAAAACUUUGGUUGUGUUGUUAUUGUAUUACUUGUUUUAUUUUUCUCUUAACAACUCGGUUGUAUAUCAUUUACUUAAGUUGUUUUGAAUAACUUUAAUAUGAAAAGAUUAAUGCUAAAGCCCACGACACUAUUUGUCGUCGCAUGCACGAAUGCUCUACAACUUACAAUUACAUGAAGUUUUUUUUAUUUAGUUUUUUAUUUGUUAACUUUUAUUUUUUGUUUAAAUGUUUUGGUUUUUAAUAGGUACUUUUCAUAAUAGAUAUUUUUUUAGAUAGAUAAAAUAACAAAACCAUUAUAAACUUGCAUACGUGAGUAGAGGUGUUGAAGUUGAAACUCUGAUUAUGGCGUUCGACCUAACAGUUUUGAUAUUUUGACAGUUGAGUUAGAACUUCUGGACUUCAUAAUAGAAAAUUUUAUUCGAUACAUUUCGGACACUAAGUGCGAGCACUUUUAAAUAUUGUUCGUCAUGUUGUGCGAGUUCCAUUUCGCUAGAUAAAAUUUCUAUUAAUAUUUGGGUUAAUAUAUGUUUACCCCCAUGUAAUAUUAGCGGUUUCUAGCUCACCCCCUAUAAAAGAAAAACUUUAGAUUCCAACCAUGUAAUUUGAAGAUUCUAUGGUUUAGGACCUUCAUGGCAUCAAAUUUCAAAAUUUAAGGUACUUUUGUCCUCUGUAAUUUGAGCAUAUUUUGGUUUACCCUCCUGCCAUAUCAUCGAUUUAUAGGGUUUGAAUCUAAAUAAAUUUUUUCUAACGGGUAAACCAUAAACCGUUAAAAUUGCAGGGGGUAAACAUUUAUUAGUGAAAAAACUAUGUAGUCAAAUAUGUGUUAUGAUAUGUAACACUAGGGUCGGGGGUUUUGUCGUUUGAUUUAUGUUUUCUUGGUUAAAGUUUUUGGAACUUUUGAUUUAUUUAUUUGGUGUUUGAGAACUUAAUUUGUUUCCUUGAAAUUGUUGAACUAUUUAGCUGCUAAAUUAUGAUCUUUGUUUUAUAAAAUAGUGAACUCCUGAGUAAAUGUAGCACAUGUAUGAUUGAUAAAUUCUUUUUUAUUUAUUAAACAAAGUCGGGGUCUUAGGGUGUUACAUAGCUUGUACUAGAGCAGGUCGGUCCAUAUACAGCCUAGGUUUUAUAUUUUUAUCAUGUCAUAUUAGGCUACAUGUGUGUGAACACUACAAAUGCCUAACUCCUUAGUAAUUUUCUGAUUUAUGGUGAUGCAUAUAAGAAACGGUAGGAGGCAGAAAUGAUCAGGCAAUUGCUGAAGCCUUGCCAGCGAUGGCAUCCAAAUCAGCAGGGAAGUAACGACGAGUUCCGAGCACCGUGAAGAUUUCAAGGGGAGGUACGAUCCUCGAGGUGCUCAGAUUUGGAUCCAAGCGAUUGAGAAGAUUUACAUAAUGAUGAUGUUCCCUGAUGCAUAUAAGGUGUUGUUCGAGACUUACAUGCUGGCUAAAGAAGCUGAAUAUUGGCGAGAGAACACUCGUCAGAGGUUGGAAGUUGUAGGUACUGAGAUCACUUGGGAAGUAUUCAGAAUUUUUUUGGUUACAAAAUUUUUAGGGUGAGGGGAUGGUGCCCCAGUCCAAGGCAGGGAAGACCUUCGAGCUCAAAGAGCACUUAGAAAGGUAUUUACAUUUAUCUUCGGGCUCAGAAUUGAGUAUUUAAAAGUUUACAAGGAAAUUAAUUAAAAAUGUUCUAAAAGUUUACGAAUCCGGUUGAAUUUUUCUAGUUGAAAAAUUAAAUAACAAAUUAUUCAUAAACUAAUGCUCGAUUAGAAAAAGAUUAAAAGUCAAAUUAUAAACUUUUUUAAUUUAGAGAACUUAAAGAACUAAUGUUGAAUAGUUUGGUAGAGAAAAACAAAUAGAAGAAUAAACUUAAAUAAAAAUGAUGAGCUUUAAAAUUGAAUAAAUGAGAAAAAGUUGAUUAGGAUUGGUGUAAAAUAUACUUUAUACAUUGAAUCUAAGUGAUGUAACAAAAGAGAUCAUAUUGUUGGGAUUAAGCUUCGUUAACCAAUCAUCUAAUGUUUUUUCUUAAGUUAAGAAACAUGAAAUAAAGAGAGAGGUGAACAGAGAUAAGAUCAUCAAUUUCAACUAUUGGAGAGAUUUGGAGCUUGAGUUCAAGCUUAUGGAUGCUUCUCGAACAACAUUCAUCUCUUCUUUUUUAGUUAGCUAGGAAUCUAAUGUAUUACUUUUAAUCUAGUCGAUUGUAUAUGAUUUAUGUAUUCAAUAUAACCUUUGUUUUAAAUCUUUACUUAAUGUUUUCGCUGACGUGAAUGUUUUGAAUUAGCAAGUGUGAUACAUCGACUUGUUGAGUGAGUAUGUNNNNNNNNNNNNNNNNNNNNNNNNNNNNNNNNNNNNNNNNNNNNNNNNNNNNNNNNNNNNNNNNNNNNNNNNNNNNNNNNNNNNNNNNNNNNNNNNNNNNAUAUAUAUAUAGUAUAGAAGAUUAGAUUAUAUUAUCCUUGUAACAACUUUUAUUAUUAUUAGGUUAUAUUAUUCUGGUUACAAUUUUUGUUAUUAUUAGGUUAUAUUAUCUCCGAUCUAUGAAAUCGUAAAAACAAGCAUUUUCGAAUAUUUAAUUAAGUUUAAGGGUAAACAAUAAAUACAUUUUAAAAUCCAUCUCUUCUCCUUGUGAAUCAAACACACUUUUAAUUAAAAUAUCUUCUCUCCCCUCCCUUCCCUCUUUUGAACCAAACAUAUAUUUAAUUAAACGGUAAUGCAAAAUGAUGCGACAUAUAUAUGCACGAAGUGAGCACGAACAAUUAAAACAUGUGAUUUCUAAAAAAAGAGUUGGUGCAGGUUUAUAAAUUGUCUUUAGCCUGGGUAUUUCUUAAAUUAAAAUCAAAAUAUCAAACAAAAAUAUAAUAUCCCACAUCCAAGAUUUUCACUCGACAUCUUAUCUUUUUUAAGACAUCACCUCACCGCUUCAACUAGUGCUACUGUCACCUUCUUUUGUUGAGAUUAUCUUUCAAAGUCUAGUAUUAAGCACUUUUGGAUAAAACAAAUUUAAAAAAGACAAGAAGAGAGAAUGGGAUAUAGGUGUGUAUUGUACGUAAAGUUAUUUCGUGCAUUACACGUUAUGUUUCGCAUAAUUAAGUAUUUUCCUUAAUUAAAAUAUCUUCACUCCUCUUCCCUUCAUUAGAAUACCUCUCCUCCCCUCCUCCCGUUGAACCAAACAGGGUUAGAUGAGACUUAAAAUUUUAAAAAAUAAGUAUGGUGUUUUCUCAUUGAAAGAAAACCCUAAUUUUUUCCUUAUUUUUUAAACAUCGACCUCUUUUCAUUCCAAUGAAUUCUACCCAAAUUAAUGUCCUUAAUCGCCUUCUUGCAGUUUGAUUCCAUUCUAAUAUUUCAAAAACAAGCAUCGUUUUGGCUUCAUACGAUUGAUUCGAUAAUUUCAUGCACCUUGUUGUUGCUGGAACUCCUUGAUCUUAUUAUAACUUACUAGGUUUAGGUCCGGUUUUUUUAAGGAAGAAAUUCAUUGCAUUUCAUUAGCUAAAAUGUACCAAAUACAUGAGAGCUAGGAUUAAAUGGGGCUUCCCGAGCUAACUCGUGGGGGACCCCAUUCGUUUACCUCCUAUUGAACUCGACAUGAGAGUUUUGAAAACUAUUAAUUAACUAUUGUCUACAUACAAAUAUGAUACAACCAAAACUCGCUAUUAUCAUCGAUAGUUGAAUUUACUUGAUCAAAAUCUCUUUUAGAAUCAAGAGCAAACUCCACAUAGUCAAAUUGAAUAUCUGACACCCAUUCCAAAGUUGUAUAUAACCUGACAGCCUCCCCUGCAUCAACGUCACACAGAGGAGCAAACCAAUCUGUUUGUGCAAGGACAAAAUCACCAGUAUUAUCUCUAAGACACAUUCUCAACCCGACCUUAUUAAGUGAAGAGGAAAAGGAGGCAUCAAUGUUGUAUUUACUCCUACCAGGUGCCGGUGUCUUUCAUGCUUCUCAUCAUGCCUCAUGAGAUUAUUCUUAACCGUGACCGACCUUCCAGAGCUGUGAGAUCAAGUCCGUCUUUUUUUUUUUAUUGCGUUAAUGCGUAUAAAUUACAAACAAUAGUUUUUGUAAAAUAUAGAUUUUUAUUUUGAAUAUAAUCCAUACUAUAUAUAAAGAAAAUAGAGUAUUUUGGGCUGACUUUUUAUUAUUCCAAUUAUACCCUUAAAUAAUAUUUUCUAUAUAAUAUUAUAUUGUUGAUGUUAUUAAAAAAGAUAAGAAUUUAUAUUACAUUUUGGUGUUAUUGAAAAAGAUACAUAUGAUUUGUUGGGUUUGUUACCAUUUAAUAAAAGUCAUAAAAUAUUUCUACUUGUAAUUUUUAUCAAAAUUUCAUAUAAUAUACCUUACAUUGUUUACAUGCAUUAGCAGAAGUCUUAUUCCGCAUUUUCAUAUUGUAAUAAACUAUACUUAUCUUUUACAAUAAAAAAUAAUAUCAAAUAUAAUAAAAAAAAAAUUAUCUUUUGAAUGACGACACAAAAAAUAUUAUAGUAUUCUUAUAACAAAUUUGUUUUAAAGAUAUAAUUGAAAGCGAAAAAGGCAACCCAAAAUCAUAUAUUCUAUUUAUAUAUAUAGUAGACGACUUAAGAUUUUAGUUCGGAUACCCUAAACUCUCGUCCCGACUUCCUACCCUCCAUCUUAUCUUAUAACUUAAUUUAUUUUUUUUGUGGUGAUUUUAUAACUUAAUAUUAUUUAGCUUUUCCUUAAAAAAAAAAAAAAGAUUAUUUAGUUUUUUUUAGGCUAUUAAGAUUAUUUAGUUAUUAUUUUCUCCAUCUAUCAUAUAUAUUUUAUCUUAUUAUUUUGAGUUAUUAUUUCAGAAAAUUAGCUAGGUUGUUAUCACUUAGUAAUUAUCUUGAUAAUUAGUUUUUUUUUCCUUUUUAUUUUUUUGACAAUACAAUUAGUUUUUCUCUUCAAUUUUUUUUUUUAACAGAAAUUUUUUAUUAGGCAUCACAAGAACAAGAAGUGGUUCGCAUCGUUUAUUAUAAAAGCUUGUACACAAUAGCAAAACAAAAACAAAAACUCCUAGCCCUAACCGAAAGAGCAGCAGAGGGAUAAAACCUAAAAGGCUAAAACUAGUCUUCACCCUUUGUCACUUCUUUAUUCUCUGUUCCAAAAAACCUAAAACCCAAGAAGAAUAAAAUGUCUUGCUCAUAUAUCUUCGACUACAUAAUAAUCGGCGACACCGGUGUUAGAAAAUCAUGUAUUCUACUUCAAUUCACAGACAACCGUUUUCAACCAAUCCACAACAUAACAAUAGGUGUCGAAUUCGGUGUCAAAAUAAUCAACAUCAAGAAUAAGGGAAUAAAGUUACAAAUAUAUGACACAACAGGGCAAAAAAAUUCAGAUCAUUAACGAGAUCAUAUUACAGAAGAGCAGUAGGUGCAUUACUAGUUUAUGAUAUAACCAGGAGAGAAACAUUUAAUCACUUGGCUACUUGGUUAGAAGAUGCAAGACAGCAUGCAAGUUAAGAUAUGAUUAUUAUGCUGAUCUAUUAUGUAAAACCCUAAUUAAUUGAUAAAUAUGUAUGUUGAACUUUUCUUUCAAAAAAAAAAAAUAGCAUGUUGAACUUGGUUUUUGAGUGUACCGUAAUGCAUGGGAUCUUCUAUUAAGUCGGUCCUAUUGUUUAACUAUUUAAUCGUCAUUCCAUCAUACGGUUAAACAUAAUACAUACUUUGAAAACCUAAACCCUAAAAUCUAAUCCUAAAAAGUUAGUCCGCGAUACAUUUAUAAUGUUGUGGCUCUGGCUGGAAUUCCAGGAGGACAAUUGGACGGAGAGGCAGUUUUACUUAAAUUAUUAUGAUUUACUUAACAUGUCCAUUGGCAAUAAGUUCAAAACAAUAUUAUAGUAAAUUUUAUUAAUACAUUUUAAUUUGAGAAUGAUUUGUGGUAUUAGGAAUAUGAAAUUUUGUGUAGUUAUUAACCAAAUUUUAGAAAAGGUCAGUGAUCGCAAUAGAUAGGAUGUAAUAUUAUGGUUUCUAUGUCAUCGCAACCAUGGUUGAAAACUGCACCAACCUCUUUGUGAUUCUCCGCAAUGCCAAGAAUUGCGAUCGUGCGACUGUUAGAGCGAAUUAAAACCUUGGUUAUUACUUCAUUCAAUAUAGAGAAUGAUUAUUUGUGUAUAUAUGCCAAACAAUUAAAGACAUCUGAAAAUUAUUUCUCCCUUAUAUUUUAUUUUUGCAUUAAAUUUCCGAUUUCCAGGGAAGCGUUCCCUUGGUAAUCCUAAAUUAUGUCGAGGAGUAAGAAAAGUCGGCCCAAAAAUUGUUUCAUCAAAUUUGAGCUCUUGGAACACACUACAAGAAAUUAUGUGAUUUGCUACACCCAUUUCCGGAGCUAAUUCGUAGCUAAUUCCUAGCAAACGAGUUUAGCUAGAGAUAUGCUAGGGAAUACCUUUUGAUUCAGCCGUAGCAUGGAUUGAGAGACAAAUUUUCUAGGGAAUUAUUUCUUAGUAAAUCCAUAUCUACUAAAACAAAAUUCCUAGCAAAUAUUUAGUUAAUCCGCAGUAAAAAAGAAUUCAAAAUGAAUUUUUCGCAGCGAAAUAACCAUGACUUAUCAUAUCAAUUUCGCAACAAAGCUACAACAACAUAACUAAGACUCGUCGUAGCAAUUCCAUAGCAAAUCUACAAUAGAAAUUUAACAAAAUUUUCUUUAAUGGAUCCCCCUAAUAGAUCUAAUUAACCAGUUGAGGAAAUCACUUGACUAGUUAUUCCCCCUUGUAUGAAGAAGAAACAUAUUGUUAACAAUAGUCAAAUUUACUAACAGUUUGAAGUCAUGCCUUCUUGACAUUUCUGCGCAUUUCAAAUCACCCAAAUUGUUCCUUGCCAAAUAAUCCAAUAACAUUUCCACAAUUUUCCAUUUAAAGCUUCGCUACUACAACAUUCAAGUGAACAAACAAAUUCGGAGGAGUGAUAAACAUAAACUCUAUCCAUCGCAUAAGCCAAAUUCCCUACCUUUCUCGACACCUCACAAAACAAGAAAAGGUGACAUGAAGUUUAAACUUCCAUCUCCCACAACGCACAAUUCACCGAUGCAUCUAGAGGAAUAAUAUUUCGAAUAGCAAGAUUCAUACUUGUUGGAACAUGAUCAAGCAAAAGUUUCAAAGUGAAAGCAACCACUCAAGUAGGAGCUUGGCCUUUCCAAAGGUAACGAAAUACCUUCUUCUCAACUUCACCCCAUCUCUCUUCCCACACCAUCAAUUUUUCCAAUAAAAUAUAUGUUGAAUUCACCCAAAGUAAGCCAUUCUCCUCUGGUCUCCACUUCCAAGAAUCCGUCCCUUGGGAACAAUAAAAUCCCUCCAACACCUCCAACAUAUCAUUUAGUAGCCUCCUCUCCCAUACAAAUAAAGUUCUCCGCCAUGAUAAAUCAAAUUCCUCAAAACCAUUUGUCAACCCCGACAUCUUCCUAACGGAAACUUCUUUAUAGAUUGAAAUAGAAAAAAGUCUAGGAAAUUGUUCACAUAACUUUGAAUUCCCCCUCCGUUUAUCUUGCCAAAAAUUAGUCCACCCACUAUCACCAACGCACCUCACCACUUUCAAAUUGAACCAACCAAAACCUACACUUUCCUCUUAAAACAAUAAGUCCUUCCACCAAGUAGAUGCGUACCACGGGCACGUGGCGCCACCUCCUUCCAACUACCUCCCUACUUCCCUUUUGUAUUUCUCUACUAACACCUCUCUCCACAUCGGUUUCUCACUUUGUAACAACCUCGAUCUCCAUUUCGCCAACAAACUUAAAUUGACUAUUCUUACAUCCCUCACACCUAGUCCUCCAUUCUCCUUCGGUUGACACUCCUAGUCCACCAAGUUUUCUUGUUUUUUGUUGAAGGAAAAAGAUGGCCAAAUUGAUUGGAGUAAAAUAAUAACUCAAACCUAUGAACAAACUUAAGUUGGUAUUAGAACAAACUUCUAUGGAGGCAAGGACUUGACCGAAGCACUUAUUCCUCUUCUAUGAACAAUAACUUUGGUUACUUUGCCUACUUUGGUAGCUUAUUUGGAAACUUAAACUAAUAAAAAAUAUCUCAAUAAAAUGGUUUAUUGUAGACAAAUUUUAGCAAGUUAGUGGUUUAUGUUAGUACACAAUAUGAAUUUUGGAUAUCCUAAAAAACCAUUUGUUGUCCCUUAACUAGGCAGGUUUCGUGAUAAUACAACCUUUCAUAAAUAUUUUUUCUCUGACACGUUCAACUCCGCAGCCUGUUGAGAAUUUAACUAGAUGUUACGGAUUAUCAACGAUAUAACAAUUUGUUAUAUAGAUUAUAUAUAAUAGUGAAAAGACACGUGCCCGUCUUUUCGCUCUUUUUAUUACGUUAACGUUUGAAAAUGAUGAACAGUGUUUAUUUUAUAAAUUUUUGAUUUUAAUUAAAACUAAAAAUAUAAAUGUUUGUUGUUUUCAAAUUAUAAUUAAUUAACAAAGUAAACUAACUAUCUAUUUCAUGGUUAGUUAACAAAAUAACAAAAUAUAUAAUCUGGUUUUUUUUAUGACACCAAGAACAAUCUUUAUUAUAGGAUAAAUUGUUUUAAGGUAUAAUUGAUAUAAUGAAAAAGUAAGUAUAGAAUACUCAUCUAGUUUGUUACACUUAUUAAAUGAUAAAAGGAAUAAUUGAUAUAAUGAAAAAGUACAGAAUACUCAUCUAGUUUGUUACACUUAUAUAAAGGAAAAAAAAAUAGAUGUAGAUUGUUACACUUAUUAAAUGAUAAAGGAAAAAGUAAGUAUAGAAUACUCAUCUAGUUUGUUACAUAAAAAAUAUAUUACUGUAUUUGUAGAUGUAGAAUAGAUUUAUCCUUCAAAAAUUUUAUACUUAUCUUCUGAGUGUUUUGAAUUGUAUUUCAUAAUAUUAGGUAGUUUUUAUUUUUUUUUAUUUUUUUUUUAGAAAAUUGGGUAGGUUGUUAUUACUCAGCGAAUAUCUUGAUAAUUAGUUUCUCUAUUCAAGUAGGAUUGUGUCCCUAUAAAUUGGAGUUAUUGGUGCUUCACUCUUUGCUUCUUCACAACAAUUCUCGUAGAAAAAAAUGUCUCGCUCAUAUGCCUUCAAAUACAUAAUAAUCGGCGAUAUUGGAGUCGGAAAAUCAUGUCUUCUACUUCAAUUCACAGACAACCGCUUUCAACGCUUCCACGACACAACAAUUGGUGUCGAAUUUGGUAUCAGAACAAUCAAUAUAAAUAAUAAUCCAGUCAAGUUACAAAUAUGGGACACAGCAGGUCAAGAAAGAUUCAGUUCAAUAACAAAAUCAUAUUACAGAAAAGCAGCAGAUGCAUUACUAGUUUAUGAUAUAACUAGGAGAGAAACAUUUGAUCACAUGGCUACUUGGUUAGAAGAUGCAAGACAACAUGCAAGUUCAGAUACGAUCAUUAUGUUGAUCGGAAACAAGAGCGAUCUUGCGUGUAAUCGCGUUGUGAGUACCGAAGAAGGUGAGAAAUUCACAAAGGAGAAUGGUUUGAUGUUUAUGGAGGUUUCGGCGAAAUCUAGAGAAAAUAUUGAAGAGGCAUUUGUAAAAACUGCAGAAAGUAUAUAUAAAAAUAUCUAGGUUAGGGUUUCUGAUUUGUUGGAUGAGACUCAUGAAAUCAAAGUUGGAUAUGGUGGACUACCAGCAGAAGGUAGGGAUAAUCGUGAAAGCUCUUAUGAUUUGGGUAGAAGGUGCUGCAGUUGAAAUCAUUAGUGAAGUUUAUAAUGUUUAAAUUAUUUGCGGUUUUUUAUUAUUUAAUAUUAGUGAAGUUUGUUAAAUGUAGUUGCAAGUUCAUUAAUAUUAGUACAAAUAAGUUUAGUUAUCACUACUAAUGAAAUCCAUUGUAUCAAUCGACUUCCGAACGUGAGCAAAAUAGAUGAUUGAUUCAAUGACUCGAUAGUUGAAUAUUAAUACAAACCUAACCCUAUGACUAGGCCUAAGUAUACUUGGUUCAAAAAGAGAUCCUUUGAGUAACAAGUAGAUGUAUCACACUUGCUAAUUCAAAACAUUGGGUACAGAGUGCACGUCAGAGAAAAUAUAGUAAAGAUUUAAACCAAAGGUUAUAUUGAAUACAUAAAUCAUAUACAAUCGACUAGAUUAAAAGUAAUACAUUAGAUUCCUAGCUAACUAAAAAAGAAGAGAUGAAUGUUGUUCGAGAAGCAUCCAUAAGCUUGAACUCAAGCUCCAAAUCUCUCCAAUAGUUGAAAUUGAUGAUCUUAUCUCUGUUCACCUCUCUCUUUAUUUCAUGUUUCUUAACUUAAGAAAAAACAUUAGAUGAUUGGUUAACGAAGCUUAAUCCCAACAAUAUGAUCUCUUUUGUUACAUCACUUAGAUUCAAUGUAUAAAGUAUAUUUUACACCAAUCCUAAUCAACUUUUUCUCAUUUAUUCAAUUUUAAAGCUCAUCAUUUUUAUUUAAGUUUAUUCUUCUAUUUGUUUUUCUCUACCAAACUAUUCAACAUUAGUUCUGUAAGUUCUCUAAAUUAAAAAAGUUUAUAAUUUGACUUUUAACCUUUUUCUAAUCGAGCAUUAGUUUAUGAAUAAUUUGUUAUUUAAUUCUUCAACCAGAAAAAUUCAACCGGAUUCGUAAACUUUUAGAACAUUUUUAAUUAAUUUCCUUGUAAACUUUUAAAUACUCAAUUCUGAAUACUUCCCAAGUGAUAUCAGUAUCUACAGCUUCCAACCUCUGACGAGUGUUCUCUCGCCAAUAUUCAGCUUCUUUAGCCAGCAUGUAAGUCUCGAACAACACCUUAUAUGCAUCAGGGAACAUCAUCAUUAUGUAAAUCUUCUCAAUCGCUUGGAUCCAAAUCUGGAAUUUUUUUUUUUUCUGACCCUAUUGGUCAAAAAAAUUUCAGCUCUGACCCCCUUUGAAAAAAAAAUUCCAAAAUGACUCAUUUUUUUUUUUUUUGUCCUUUAGCGCGUUCCCGCCAUUUGAAACGGCGGGACUGACCGCCGGUCUGACACAUGUCACAUCGUGACUGGUCAGCUUUUAUUUUUUAUUUUUUUUUUGUUUUUUGCUUUUUUUAAUUUAUUUGAGAAAAAAUUUGAAUUUUGUACCCAGGGGAAUCGAACUAGGCACAUAUGGGUCAUUGCCAUUCAGUGUUACCACUAAAUCAAUGUACAUUUGAUGUUAAUUUUUCGCAUCCAAUAAUAUAUAUACCAUUUUUUAAAUCAGUUUCACACACCAUGAGGCAUGAACCAUCCAAUUUUUCAUUUUUGUUCCCUCAAAAAAAAAAAAUCAUUUUUGUUUUUCUAAUAUAAGUCUUAUAAAAAAAAUAAAUAUAGGGUCCCCAUGAGCUUAGAUUUUAAGGUAAAUUUCUCUAGCUACUAGGCUAUUUAACAAAAAAAAAAAAAGGAGAUUUUAUAAUUUUAAUUGGAUUCUAUAUUUUAUUUUGAAAAAUUACUCGAAUAUGAACAAAAUCUAGAUUUUAUUUUGAAUAUAUAUAUAUAUCUUGAAAUAAUAUAUAUGUCAUUUCGUCGGAUAAUUUAUCGGUGAAAAAUAUAUAUUUCGUCGGAUAAUAAUAAUAUAUAUAUAUAUAAUUUAUCGGUGAAAAAAAUUAUUUCUUCGGAUAAUUUUCACCGAUAAAUUAUAUAUAUAUUCGUCGGAGAUCCUAAAUUAUCCAAUUAAAAAAACAAAAAUGAAAAACUGGAUGGUUUGUGGUGUGUGAAACUGAUUUAAAAAAUGGUAUAUAUAUUAUUGGAUGCGAAAAAUUAACAUCAAAUGUACAAUGGCUUAGUGGUAACACUAAAUGGCAAUGACCCAUAUGUGUCUGGUUCAAUUCCCCCUGAGUGCAAAAAUUUAAAAAAAAAAAAGCUGACCAGUUUCGAUGUGAGGCGGGACCGUAACAAAAUUUUUAAUAGUUAAGAGACCAAAACGAAACCAAAAAAUAAGUUAAGGGACCAAAAGAGUAAUUAAGCCAAUAAGUUAUCAUCAUAUUCUUCUAACAUUUAACCGUAUAUUAGAUUUUUAUUACGUACCUCCAAUCGCUCCAAUUGAGAAAAGAACAAAACAUUGCUCAUAUAAAACCAGUGCUGCUAUCAUCCAUAGAAGAAUAGAUGAUGCCUUUUCCAUUAUAUCUAUGUAACCUCUCAUUCUACCUUGGACUGACAAAGAAGCUGAUGCAAACCCUUUAUUUUUCAGGCGUAACAAAAACUAUGCAAAACAGACAAUGAUAGCACCCAUCCUAGUUGAUUUAACAUACUCAGCUGUCACAACAGUAGGAGCAAAACAUCUAGCACUACAAAAAUAUAUAAAUUGUGAUGAAAAUGAAAUGGAAAGUGAAUUAAAAAGGCUUAAUUACAUUUUUGGUCCUCUAACUAUUUAUUUGGUUUUGGAUUGGUCCUCUAACUUUAGAGGACCCAAAUAAAUCAAUUUUUAGUUAGAGGACCAAUCCGAUACCAAUUAAAUAGUUAGAUGACCAAAAAGGUAAUUUAGCCUAGUAAAAAUGUAAUUAAACAUGUGAAUUAGUUACCAAUCAUAGAGAGGAAAGUAAGAGAAUAGCAAAGGAUAUCAGGGGAUAAUUUGUGGUAUCCCAAAAACACUGAAGUGAUUCACGAGACAAACUUACUACACUAUGGCGUAAGUUUGUCUCGGGAUCUUCAAUAUCAUGCUGCUGAAGCUUUCUUACUGCAAGUACAACGCACACACUUGCGAUAACAGCUGCAAAAACUACGGCAAUCUUUGUCUUUUUGCCACCAUAACCAAGUUUCUUAAAAGAACAUCAGCAAGGAAACUUAAAAUUAGCUAUUAAAAAAAGGUAAUGACGUAGUAGGGUAUAGAAAAGUAAGCAUUUAAAUCCAUGGAAUUCUCACACAAGGGAAGCAUUUAGAGCCCACACAAGGCAGGGGCGGAUCUAGAGAGUUGAUAUUGGUGUGGCGAAAUUUGCAAAGAAACUAUAUAUAUUAACAACGUAAAGCUUUGACUACUUAUAAACUACAGCAAAGUGGUUUGGGUGAGAGCAUUAUACCAUGGUGUUACAGGUUCGAAUAUUUUUAGAAUAUAUAUUAAACAGUUUUACAAGAAUAACAAAAUUGUGAAUUGGUGUAGUGGUUUGCUUUGUUGAAACUAACAUGGAAAACAGCGGUUCAAGUCCAAUCAGGACCACUUUUUUUGAAUAAAAUUUUUUUUAAUACAAAAGAAAAUAAAAAUGAUGGCUACAAGGAUCGAACCCACAUCCUAGAGGAGUUAAGGAGCGCGCCUAUCCGCUGCAACACCAUAUAUCACAUGAUAUUUUGUGGAUAAUAUAAUAAUUAUAGGUAAGUUUCGACUGCAGUGACACCUAUGGUCUCCUACGAGAUUCGGGACUGAGCCCGGGCACGUGCCCAGGCUAGCUGGGUGGUAAAACCGCCCCUGACACAAGGUAAGCAUUUAAAGCCAAAUGUAGCAUAUUUGUAAAAUAGGCAAUAGCACUUGAUAGCAAUCAUGCUUUAUUUCAUCUAUGCAUAAGCAACACAAAUGUCAAAUCUAAUAAGGUCUAAUUCUGAUUCCUAUCAGUUUCUAGCUCAAAUGCUAACGAUUCUUCAUCUACGAAAAAAUCCUUUUAAGUUACUAAACUAAACUGGCACAAUUCGAAAUUAACAUUCUUCUAUUAGAGAAACAGAAAUUCCAAUAUCUAGAUCGUUUAGUUUUUACCUUCGUAGCAGUUGUGAUAGCUUCAUGCAGAGAACUCUGAGAGAAAUGAGACAAAAUUCUUCGCUGAGAAGAAAUUCCUUGAGAAAACGGAUGUUGCAACAUCGUAUGCAAAUUUGAUGCAUUGUUCAUAUUCCUAUAAAUUUUCCACAGAAAUCAGUAAUAUUCCUUAGCAUAUCACAGUUCACAUGAUUCAAACAUAGCGUUAUGCAGAAUAAGCUAAACUCGGAAAUUCCGAAGUUCAAAAUUCGAAUUUAAAAUUUGUUGUUUCAGAUUGAAGUGAAGUGAACCUGGAGAAAAUGUGAGGAGCAGGGACGACGGAGAUGGAGGAGCGAUCGGUGUUGAGAAGCUUCAAAUGCAUUUCUCUGAACGACGGAGAUGGAGGAGAGGUGGAGGAGCGAUCGGUGUUGAGAAUUAGCUUUCCGACUUGGAAUUGAAGUGAACCUUGAAAAAACGUGGGGAGGAGGGAUGAUGGAGAUGGAAAGAUCAGAGACAUUCAUUUUCUUUGGAAUAUGAAGAAAACGGUUGGCUUGCCGAUGGAGAAGAAUACAACCAAAUUCAAUAACAUAUUUGUGUUGUUAUGCAAUACAUCAUUAACUCUUAGAAUCUAGUUCAACAUGUCCUAACCGUAGAUCUUUAACCCACUAUAACCCGGUAACAUGCCAAUAGCUUCACCAAUAUUCUAACUCCCCAGAUUUUGGUUUAAAACAUUAUUUUUAAAAGUAUACGCAGUUGUCCUCAUGCUGCUACAACAACAUGAUCCGAAUAUAGCAUCAUCCAUACCAAUAGAAAAUUCCGCACAAAGCCGGACAAAGUCGUAACCAAAAUACGCAUGAAGCCACAACACACACA
rnacentral:lncRNA from 1 species